GUCGAGAAUCAAGGUCCGAUGCCAAACCUUACUAUUUCUUAACAUAUAUAAUCUUUGUCAUUAACUCAGGGUUGUAUAUGUUGAGAUUUCAACCCCGGACAUGUUGGAUGUCACUUCUUAAGAGUGGCUAUAUGAAACCGAAAUGGUGACGUGUUUAUUUUGUAAUGGGAACGCAGAGGCUGGUUUAUGGAGCGAAAGCAGAGGCAGCCAUAGCAAUAGGAUUUGAUGAUUUCAUUGCGGAUGCAUUGAGAGGUACUGGGUUUUACCAGAAGGCUAACCUGGAGAUCAAGCAAGCCGAUGGAACAGGUGCUGUCAUUGCAGAACAAGUAUUUGAGAAGACCAAGGAAAAGUUCACCUUGUAUUAAUUUCUUUUUCAUUACUAGAAACACAGUCUGAAAUUUAUGUUAAAACUGCCCCCUCUUUGAAGUUAUCAAUAAUAAGCAACGCAUUGUUUGAUUUCAUAAAAUAAAAAAACCCUAUAAGUAUAAUGAUUAAGAUACGAGACCGAAAGAACGGCCAUUCCAAGCCUAAUUGUCCCAUCAAUGGUGGUCUGGUCUCGUCUAGUCCCCAAAAGUAAGUGGCAGUCCAGCUGGUGGGCCCAAGGCUAUGACUAGACCACAUUUGGAGGCACUUUGGGUUGGGGAGAGGGAGAGGGAGAGCCUGUCUUAGUUUCUAUUAUUAUAUUACUCUAAAAGGCAGCAUUUAAAGUUACUGAAACUGAAAUUCGUUAAAAUUAAGUUUAAUCACAUCAAUGCUUUAGUUGAAUGCCCAAGGUUUUAUUAUUUUUAUCAGUAUGAUCUUUUUGUUGAUUAGUAUUUUUAGGUGUUAAAUGUUGGUAUUUUUGGGUAAACGUGAAUGAAUCAAAAUUUUAAUAUGUGUAAAUAAAAUAAAGAGAUCGAGAAAAUAAAGUAUAUUUAUAGGAGUAAGAAGUAUAAAAGAAAUAAAUAUUUAAUUCUAAGAACUAUUAGAAUUUAAAGUAUACAAACAUCCACUUAGUAAUAAGAUAUUCAUAACACUCCUCAUUGGAUGACAAUUGGUAGAUAAUGUGCCUUGUUAAACCUUAUUAGAGAAAAUCCUGUGGGAUAAACACCUAAUAAAGAAAAAAGAGUAUACAAUCUAUAAUAUGCAUAAUAUGCUACAUUAAAAAUCUUACCAGGAAGACCCAAUGAGACAAAACCUUAAUUAAGUGAAAAAGAGUGCAACGUGUAUUUACUCCCAUCAUGAAAACGUCACAUAUUUUCUCAUAUUCAACAUAUUCAAUCUUAAGUACUAGUUUUUCAAAUAACUAUUUGAAUUUAUUUGCUAAGCAUUUAUAGUACUAUUCUUUUAAAAGUCAUGAGUGAGGAAAAUUUAGGAAAAUAUAUUUUAAUCUCUUCAGGAGAUUUAACAAUAAUCGUAACAAACUUUAAUCAUGAUUCUUUUAUAAAACAGAAAUAGGUAUUUUGGAUCAUUUUAUAAUUCUCUUUCAACUACUAUUCACUAAGUCAAAUUUAUCACAUAUGUUCAAAUUAUUUCAAUUUAUAUAAAUAAAUAAUUUCUCGAGAAUUUCAAUAUGCUUCUAGCAUCCUAAAUCCUUCAAGGAUUUUAAAAUAAACUUUAAUAUAUAGUAAUUCAUAAAAGGUUGUAACAAUAACCAUUAAACGCAAGUUAAAUCUUUUAUGAACUGUCAAUUUAAUAAUAAAUUUAAAGAUUAUUGCAUCCACUAUAAAAGAAUAUUAUAUCUUUUCAUAAUCAAUGUCAGGAUUUAGCGAAAAACUUAAAAAAUUUUUUAUUCUGCUUGUGCAAAACUACUUCAAUUGCACCCUUACUGGCUUUAUACAUUUAGAUUUUGGACUACCGGUCCAAAAACUCCACGAAUUUAAUUGCACUUGAGUUGUGUCUUUCUAUUUUGAUCAAUUUAUUUCAUAUCUAUAUUUCUCAAUAAAUUUAUUCAAAACCCUCAUUUUAUUUCAUUAUUUCAAUAAUAAUAUUGCAUGCAAAAUCAUUGUCGACCACUUUUAUUAUUCGGUUCCACAUUUUCUCGAAUUGACAUAACUUAUCGAGAUUUCUUAUUUUCAUUAUUUUAAUCUUCAAUUUCAAGUACCUGAAUCUCUCUGGAGUUUUACUUAUUAAUUAUGUCUGGGGUCUCUUUUGAAGCACCCGCCUCCACUAGAUGACCAUCUAGAAGAAUUUUCGUCUUUGGAACCAAUCAAUCCAUUAUUUAUUUUAACUGAUUGCCCUAUUGGAACUUUGAUUCAAGUUAAAAUAUUAGAUAGUAUAUGGCACUUGGUUAUUCUUAUUAAGUUUGUAAAUACAUCUAAUAGUUAAAUUGUAAUGAGUUAUCCUUAUUGAACUUCUAGUUUAAAUUAUUUCCCCCCAACUCAUUACGAGUUAUUAUUUCUCUCUCCCUAAUAUCGAGAAAACUAUUGAAUCAAAAUUGUAAUCACAAAUCAUGUCAUAAUUGAAUCUCGAAUAUAUUCAAAACAUCUAAUAAUAUAAAGAAACUUGUAAUUAAUAUAUAUUCCCAACUUUCUUUGUGGAUUUACUCAUCUUUGUGCAUUGUGGUGGAGUAAUUGGAACAUAUACACAUACAGAAAUUCAAAAAUGAGAAAUAUUUAGCUCUUGAUCAAAAACCAAUUGUAAUGGGGAGUAUUUAUAACUUAUUGGCUUGAUGCGUAUAACACGUAAAUCAACAUAAUCUCAUAUUGAAAUAGGAAAUUUAGUUCUCAUAAGUAAUGAUUUAGACAUUAAUCAGAGAUGUUUAAUUAAUAAUUUGUCUAAACCAUUAUGCACAAACUUUUACAAAAGUUUUUCAAACUCAAUCAAUAAAAGAUUGACAUAUAAACUCAUCAGUAUUAGCAAGAUGAAUUGACUUAAUUGCAUGAUCUGAAAUUAAUUAUUUAAACAAGCUAUCUUGCAUACGACAUGUUGCAAAUUGAUAACACAUAUGUGAUUAUUUUGUAGAUGUAUCUACCAAAAUCAUAUAAUAUCAAAACCAUCCACAUGGUGGAUGAAUGGGCCCAUAUUCGUUUUAGAAAUGUAAGACAUUAAAUCUCAACUUUAGUUAGUGAGUUUCUAACAAUCAAUUUUCAUUAAGAACAAGUAACACAUGAGGAUUCUUUAAAUUAAAGAAUCUUCUGGAUCUUUGAUGAAUGCCUAUAUGAAUUCUUAAUUAAUUUUUGCAUUAUAUAUGAUCCAGGAUAGUCUAACUGGUCACGCCAAGUGUUAAAUGCAUUUGUAUCAGUAAACUUUUAGUUUAUUUUAAUACACGUUUCAAUUGUACUAAAUUGUAACAAAUUGAUAAUUUUGCUAUCAUUCUUUUUAUUUUAUAUCCACAUAUAAGUACUAUUGUGACAUUUACUACUAGAAAUGUCUAUAUUAAUGUGAAUAUUAUAAUGUCACUAAGUCAACAAAAUAAAUAUAAUUUCCAAACAAUUAUAUGUAAUAUUUGCUUCAGGGAAUAUGCUAAAAUCUUCAAAUAUCUUAAAAAAAAAUUGCAACUUCAGGUGCAUCCAACCAUAACGUGUUUUAGAUAGAAUUAUCAUAUUUUAUUAUUCAUAAAUAGAUCUUUCACAGUCAAAUAUUUUGUUUCCAACCCCUUAAUGGGGAUGAUGACAAAAGAAGAUCACAAAAAUUAUAAAAUAAAUAUAAAUUAAUAAUUGUUAGGAUCGACCUGAUUAAGCAAUGAACAAGUAAAAAUAGCAGAAGAAAUUGAGAAAUUGAACACACAAAUUUAACGUGGAAAAACUCAUUCAAAGAGGAUAAAAGACUACAGGCAAAGAUAAUUUUACUAUAGUGACAAAAGAACGAAGAGUACAAAAGAUGGAGAUAAAAACUAAACCCCAAAAACUCGAAAAUAAAGAACCCUUAAAACGUAAACACAAAAUUCUCUAAAUUUGUUAUGAUUUCUAAUAUCUAAUAGGUGUUUUUUCUAAGGUUGUAAAAGAGCCUAUUUAUAGGCUAAAUUCAUAGGUCAAAUAAUAAUAAAAUAAUCUAAACUAAUCAGUGUUUGAUUGAAACAAGUAAAAAGAGUUUAACUGAAAGAUUAUUUCUCAAAUUUGACUGAAAAUAGGAGUCAUAUUUAACAAAUCUCCACCUUGACUCAUAUUUCCAUAAUGCCAUCUUUGCCAAAGCCCGCCACGAGCCUAUCUUGAACUAUGCAGGAAUUAAUUGAGUCAAAUUUGUGCUUAGAAACUAGAAGACUUCUAGCCUUCGACUUGUACACUGCCAAAUCAAAACUAACCCGAGUCUGAUUUUCACGAACACAGUGCCCUAACCUUUCAAAACCUGCAUCCAAAAGAGAACCUCUCUUCAACGAAACGGUCAUACAUUUUUCCCUCUUAUGACCAAGUUGCCUUUGCUCCAAACGAGUUGACUUCGACUCUGUAAUGGACGAGGAACGUCUGAUUUCACCAGUCACUGUAGAACCUUCUAGAAUACAAAGACUACCAGUUCUUUUACCUCUUAACAAAACGAGAGCUCCACGAGAUACUUAAUGCCGCUCGACUCAAUAUUGAUUUUGCAUCCUUUCAAGUUUAAAAUACUCAAGGAGAUAAGAUUCUUUCGUAAAUCAAGUAUAUACUUAACAUCUGAGAGUGUCCUAAUUGUCCCAUCGUGUAUCCUAAUUUUAACAGUACCAAUACCAAUUACCUUUCUAGAUGAAUCGUUUCCCAUGCACACAAUUCCACCUUCAACUGAACUGUAUGUGGAGAACCAUUCUUUAUUGGGACAUAUGUGGAAAGAACAUCCCGAAUCUAGGAGCCAUUCAGACGUGAGCUUGGAGUUACCACUCGUUGACACUAACAAGAAAUCAUUACCGUUUUCACUAGCCAAGUUAGCACUAGCUAUAUCUUCCUCAUUACUCUCAGCAGCUCUUUUAUUCACAGUGUAUAACAAUCUGCUUUGACGUGACCUAACUUCACCUUUUGUCUCGUUUUUUUUAUGCUACCAAAACGGAAGCUUGCCUAUCUGUCUUGCUAUCCAAAUGAAACUCAUUGUCGAGUUUGUUUCUACUCAACAAAUGAUCCUUCACAUCUUUGAACGAGAGUUUGUCUCUGCCAUAAAUCAGGAAGAGCACAAUAAUAGCAUAGCCUGAUCUUCAUCAUCAAUAUGAACCUCAAUAUUCUUUAAAUCAUUUAAAAGAGUAAUGAAUUGACUGAUGUGAUCUCUAAGAAGCUCACAUUUGUUCAUGCGAAACGGAAAUAGACGUUGUUUCAACACUAAACGGUUAGCUAAAGACUUAGUCGCAUAAAGAGUAAUGAAUUGACUGAUGUGAUCUCUAAGAAGCUCACAUUCGUUCAUGCGAAACGUAAAUAGACAUUGUUUCAACACUAAACGGUUAGCUAAAGACUUAGUCGCAUAAAGAGUUUCUAACCUUUUCCACAAGGCGGAUGAGGUUUUCUCCAUCAAUACCUCCUGCAAUAUCGUAUUUACGAGGCACAACUGGAUUGCAAAAAAAGCCUUUUCAUCAAGCUCUUCUCAUUCUGUUUUAUUUAGAUUCUCAGGUUUUUUCCCGGUAACAACCUUUUCCAAGCUGGAUUGAACUAGAAUUGCCAUCAUUCGAACUUGUCACAGAUUGAAAUUUUUCUCACUAUCGAACUUCUCAAUUUCAAACCUUGUUGUUGCCAUCUCUAAAUGAGCUGAUCUAUGAAAAUUGAACUAGCUCUGAUAUCACUUGUUAGGAUCGACCUGAUUAAGUAACGAACAAGUAAAAAUAGCAGAAUAAAUUGAGAAAUUGAACACGCAAAUUUAACAUGGAAAAACUCCUCCAAAGAGGAUAAAAAACCACGGGUAAAGAUAAUUUUACUAUAAUGGCAAAAGGACGAAGAGUACAAAAGAUGGAGAUAAAAACUAAACCUCAAAAACCUAAAAAUAAAGAACCCUUAAAACGUAAACACAAAAUUCUCUAAAUGUGUUAUGAUUUCUAAUAUCUAAUAGGUUUUUUUUCUCAGGUUGUAAAAGAGCUUAUUUAUAGGCUAAAUUCAUAGGUCAAAUAAUAAUAAAACAAUCUAAACUAAUCAGUGUUUGAUUGAAACAAGUAAACAUAGUUUAACUGAAAGAUUAUUUCUCAAAUUUGACUGAAAAUAGGAGUCAUAUUUAAUAAUAACCCAAUCCUCUAUUUUUCAUUCUUUCAAAAUAGAUAUUUAUAGCAAUAGUGAUUCAUAUAAAAUAUAAUAUUUUCCUUAUUUACAAUCUCAAUAUAAAAUCCAUUUUAAAUAUCUUCUAAAACCAAUGGAUUAACCGUCAUAAGAUAUUAAUAUAUUAGCUCUUCUAGAACUUUCGACUAAUUUUGUACUAUCAAAUAUUGGAAUAAUAUUUAUUUUUUUAGUACCGAAUAAGAUAAAUAUUUUCUAUCUGUAAUGAUAGAAUUUAUUACUACAUUCUCAUAUCAUUCCUCAAAAUCCUUCCUUAAAGAAUAUUAAUAGAAACAAAAUAUUUUGGCAUAUGCCACAUAUGUGGCCAAUAAUCUUUCAUAUCACAUUAAUAACAUAAGUUAUCUUUACCAUUUGAAGAGUUAUAUUGAGAACUCUCAUUGUUCUCUUAUUUAUUACUAUGUUCUUACUUUUAGUGGUCCAUGAUUAUAUAUUUUAUUUUCUUUAUGUUUACAUUCACUUCAGGGAAUGCAAUAAAUCUAGUAGGAUAGACUUCUGAACGCCUCCAUUGAUUAUUUAUUUCAUAAUCACCAUCUCAAAACAUACAUGGAUUUCAAAUCAAAAUCUAUCUAUUCAUGUUGUCAUGAUUAGUCUCCAAUCACAUCCUCAAUUACAACAACAAUCAUAAUCUCUAUAUUUUCAUUUUUCAUAAUUGUUAUGUACUGCUACAUUCACUUCAAGGAAUGAAGCAAAACUAGUGGGAUGAAUUUCAUAGUUUUCCAUUAGUAACUUAUUAUUUUGCUUACCCACUAAAAGGUAUGGGAUUGCUCGAAAAUACUGUUAAAGUCAUUUCCACAAUAUUGCUAUUGCAGGAGCACAUUAGACAUUUCAAUAAUAUAAUGUAAUGUAUUCAUUUGGGGAAUAUAUAAUAUAAAUACAUGAGUAUCUCAUGUUGUUUAUAUAUAUGGUUCUAAUGUAAAGCACAUGAAGGUUUUAUUCAACAUAUAUCUUCUUGAUCUGGAAAAUAAUAUUAUAUUUUAUAAAAUUUUGCAUCACAAGUAACUAAAAUAUAAGCUCUUAAAGAGCUUUUUACAGUUUGAUGCAAUGUUAGCUCUUUAGGAGCAUAUAAUCAUUUUAUUGUAUAACCUUAAUGAAUGCUUAAUUUAUUUUAAAUAAAAAUUUAUUUAUUCAUAUAAAAAUAAAAUGAAUAGGUAUAAAUGUAACAUCCUAAAUUAGGGCUUAGUUGGAACAGUGGUUUCAGGACGACAAAUUUGAAGUAAGAAAACUUAAUUUUAUUAUAUUUUUAUGGUCUACAAUUUCACGGGAUGAUUUCAUGAAAAUUUCAUUUGAAAAUUUUGACGUUUGGGCACUCAAUUUAGUUAAAAAGACUAAAUUGUAAAAAGUGCAAAAGUUGAGUUCUACAUGUUAGAGGUGUCAAAUUGAUUUGAAAUUUUAAAUUUGAGGUCCUUAAAUGGUAAUUAGACUAUUGGUUAAUUUUUGGAAAAAAAUAGAUAUGAAAUGGGUGAAAUAGAAUAUUUUUAAGUUAGGGGCAUUUUGGUAAUCUAAUAAUUAAAAGAAUUAAAAAGCCAAAAGAAGCCAAUUUUUGUCCAUAUUCAACCUUUGGCCGAAAUUUUGCAUGGAAUCCAUGGCUAGCAUUUGGAUCACGCUUCCAAGUUCAUUUGUAAGUGAUCCCGAGCCCCGUUUUUAAUGUUCUUUACAUUUUUAAAGUCUCGGUAACUUGAUCUAUCUAUUUCUACCAUUAUUUUGAGCUAGGGUUCAUGUUUAAAAUUUACCCAUGAAUGAUAUGCAUGUGUUUUGAUGUCUAAUGGUAGAAAAUGAAUGUUGGGUGUUAAAUAAACGACUUUUGCUAAGUGAUUUUCGGUGAAAAUGCUUAAAAGGACCAUGUUGUAAAAGUUACAAAAUUUGUCAUAAAAGUGUAAUUGGGUGGAAAUUAAGGGCUGAUAUAGUUAUGAAAAUGGUCCAGCUAGGCUUGAAGUACAAAGAAAUUGAAUGAAAAUCAUUUUAUGAGUAUUAGGGCAAAAGUGCAAAUAUGUGAAAGUUUAGAGGUCAAAAUGAAAAUUUGUAAAAGUAUGAUUUUUGGACCCAUAUGAAUAAUGUGACUAAUUAGUAAGCUAAAUGUGAUAUUAUAGAUCUAGGAAAAUGAGAUUCGGGCAUAUAUUGGAAAUGAAUGAGAUUAUGGACUAAAUCAGAAUAAAUAGCCGUGCUUGCAUUCGAGGUAAGUUCGUAUGUCAAUAAUAAUGCAACAAUAUCAUUGUUUAUGCUUGAACUUAAAUUGAUGUGUUAAAAUUAUAUGGUGAAUAUUUAUAUAGUUGAUAUGAUGAUUGUAUUAUGUGACAAAUGCCUAAAUGUAAUUAUGAGCAAUGCCAUGUUUAUUUCAUGAAUAUGAGAAUGGUAAAUUUGUAAGCAUGAAUGGUAUUAUGGUCAUUGUUCACGACAUGACAAGCAAGUGCGAUAAGGAUGCUAUGUGCAAGUGUGGAAAACCCCGUUUGAACCUUAGGAAUAGUUUAGGAUACAAGUGAGAUGUCACAAAGAAUUAAGAAAUUCGAGCUCGUUGAGCGGUCUGAGUUUGUGAUAUAUGAACUUUUUGAGUGGUCCAAGUUUGUGAUAUGUGCGGCAUCCGAGCUUGUUGAGUGGUCCGAGUUCAUAAUAGAUGCGAUACAUGUAACAUCCGAGCUCGUUGAAAGGUCUGAGUUCAUUAUGGAUGUAUUACAUGUUAUAAGGUAGCUUUGGCUACGUAUGUUUAUGUGGCACUUAUGUGCAAGUUUCCGUGUAUCCAAUAGUAUUCCAAGUGUUCAAUGGGUAUUAUAAUGAAUGAUGCAAUGAAAGACCCGAGAUGGGCAUGGUAAUGAAUGUAAAGUUUGUAACGCCCCAAUUUUCAGGAAUUCUGUGAAUGUUGGCAUAGGUUUAAUUAUGUUAGUGGGCCUCUAGAAGGCCCAAGCUAAAGAUAGAACCCGACAAUUUUAGUUAAUUUUUGUUCCAUAAGAAAAAGCGGGUGAAAUUAUGAAAUAGGACCUAUGUGAAAAUGUUUGAAAAUGCUAUAGGCUAAUUUGUAGUGGCCAAAUAAAUAGGAGUGCAAAAUAGAAGGAUUUGCAUGUCAAACCUUCCAUUUUACAAGUAGUGGCCAGCCAUCAUGUUGGUGGUAGACAAUAUGUGCACUUGAUAUUAAUAAUUUAUGGUACAAAUUGAUAAAAAUUGAUAAUGGGUUAGGAAAAUGUUCCAUGAUGGGCAUGAUAAGCAUUAUGGGCAUUUUUUUUAUUGGAAUUAUGGCAUGAGUAUGACACAAAUAUUAGUAUAUCAUUUAUGUGUCAUAAAAUGUUGAGUGAUAAGAAUAACAAAAGCAAGUAAAGGAAGGUUUUUGUUCAUUCUUUGUUCUUCAUAGCCGAAUUUGAGAGAGAGCAAAUAGGGGAGAAAACCCUUGAAUAUUCGGUCACUAGGAGGAGGAAAAAUUAAAGGUAAGUUCUUGGUACUUUGCUUCUAUUUUGAUGUUCAUGGGUUCUUCUUGAUUCUAUCCUAACUCAUGAAGGAUAUUUUGGUUUUUGGUUGUUGUUUCAUGUUCUUUUGAUGAAAAAUGGAAGAUAGCUGAAGUUGAGCCAAACAAAUGAGCAUGCAUGUGCCUUAGAUGCUAAGGGAAAAAUCGGCUAACAUGUUGUGCUUUAAAAUGAUGAAAUGGAGAUUAUACUUAAGUAAAAUCAUAGAUAUGUGAUGAUUGAUUGGUGAUAUACAUGUUUAAAUAACAUGCAUGCAAGUUAGGUGUGUGAAAGAGUGAUUUGGUAAUAAAUCUGCUUGGGACAGCAGCAGUAACGUGACUUUGGAAAAUCACCAUAAAUUGUGGGAGAUGAGUUAGAAGCUGAGUAAAUUAUGUAAUUAAAUAUUAAUGAGUCUAGUUUCAAAUGAAAUAAACGAGAACAUAUUUUGAAUUCUGUACAAUGAGAAAUUUGAUUCGUAAAGAAGAGUGGUCAGACUAGUCAAGCAGUGAAACAUGGGAAACUUUGAGAAAAAUCUGGUAUUGAUUGGCUAAACCAAAAAUUCUGAAAAUUUUAUGGAUAGAAGAUAUAUGAGUCUAUUUUCAGGGAAAAUUAACGGAACUUGAUUUGGAAUUUCAUAGCUCCAGUUAUAAAUGAUUUAGUGACUAUUUCUCAGGAAGACACCUUGCAGUGAAAUUUUGAUUAUGUGGUAAACAUUGACAAAAAUUUGUUAAUGAGUUGCUUAUUGAUUUCUUAUAAGCUUACUAUGAUUUGUAGGUGUGGUUGGCCGAAUAUGGUAUGGGGUUAAUAUGUAGUUCGUGUUUGAAUAGUUAGAUUAAUGUGUUAGUAAUCCAAUUGUAGGCAGUUCGUGUGUGGAUCUCGUCAGCAUAUCGUCGCAAACAGGUGUGUAACUAACACCCUCUUAUAGACUAGAUCGGCAAAAGCCGAAAAGCAGGUAUUUUGGGAUCUUGCGAGUAUGCUAAUGCUCAUGCGAUUAAUAGUUUGAUGUAUAUGGUAAAUUAAAGUGAUAAGACUGUAGAGUGCGCGAUUCCGUGCAUUUCGAUGUUUUUGGGCUUAAUGGGCCAAAAACGGGAUAAUGGGCCAACGGGCCCAAGUUGGUAAGAAAACGCGGUAAGUGUUUCUGAUCGUACGUAAAUGACUAUGUUAUGUAUGAAAACCUUAAGAAUAGUGAAAUUACUUGAACACCCCUAUGUAUGCAAAAUUACCGUUAUACCCCUAGGGUUAUUUUUUUCUGAAAAGCAUGAUGUUCUGUUUCUGUAUACGUAUGCCAUGACAUAUUAUUUCUGUUGCAUGGGGACAUGGGUUAUAUUAUGGAGGAAGCGUCCUGGUGGCUAUGCCACGAUUAUCUGAUCUGGUGGCUCUGCCACAUAUAUCUGUUCUGGUGGCUCUACCACGAUUAUCUGAUCUGGUGGCUCUGCCACAUAUAUCUGUUCUGGUGGCUCUGCCACGAUUAUCUGUAUCUGGUGACUCUGUCACAUUAUCUGUUCUGGCAGCCAUGCUGCAAAUUCUGUGGUGUGUAGCGGUUGGGUGGGUCGAGUUGUCUCCCCACACGGUGUAAGGUUGGUACGGGGGUGUAUACGGUUGGAUAUGGUUGGGUUUCUGCAUAAACAUGUAAUAUCUGUUCUGUUCUGUUAUGGGCCUAUGGGCUUUAUUUUGAAUUUCUGUUCUGGGCUAAGGCAAACUUAUUCUGUUUCUGUGGUUUGAGCUAAUUUAGACUAUGGUUGGGUUAUUUUACACACUGAGUUUUCCCAAACUCACCCCUUAUUUUUCAUCCACGUAGGUAAACCCCAACCAUAGUGGGCUUGGAGCUGUGAGGGAAUUCGGAGUGGCCACACAUUCUGCAAAUUCCUAUUUUCUUCCGGUGAAUUGGACAUCUUUUCUUUUAUUUUUAUGAUUUGGGUUUUAAGUUGUAAUAAGGCCGCUUAAUUAUUUUUGAUGGUUUUGAUAUGUUUUAUUAAGAUAGGUAUUACUUAUAUUAACUGUUGGAAUUGGAUAGCUUUAGGGCGCGUUUUCAAAAACAGUAAUUGAUUUCAAAAUAACACAACAACAAGCAAAGCUUCCGCAAUGAAGAUAUUUUCCAAAAUUAAUCACUUUUCCUAAAAAGGACUUAAUCAAAUCAGUUUCCUAGAAAUAUACAUGACAUUAAGGUGUGGCAAUGGCUGUGUGCAUGUCUAGGAUUGGAUCUGAAGGGAGCUUGGUACUUAAGCAGUCUGAUGGACUCACCUCCUUUUUUUCGGUUUCCUACCCGAUGCACAGCUUCCAUCCACUUUAACCUAUAAUGAAAUCAUCUUUUAAAACACUAAGUAAGUUUUUCUGGAUCAACAAUAUAAAAUGUUUUGAAUGCUUCGAUGUGGCAUGUCGGAUCCGACCAUAACGUCUGGGCUGGGUUUGGGGUGUUACAAAGUUAUUCGAUAUGCUACGGAUAUGUGCAGGUACGUAUGUUAUACUCAUGAGUAAUGCUUUGUUACAAGAUGAUAUAUGACGAAAAGGUAUAUUCAUAUAUAUAUGAAUAUUUGAUUAAUGAGCUAGAAUGCUUGAAUGAUGAAUAAUCUUGAUGAUCAUGUUAAUAUGUCAUACUAUAAUAGUCAUCAUAAUAUUGCACUAAAACAGUGUUGGACAGCAGCAGUUGUGUGACUUUGAAAAUCCACCAAAAAUUUUUGAAAUCGAAUUAGAAAUUGUAUGAAAUAUGAAAUUAAAGCUUAUUGAAUAUAGUUUCCCAUAGAGGAAACGGUUCAUAUUAUGAGAUAUUUGAACUUUUGUGAGAUAGAAUCAGAGUGAUUUUGGGCUCCCCUGUCUCAACUUUGGAAAAUCACUAAAAAUUGUAAAAAAAUUAUUAUGGGUUAGAAUUUAUAUGAAUAAAUUUUUAAUGAGCCUAAUUUCAAUAUAAAUAUAUUAGAACAUCAUCUGAAUCCCGUACUAAGAGAUAAAAAAUCUUUAGUAAGGAAAGGUUGGAGCUGUCAAAUAGCAGAACAUGGGAGACUUUAAAGAAUAAAUUGUACUUAUUGGAUAAUCCAAAAAUUCUAAAAAUUUUAUGAUAAGAAGAUAUGUGAGUAUAGUUUCAGGGAAAAUUAGCGGAUCUUGAGUUGGAGUUCCAUUGCUCAAGUUAUGAGUAACUGAGUGACUAUGACUCGAGUAAAUAGCUUAAUUGGGAUAUAGUAAAAAUGCAAUUAUGAUUAUAUUACCAUGGAAUCAUGUGGAUAAAUUGCUUAUUAUUUUCAUAUGGACUUACUAAGCUAUAAGCUUACCCCCUCCUCUCCAUUUCUUUAGUGUUGUCGGGUCGGCUCGGGGUUGGAAAUCGUUGGAGGCAGCAUCACACUAUCAAGCUACCACAUUUGGAGUAUUGAUGAAUCUUAAUGUCUUCAAGUGAGUGACAUGUAUAGGGACUUAAUCAUUAUGAUAUGUAUUCUUUUAAUUUGGCCAAGAUGUUAGCUUAAAUUGAUUUGUUGUGUUCAGCCAUGAUAUGUGCUUGUAUGGGUUAUGGCUUGUAAGCCUAUUUAUACAAGCUAUUUAUUGAUGCCUUGUGAUGUGGUCAUGUGAUUAUAAUUGUUUGACAUGAAUGGUUAGUAUUAUGGUAUGUAUGCUUGAUGAAUGUCUUAUGACCAAACGAAGUGGUCAUAAUCAGAAAAUAAAAGUGUGAUAUAGUAAUAAGUCAAUACGGCUUGAACAUGAAAUUGGUGUGGAAUGACUUAGGCAAGCAUGGUAUAAAUGUAUAAGUAAUAAUCAAAAUGACAUGUUCAAUUGAUUGUGAAUUGGUGUGUUUAGACUUGGUAUAAAAUGAGUAAGCAAAACACAUGUAUGAUGAUAUAUGAAUAUUACAAUUGAGUCUUAAUGGAGGAUGUUUAAUAAUUUACUUGAUGCUACAUUGUAUGUAUCUAUAAUGUAUUUAAGUAUGUGAUGUAUUAAUGGCAACAAAAAGUCUUGGAAAAUAGCCUAAGUGCUAGCCACACGGGCAAAGACACGACCAUGUGUCUCAACCGUGUAGAGGACACGGGCAUGUAAUCUGUCCGAUUGGUUCAAUUUUUUUUGCUGACAUCAUAAAUAGAGAGUUACAUGACCUGAGGACACGGGCAUGUUGGAGACACACGGGCGUGUCCCUGUGUCCACAAGGACGUGUGACCCUGUUUCAUGAAAAUUUUUAUAAGUUUCCCAAAAAUUUCUAAAGUUUUCAGUUUAAUCCCUAACCACCCCGAUGUAUGCUUUAGGCCUCGAAGGCCCGAUGAUAUACAUGUAUUUGAAAAGUUUUAACUUUGGGAAAAAUUUUAUGACCCGGGUUUGCAUGUUUGUGAAUGUUUAAGUCCGGUAAUGCCUCAAAACUUGUCCCAGCAUCAGAUACGGGUAAGGGGUGUUACAUUUUGUGGUAUCAGAGCUAUGUUUUAGUCAGUUCUCGGACUAACCUAGCAUGUAUGAGAGUCUAGCUAUACAUGCCACCAGUCCGUGAUAGUGUUUUCUUUUUCGGCAUGAAGGAGAAUCCUCUUGUUUAGACAAAGGUACUCUCCAACCGAGCUACACCGACCAUGUUAAAUGUGAAGCUAAGGUAUUUCGGUAAAGUACAUUUAUGAUGAGCAGAAACUUAGAAAAGUAUUAAUAAAAGUUCAUGAUACGUAUGUGAUAACAUGUGAGAUAAAAGUUUAUGUUGCGAGGAAUACUCAUGCUUGUUUGAUGUUUAUAUGAUAUUGUGCACUUGACUUGUUUGAUUAAGUGAAUGUGAUAAAAAAGAAAUUCAUAAAGGUAUGAAUAAAGGUUUAUAAUAUCAUGUUACGAAUAAAAAUUUCAUUUUCACGAUUGGACGUAGAAUGUUGAUGAAUUUUAACGAUAUCUUUAACUGAGACCAAUGAUUAUAAUGUAAUAAACUUAUCUAUGUUAAAUUGAUGGAUUGAUUCAUAUGAAUGUAAUGAUAUGUAUAUGAUGAAGUGCGAGAUGAAAGUUUAGAUUGUAAUAUGCUUAUCCAUGUUUGUUUGGCCCUCGUAUGAUGUUAUGUGCAUGAGUUGUUUGAGUAAAUGAAAAUGAUUAGUAAUGUUAUUUAGAAUCCAUAGAAUGCAUGCAUAAGUGCACUGUUUAAAUAAGAUAAUUGGGAAGCUCGUGUCAUACAAAUGUGAAUAAUAGUUUGCCUGAAAUGAAUGUUAUGUUUGUGAAACUGUUACUAUGAUGAUGAGAUAGUGCUAUAAGCAUAUGCAUAUGAGAGACGAGUUAGGGGCCUUACAACCCCACCCUUUUACCAGAGUGGUAUUUAUAAAUGAUUUUAUGAGAUCAGUGUUGACUAAGCUCACAAGUAUGAGACCUAAGAGUUCAACUGUAGAAUGAUUACAAAUAUGAUUAGAGAAUGAGAAGGGUUAAUGAGUAGAGGCAUAAUUAGAAUGGUAUCGGAUUGAUCUAAAGAAUCUCUCAGUUUAUACGAUAUCACAGUUGGUGAAGAAGUUAACUUUGGUGAAUAGAUCUAUUCAGAAGCGGUUGAAGGAAUAAUAUUUGAAAGAUAAGAUAUCUGAGUGUGGCAGUUAUAACUGAACAGAUUUUGGCAGUCUCUUCUAAGGUGUUCUAUGUGAAUAUUUGUUCUUAGAGGUAUUCUUGUUGCUAUCUAUCCUCUAACAAAAUUUUAUUGUAUGGGAAUGUUUUCUAAUCAUGAUGUAUAGACGAAAGUAUUGAUAACCUGAUUGGUUUAUAAUCAGCACUGCUCUAUUUCUCUCUGGUAUUCUGUUACAUUCCGUCUGUUGGGAUUUUAUGAGAAAAUGCACAUGAUGCUAUGAUUCUGUUUCAUCUAAUUGAUAUUCUAUUUCGAUAUAUAUAUGGGAAGGUACAUUAUCCUUGUAGCAUUUAAUUCCAUGGGUUUGAAUGAUGUAUUCUUUUGGACUUCUUUUUCUGAGAAAUUAUUGAGAUCUUUCAUAUUUUCUCAAGAGUUCUACUCUUGAUCUAUUGGUACGGUAUCGUAUAUUAGACUUCUGUAUCUUGGAUUUCUUCAUCUUGGAUUUUUCUAUCUUGGAUUUCUUUAUUUUGGUUGUAACACUCCUAGCCCGUAUCCGUCGCCGGAUUAGGGUUAAGAGGCAUUAUCUAACAUAUGACAAUUGAAAUUUUUUUCUUAUACUCAACUAAUAUAUGACAGAUCUGUACAAAUUAAUAAUUCAAAUUCAUAAACAAAACUCACAAACAUCAUAUUUUAAAAUAUUCUUUCAAUGUAAACUCAAACCAUAAAUCAUGUAUGUAUAUGAUCAUUGCCAUUAUACUUAAUGAUGGUGCUCAUAAAUAUGAAUAUACUACCUAACUAACAAUCAAUUAUUUUCAUGUCUCAUACCAAUCUUUAUUUAAUAAUACCUAUGAACUCAUUUGAAUCUUUACUAACACAUAUAAAACAUAAUUAAUCAACUUAAACAAAGGUAGCAUAACAUUUAUUGUUCAUUCGACAUUUAAAAAAAACAUCUAGACACAUUUAAAUAAGGUUUAUAAUAAGAUGCAUGUAUGGAUUAUUACUCACCCAACAUGCAUCAAUUAAUAACUUCCAUACAACCCAUAAUUAAGCCAAUUGAAAUCAUGUUACAAACUUUAUUAAACAAUCACCUAUGUAAUUUAAAUACAUUAUACUAGGGUCGAACAUGCUAUUAAUGCCCAUGCAUAUAAUACGCAAAUUUCCCCAAAGUAAAGGUCACAUUUAACAUUGAAUAUAUAUAUAUCAAGACAAACGACCAAAUUAUUCAUAUAACACCUACAAUACAUACCACAUAUUCAUCACUUAAACUAUAUUACAUAUCAUGUUUCCAUCAUUUUGAAACAUAACUGAACUAUAGUGACAAGUAUCACUCAAAUAUAUACAUAUAUAUUUAGCAAGUUCACAUUCACCAACCUUUGCAUUAUUCCAACCGAUUUGUUUAGUCAAGUACCCUACUCACACAUAAUGUACAUAAUCUCUAAAGUGAACUAAUACACAAUCAGUUACACAUUUUAACUAGCAUCACUAUCAAUUCAAUUCCCAAAAAUGUCACAAUUAACACAAAUAUCUUAUAAUUUAUAACACAUUUAUAAUAGCCAAAACAGAUUAAACCAUGAUCAAACAUAAACAAAUCCAAGCUUAGAAAUUAAGUCAUUUUCGCAUGGCUUUAAUUAUACAUGACCAAAACGUAAUAUUUCAAAAAUAUAUCCAGCCUAUAAAUGCCAUAAUUCGAGUUCAAAUAUUUAAAUACCGAAGCAGUAGAUAGUGUGAUGAACUUUGCUAACGAUCCCCGAGCUUGUAAUAUCACCCAAAAUCUAUAAAACAGAGUAAACAUACACACAUAGAGUAAGCUAUCAUAGCUUAGUAAGUCAUAAGCAAAUAAAAAAUUUAAUGAUAUAACCAAUUCAUUUUAAACUAAACCGAACUACUUAAGCAUUAUUAUGUUUAAUCUCAAAUUACAAAUUUCAUAAAUGAUACUUUUUCGUACAUAAUUCCCUCCUUGGCCGAAUGCUCAUUUAACCAAGCUAAAAUAAUUUACCUUCCAUUUACAAGCCAAUAUGUCAUCAGAUAGUCAAAUAUACAUAUUCUCCUAAUCACAAGUUUAGGUAUCAUAAUAUAUUAUUAUGUACACAUAUUACCUAAAUGGCCGAAUACACAUGGUUACAUAUAUACACAUAACAUGUAUCCUCUCGAAGACAUUCAUAGUAUGCAUAUCAAGAGCGAACACACUUUUAUAAUUAUACACAUUCUAUAUUUACCUCAUAUGUCAAUUGUAACAAACAUUAAGUACUUAUUUACCUUAUCACAAGUAAUAAUAACCUAUUCCAUACCUGGUCAUUUAGCUUAUACAACAUGUACGUUCACAUCUUUUCGUAGCCCGAUGAACCGUUUGGAAUUGGAUAGGAUACUCAGAUAACCACACAUAUAUCGUACAAUGCCAACGUCCUAGACGUGGUCUUACAUGUAAUCACAAAUCGAUGCCACUGUUCUAGACAGGGUUUUACUCGCACACAUAUAUCGGAGUCACAUAUCGAUGCCAUGGUCUUACUGACACAAAAAUAUCGGAGUCCUAUAUCAUGACAUAUGUAUCCUAACUAUUCCUAAGGUUCAUACCGGGCUUCUGGACGUUGUAACUCGGUCGAAACCAAUUCGAAAACAUAGUAAUCAAGCUUAAUCAUAUUCGACUAUAACAUAAAUAAAAUUAUAACUUUCAUUUCAGCAUAUAUAUUUUUCAUUUAAUUAAAACUAAGUAUGUCUAUUUGCUUAUAAACUUACCUCAAACGUUAUAAAACGGAACAGGGCAGCUAGUCGACAACUUUCGUUUUCCCCCGAUCCAAAUCUGAUUUCUUUGGUUCUUGAUCUAAACAUAUUCAACUUAAGCUUAUUCAAACAUAUUUUCAUUAAAUUUAGUCUAAAACACAUAAAUGGGCAACUUACCAUUUUACCCCUGACAUUUACACUUUUUACAAUUUAGUCCCUAUUGCAAAAAACACAAAAUACACAAAAUUUCUCUAUACCCAAGUUAGGCCGAAUAUUACCCAUAUCCAUACAAGCCCAUAUAAUUUAUUUAUUUCAUAUUUUAGUCCCUCAAAUUAUUAUUUUUGCAAUUUAGUCCUAAUUACUGAAAAUCAUCAAAAACUCCAAUACAAAACAUGUUAAUCUAAAACAUAUCUUUCAUAUUUCAUCAUCAAACAACAAAAAUCACAAGCUCUCAACAAUGGCAUAACUCAAAAUAUUCACCAAAACAAAAAAAAAAAUUAAGCAUGGAUUUUGUAGUACUCGAAGCAACGAUCUUAAAAACGUAUAAAUUAUCAAAAACCGAGCUAGACUCUUACCUUGAUUGAGCUUGAAUGAAGCCGAACCCUAGUUCUUUUUCUUUCUUAUUUGUUAUUUCGGUAAUGGAGAAAAGUAUGAACACUAAAGUUAUUUUUUUAUGAUAUGUUAUAUUAUAUUAGUUUAUAUUAUUAGUUUAUUAAAUUAUCCUUAAUGAAAUAAUAUAAAAAUAGUAAAAUAUAUGCCUAUUACUGUCCAGCCAAUAGGCUAAUGGGAUAUUUACAACAUAAAUACUCCAAUUUAGGAAGCCAAUAACAUUUCGACCCUUAUAUUUUAAACUAUCAAAAUUUUAAUUUACGCGAUUAAGUCCUUUUAUUUAAUCGGAUACUCAAACGAUAAAAUUAAAGUAUGAAAAUUUCACAGAUAUAAAUUCACACAAAAUAAACACAAAAAAUAAUUUUAAAAUAUUUUUCUGACUAGGAUUCGUGGUCUCGAAACCACCGUUCUGAUUAGGGUCUAAAUCGGGCUGUUACAUUGGUUUUCUUAUUCUGAAAAUUAUUAAUCAUGACUCGUAUCUAAAGUGUAUACUUUGGCCUAUGAUGACUAUGUCAAUUAUGAUUAUGCCUUUGGGUUAAUAGUAGUAACAUGAUGAUUCUAGUAUUCGGAUUUCUUUAAACUUUGUGUAAGGUUUUGACAUCGACAAAGGCAUAAGUGGUGAAAUUGCUAGUUACAAUUUGCAUGGUGGAUUUCUUUUCUCAAGUAAGUUAAUUGAAGUUGAUGCCUUUAGUUGAGAUAUCCUUGUUACUUGAGUUAAUGCAUUUGAAAUGGUUUUUGAUUAGCAUGAUAAAUGAAUUUUGAUUGAUUACAUGUUAAAUCGUUCUAUAGACUGGAAGAGAGGAUUUCUUGAAAUGUCAUUUAUUGAUAAUUAAGACCAACUUGGUUGUUCAAUCAGUGUUGGUUAUUGUUUGAAAGAUUAAAUGAGAUAUUUAUGUCUGGGAAUAAAAUUUCAUUUCUUUAUGGGUAAAAGACGAAUAGUCUAAAUGAAAAGUGUAUAUUUCCUAGCAGACUUUGAUAUGCUUUAAAGUUGCUAUGAAUGAUAAAGUUAUCACCUUGUGAAAGUUGAACGGUCCAUUGCAUGUUAGUAAAGCUUAGAACAGACGAGAACAUUGUUAAUCAGAACAUUAGACUUGGUUUAGCGUACAUCGGGCAAGAAAUUCUUGAUUUUUCUAUGAUUUGUCGUUAAAAGGAUUGUGAUAUGUUUUGGGACAAAAAGGCAAUGUGAUAGCUUAAUAUAUCUGCUGUCAUGGAAAGAUUUGAGUUUGAGAUUGUUGUUGUAUGAUCUUUGAGAAAACGAAAAUGUGGUUACAAGUGCUUAGGUAGAAAGUCUAAAGCUUAUACAGAGAGUUUGCAAGGAAGCACACGGGAGUAAUGUAUUGGUGUUCAAAUUUUGAACUCGACAGAUCUUUGUGUUUGAUACAUGAAAUGUUAUCAGGGUUAAAGUUGAAUAUCAGGUGAUGUUAGAACGAUUUUCGCCAGUGGUGGUAAUUGAAUGGAAAUGAGAAUGAGAUUACUAUAGAUUUCAUAUCAGAAUUAUUCCUAUCUUUGAAAGAGAAAGAUGUCACGAGACUUGUUGUUAAGUAAUUGAUGAAUCUACAAAUCAUGUCGGUAAGUACUGAAUUUCCGCUCAUUAGACUUAUGGGAUUAAGUAUCUUUGAGAUUGUUAAAUUUCUUAAAAUGUUAGUUUUUAUUAAUCGGAUUGAGAUCCGGGAUUUAUAUCGUGAAUUAUUGAAAAAGCUAAAUGAGACUCUGAAUUUUAAUGAUGACUAGAGGUCGAAUUAGUAAACUGUCGGCUUUAUAAAAUGGUAGAGAACUUAAGGCCGUGAUGAUCGAGCUGGCUACACCAUUUGAAUCUGAGAGGAUUCAAGUAUGAUGUGUAUGUAUAUUCUAUGACGGUAUGGGUUCAACCCUUGUAUACAUGAAAUCUCUGAUAAAAGUCAAGAUUCGAUUGAUGCGUCGCAUAACACAGAAUUGUUCAUGACUUUCAUAUGAGAAAUUAAAGAGCUAAGUAUUAAACAUAGCCUAAGUAAAAAUUCUUUAGCAGUGAUUAUGUGAUAGUGGAGUUUAUGUGUAAACUAAACCACUCUUCUGGUAAGAUUUUUAGGGACGAAAAUCCCUAAAGGGGGGAGAGUUGUAACAUCCCGAAUUAGGACCUAGUCAGAACAGUGGUUUUGGGACCACAAAUCCGACAGAAGAAAACUUAUUUGUAUUAUAUUAUUAUGGUCUACAAUUUCAUGAGAUGAUUUCAUGAAAUUUUCGUUCGAAAAUUUUGACGUUUGGGCACUCAAUUUAGUCAAAAGGACUAAAUUGUAAAAAGUGCAAAAGUUGAGUUCUACAUGUUUGUGGUGUCAAAGAGAUUUGAAAUUUUAAAUUUGAGGUCCUUAAAUGGUAAUUAGACCAUUGGUUAAUUGUUGGACAAAAAUAGACAUGAAAUGGGUGAGAUAGAAUAUUUUUAAGUUAGGGGCAUUUUGGUAAUCUAAUAAUUAAAAGAAUUAAAAAGCCAAAAUAAGCCAAUUUUUGUCCAUCUUCAACCUUUGGCCGAAGUUUUGCAUGGAAUCCAUGGCUAGGGUUUGGUUCAAGCUUCCAAGUUCUUUUGUAAGUGAUCCCGAGCCCCGUUUUUAAUGUUCUUUAAAUUUUUGAAGUCCCGGUAACUUGAUCUAUCUAUUUCUACCAUUAUUUGGAGCUAGGGUUCAUGUUUAAAAAUUUACCUAUGAAUGAUAUGCAUGUGUUUUGAUGUCUAACGGUAGAAAAUGAAUGUUGGGUGUUAAAUAAGCGAGUUUUGCUAUGUAAUUUUCGGUGAAAAUGCUUAAAAGGACCGUUUUGUAAAAGUUACAGAAAUUUCCAUAAAAGUGUGAUUGAGUGGAAAUUAGGAGAUGCUAUAGUUAUGAAAAUGUUUCGGCUAGGCUUGAAGUACAAAGAAAUUGAAUGAAAAUCAUUUUACGAGCAUUGGGGCAAAAGUGCAAAUAUAUGUUUAGGGGUCAAAAUGCAAAUUUGUAAAAGUAUAAUUUUUGGACCCAUAGGAAUAAUGUGACUAAUUAGUAAGCUAAAUGUGAUAUUAUAGAUCAAGGAAAAUGAGAUUCGAGCAUAAAUUGGAAAUGAAUGAGAUUAUGGACUAAAUCAGAAUAAAUAGCCGUGCUUGUAUUCGAGGUAGGGUUCGUAUGUCAAUAAUAAUGCAAUAAUAUCAUUGUUUAUGCUUGAACUUAAAUUGAUGUGUUAAAAUUAUGUGGUGAAUAUUUAUAUAGUUGAUAUGAUGAUUGUAGUAUGUGACAAAUGCCUAAAUGUAAUUAUGAGCAAUGCCAUGUUUAUGUCAUGAAUAUGAGAAUGGUGAAUUUGUAAGCAUGAAUUGUAUUAUGGUCAUUGUUCACGACAUGACAAGUAAGUGCGAUAAAGAUGCUAUGUGCAAGUGUGUAAACCCUCGUUUGAACCUUAGGAAUAGUUUAGGAUACAAGUGACAUGUCACCAGGAAUUAAGAAAUCCGAGCUCGUUGAGCAGUCCGAGUUCGUGAUAUAUGUGAGAAUCCAAACUUAUUGAGUGGUCCAAGUUCGUGAUAUGUAUGGAAUUCGAGCUUGUUGAGUGAUCCGAGUUCAUAAUAGAUGAGAUACAUGUAUCAUCCGAGCUCGUUGAGAGGUCCGAGUUCAUUAUGGAUGUGUUACAUGUUAUAAGGUAGCUUUGGCUACGUAUGUUUAUGUGGCACUUAUGUGCAAGUUUCCGUGUAUCCAAUAGUAUUCCAAGUGUUCAAUGGGUAUUAUAAUGAAUGUUGCGAUGAAAGUCCCGAGAUGGCACGGUAAUGAAGGUAAAGUUAUUCGAUAUGCAACGGAUAUGUGCAGGUACGUAUGUUAUACUCAUGAGUAAUGCUUUGUUACAAGAUGAUAUAUGAUGAAAAGGUACAUUCAUGUAUAUAUAUAUGAAUAUUUGAUUAAUGAGCUAGAAUGCUUGAAUGAUGAAUAAUCUUGGUGAUCAUGUUAGUCUGUCAUCCUAUGAUAGUUAUCAUAAUAUUGCACUAGAACAGUGUUGGACAACAGCAAUUGUGUGACUUUGAAAAUCCACCAAAAUUGUAGAAAUCGAAUUAGAAAUUGUAUGAAAUAUGAAAUUAAAACUUAUUGAGUUUAGUUUCCCAUAGUGGAAACAGUGUAAGCAAAAGAGUUUCAUAGUAUGAGAUAUUGUAACUUUUGUGAGACAGAGUCAGAGUGAUUUCGGGCUCCCCUGUUUCAAAUUUGGAAAAUCACUAAAAAUUGUACAAAAAUGAUUAUGGGUUAGAAUUUAUAUGAAUAAAGUUUUAAUGAGUCUAAUUUCAAUAGAAAUAGACGAGAACAUCAUUUGAAUCUCUUACUAAGAGAUAAUAAAUCUUUAGUGAGGAAAUGUUGGAGCUGUCAAACAACAUAACAGGGGAGACUUUGAAGAAUAAAUUGUACUUAUUGGAUAAUCCAAAAAUUAUAAAAAUUUUAUGAUAAGAAGACAUGUGGGUAUAUUUUCAGGGAAAAUUAGAAGAUCUUGAUUUGGAGUUCCGUAGUUCAUUUUAUGAGUAACUGAGUGACUAUGACUCGAGUAAACAGCUUAACUGGAACAUAGUAAAAAUGCAAUUAUGAUUAUAUUACCAUGGAAUCAUGUGGAUAAAUUGCUUAUUAUUUUCAUAUAGACUUACUAAGAUAUAAGAGUACUCCCUCCUCUCCAUUUCUUUAGUGUUGUUAGGUCAGCUCGGGAUUGGAGAUCGUCGGAGGCAGCAUCACACUAUCAAGCUACCACAUUUGGAGUAUUGAUGGAUCUUAAUGUCUUCAAGUGAAUGGCAUGUAUAGGGACUUAGUCAUUAUGAUGUGUAUUCUUUUGAUUUGGCCAAGAUGUUGGCUUAAAUUGAUUCGUUGUGUUUAGCCAUGAGAUGUGGCUUGUAUGGGUUAUGGCUUGUAAGCCUAUUUAUCCAAGCUAUUUAUUGAUGCCUUGUGAUGUGGUCAUGUGAUUAUAAUUUUUUGACAUGAAUGGUUAGUAUUACGGUAUGUAUGCUUGAUGAAUGUCUUAUGACCAAACAAAGUGGUCAUAAUCAGAAAAUAAAAGUGUGAUAUAGCAAUAAGUCAAUACUGAUUGAACAUGAAAUUGGUGUGGAAUGACUUAGGCAAGCAUGGUAUAAAUGUAUAAGUAAUAAUCAAAAUGACAUGUUCAAUUGAUUGUGAAUUGGUGUGUUUAGACUUGGUAUAAAAUGAGUAAGCAAAACACAUGUAUGAUGAUAUAUGAAUAUUACAAUUGAGUCUUAAUGGAGGAUGUUUAAUAAUUUACUUGAUGCUACAUUGUAUGUGUCUAUAAUGUAUUUAAGUAUGUGAGGUAUUAAUGGUAACAAAAAGGCUUGGAAAAUAGCCUAAGUGCUAGCCACAUGGGCAGAGACACGGCCAUGUGUCUCAACCGUGUGGAGGACACAGCCUAGCAUACGGGCGUGUGAUCUGUCCAGUGGUUCAAUUUGUUUUGCUGACGUCAUAAACGGAGAGUUACACGGUUUGAGGACACGGGCGUGUUGGAGACACACGGGCGUGUCCCUGUGUCCACACGGGCGUGUGGCCCUGUUUCAUGAAAAUUUUUAUAAGUUUCCCAAAACUUUCUAAAGUUCUCGAUUUAGUCUCGAACCACCCCGAUGUAUGUUUUAGGCCUCGAAAGCCCGUAUAAGGGACGAUAUACAUGUAUUUGAAAAGUUUUAAUUUUGGGAGAAAUUUUAUGAAUCGAUUUUGCGUGUUUGUGAAUAUUUAAGUCUGGUAACGCCUCGAACCUUGUCCCGGCGUUGGAUAUGGGUAAGGGGUGUUACAAUAAAUAAAACAUAUUAAACAUAACAAAUAAUAAAUUCAUUGUCACUAAUAAAUCAUUGUGGUUAGAUAAUAUAUAUUUUAUGUAUCAUAGCACAAGAAAAUAAAAAAUAUUAUAAUGUCAUAUUAAAAUAACUUUACAACUAUAAAUGUUUAAAAAUAAACAUUUUGUAACCUCCACCUCUUAUACAUAAUUUCAUUUCAAAUUUUACAAUGAUAUGAAAUUAUCAUAGACAUGAUCAAUAUCACAAUGUUCAAGACAAGAAAGUAUUUUUACUCACAUUCCACAAUAAUCAUAUAUCUUAAUCAAAAUCAAAAUUAAAGCAAUCAAUUCUAUUAAAAAUAAAAAAAAUAUUUAUCUCCACAUAAAAAUCCCAAUAACUAAAUGCAUGAAGGAUUUUAUAAAUUUAUAGAGAUAUGGAUAGUGAAUUAUAUAAAUUGAAAUUUUUAAUAGAAAUCAAAUCAAAUUUCAAAAGAUGUUAAUUAGAUCGACUUUGUUACCAUGGAUGAGAAGUAAUGAUUAUAAAUAUCCUUUGUAAUGAAAAGAAAGAGAUCAUCCCCAAGCAAAUAUCAAAAAGUAGACUUUGAGAGUGGAUCUUAUUUCUCGAUGUAUCAAAUCUUCCACCAUCUUUAUGAACAAAAAGUAAAAUAAGUUAAUCAAAAAAAUGAUAACUUAUAAUGAAAGAGGAAUGAAAAAUAAUAAUCAGAUAUGAAACAUAAAAUAAAAGAAACUUCCUGUAAAAACUUUGCAUCUUGCCGUCAAAGAUAUUGAAAAUCAUGAAGGAUAAAUUUGAUCAUCGAUAAAAGGAACUAUCAUUUUGAGCCAGAUCGUACUGAUAACGUGUUAUAAAAUAAAGAGAGAUGGAGAAAAUAAAGAACAAAUAAAAUAUGAAAACAAUAGAGGAUGUACUUUGUUGAUCAAAAGGGAUGAUUACAAUGCUUCAUUAGAGUCUCUAUUUAUAGGCAUAAGAAGUACAGGAGAAGUAGAGAUCUAAUUCUAAUAACUAUUAGAAUUUAAAGGACAUUAAAACUUUAUAUUGAUCAUGAUGGCCAUUCAAUUAAUAAGAUAUUCAUAACAAAUAUAAUGUCUUAAAAUAUCUAUAUAAUAGGUUUAUGUUUAUGCUUAUUGUUAGAUUUGAGUUAAUAUUUAAUAUUUAAAAUGAUGAAAAUAUUUGAUUAAUUUAAUACUUUAAAAUUUUAAUUGGAAUAUUUUAAAGUUUUAAAAUCAAUUUAAAUUAUGAGUCAUAGUUUUAUGUGGAAUUAACUAUUAGAAUGGGAAAAUGAUGGGCCAAUUUUAAAGGAAAAAAAUUGGAAUUAGGCCAAUUUUGUCAAAAAUUAAGGAAAUAUGUCGUUUUUGGAGAAAUAAGGCAAAAAUACCUCCUAUAGGGCGCGUUUUUAGCUGCCGUGGCAAGAGAGAGGGUGAAAGCUUUUUGCCCCAGCUGAAACACAUCAUUUACGACGCGUUUUUGAAAACCCAUGGCCCUAAACCUAAACCCUAACCUUAAACCUGGGAAUCUCGAGAUAAAAUUUACAUCCAAUCCUUCUUUUACAUGGAAUAAUAGGAAUCUUUAAAAAUAUAAUAAUAAAAAAAAACACUUCUUGUUAGAAGCGUUUUUUUGAUUUGUCAUGUCCAAUCUUUUAGCAUUUUGAAAUUAUGUUUCAUAUUCGAUGGUAGAGUUUCUUAUAAAAUGAAGACAUUCUGCGAAGAGGUUUUCAUAAUUAAACUUCGAACAGAUUGUCUUCAUAAGAAGAUAAGCAUAAGGAGAAGAUAGUUAAUGUUAAAAAUCUAAAGUUCAAAAAUCGAGUCAACAAAGUAAAUUAGUUUAAGGUAAGCGUCAUUGUUUGAAUUUGGAUAAUGAGUACUUAUUUUUCUAUGUAAGGUUUUCGUUUUAAACAUGUGAAACAAACUUUUUUGGCGAAGAUGAGUAGAAAAAUUAGAGUCAUUAUUUAUUACGUGGUCAAAUUUCUGACACGAAAGUAGGGUUUUUUUAUUAGCCUAAUCUAUAGAAUUGGCUUUCAACCGAAGCAUAAAAUUGAACGAGCUUUGGUCCGGUCAAUAAAGGAAAGUGUCGACUUCAAGCUGGAAGAGAAUUUCAAGCUUGAAAUAUGGAUAUCAAAUGUUAUUGAACCCUGUUAGAUAUGAUAUAUUUUAGCUCAAAGAUGACACGAAUGUCGAGAUAAUACUUGAUAGACAUUGCUUUAGUGGAAAUGCUAUACUAGAGUUAUAUGCCCAGUUUGUCGAUGUUGAGGAAGGUGGUUUGAGUUUGACAACAGUUCCAGUAAAUUUGUUUUGAGAAUAGGAAGCAGAAAGUCCAACCACACAGUUGUGCGAUGGUUUCAGAAUAUUGUUACAAAGCUUGGGAAAUGCUGGAAUAACCAAUGGGAAGGUGUUACUCAAUUUUAGUCCUCGAUUUCAACUUUGGCGUACAGUUGGUGUAACCUCCGCAACUUAACCUAGACAUUAUUGCUAAAUUGUAAAGACCACAUAAGCCACCGAUGUGACUAAAUGACCUUUCCCUACUUUGAAAACCUUAGUUACUCUCUUUUAAGAAAAAACACAGUUUGCUCUUGUGUCAAUUUGAAAAACAUUCAUUUUAUAAGUCAACUGUUCUUAAGUCAUUUUCUUAGAGAUAGUGAGGUUUUAGAAAAAAAAAACAUGUUGUGCGUCAUUUCAUCCAAAAAAAUUCUAACAACUUUUGUUGCAAUGAAAAACUUAGUUCAUGAAAAAUUUUAGUUAAGCCAAGUAUCAUGCAUUGUCUGAUUUCAGAACACAUAUUUAAAUCCAAUCAAUGAUAUGAGUAUGCAUGCAUAAAACCCUAAGAUGAAGAAAAACCCAAACCACAGUCCAAAACCAAAUAAACCUUAAUAAAAUUUUAAGCAAAAGAAAUGUUUAGUAUGAAGUCCAUCGUAUGUCUGCAUGCCGAGUCCAUUCCUAGUCUCGAGCAUUACUUGAUAUGUUUGAAACUAUGGGGUGAGCUAACUAGCUCAGUAUGAGUCGAAAAUAAUAUAAACACUCAAUUAAUCAUACGGAUAACAAAAACCAAUUUAAUAUAACACAAAACAUAGCAUUAAUCAUUAUCAUUUGAGUGUGACAUGGACAUAAUACAAUGCAAAAUUAUUCUUACCCAACCAUCUGCUACACUCUACGAGUUCCCCAGAACCCGUCUGCCAAUCUCCAAACAUUGUGAGCUAUGCUCGAUGUGGUUAAACCACCAUGAUAUACAAUGUAGUUAUACUGCCAAUCAUUAUACGAUAUAAUCACUAUUCUCCUUAUUACUCCUAGUUUAGUGUACUGAAAACAUAAACGUGGACUUAAUCUAUCACCGUUACUCCAUGAAACUCCUCUAUCAUCCACAAUAUCUCACCCCAUGCACAUGCAUUAUGUCAUACAUGAUGCAAACAAGUACUUGUUUCCAUGACAAUUACAUUUCAGUGGCUUGCUUUACACGCCUUCAUUAUAUCAUUCAUUUCCAUUCAGUGGUUACACUUAUCAAGCUUUCAAUUUCACAAUCAAUUCGAUGACAGUCUAACAUGCCUUAGUUUCAUAAUUAUUUUAUAAGCAAUUUAACAUGCUACAAAAGCAAUUUUCUAGUGUAUGUAUAACAACUUUCAAUUAGUUUGUUCCAUGGCAUCUCACUCAAGUAUACAGUUCAAACUUUCAUUCCAUAAUAACACAUGCUAUACAAACAACCAACAAUAUUUAAUAAUCAACCAAUCAUGUUAUAUCAUAUCAUUUCGAAACAAUUAGUUUUGUAUUCACGUUAUUUGUUAGGGCUCGAAAUUUACCUGGUUCGGCCAACUUUAAAUUACUUAUUUAGUAAUUUAAUGAAGCUUAUCCAGCAAGCUUAAUUACCACAUGAAAUAAUAAAAUACUUAUUUAACAUUUAUCUUACUAAUUUAGAACCCACACCUUGAUUUUGAAAAUCACAACAUUAAAUCGUAAAAUUUAUACUUUUGCUCCUAAGCCUUAGGUGAGCCUAUAUCCAAAAUCAAAACUUAAUACGAUAAUAUACGGUUAAUGACCAGACUUACAACAUCCAAAGGGGUUCUACCAAAGCAGUGUUACAAACACAAAUUUUCAUAUUCAAAUUAUCAAGCGAACUUACACUGUAUUGAUACAAAACGCAAGUGCGAAAAAGAUCUGCAGCAACUAUUGAUCUGGGUCGUUUAAACCAACAGUUAAACAUAAUUAAUACAAAAAAAUUAGUAACCAAAAAAUCCUAUUCAGACUUUAAAGCAAUUAGCCAAAGAAAAAAAAUUAUUAACAAAGCGAAACAGUGCAAGAUCUUGCAUAAAUCUACACUUUGCACUACCCAUUACCUAGAUUAUAGUUGUUGGAUGAUCAUUUUGGUUAAUUACUCAAUUAGGAACAUCUAAAUUAGAUCCAAAUAGGGGGAAAAAUCCAAAAAAUUAAAAUAGUAGGGGCAACAUCUGAAGAGAAACAACAAUCCCAAAACAAUGAUGUUUUAAGGGGUGGCAACACCACUUGAGACGACAAAAAAGGUAGAUCUGGGGUGGCACAAGGAGGGAUAAUAACCAGUAAAGUGGCUGGAAAAAUAAGGGUAAAAUUUUAGCAAAAGGAAGCGACACAACAAUGGUGAAAUCCUAGAGAAAAGAAAAAAAUUCGAGAGGAGAAGAGCGGUUAGGGUUAAAAAAAUGACUAAAUGCUAAAAAAUAAGUGAAAAAGUGGUAUUUAUACUUAGGUUACUAAUCUUGGGCAGCACAAAAAUAGGGGGAAGGAGAAAAAUUACCAAAAUUAAGAUAUUUUGCAAGAGAAAGGAAUUGAACUCGAGUCCUUGAUCUAAUUACACUAUUUACUUAUUUUCUUUUAACCACUAAGCCAAUUACUCAUCCUUAGAACACUUUUACAACCUUUAAACCAUAAAUUUGGGAUGUUACAGUCGGGGUUAGUUGGUAACUCGAACUUGGAGACCUAGGCUCUAAAUUCUGUGAGUGCUUUUAAUUUCUACUUCGAAACACUGAUGUUUUAUGAUAGAAACACUUGUGCAUGUAUGCCAUCAAGUUACACGGGUGAACAAUUCAGAAGUAAUAUUGGUUUUAACAUAAUGUUGGCGAGAAUGGAUAAUGUACUCCUUACAACCUACAUCGACGAAGGGACAUCCAACUAGGUUGAUAGUGAAGAGGAGGUUGAGAAUGAAGAGAACAAAAAGGGAGCUAAGAACGAAGAUGAAUCUAAAAUCGAUGAUGAUCCAAUCCGAGAGUCUGGGCCAGAUGGUUCAAAAAUUGCAUUAUUUUUUUAACUAGAGGUCGUUCCUACUUAACUAGAAAGGAAUGGUUCUAACGAUGAAGGCCUGGAAAAUGCUAGAGGAACCCAUCCAGAUUUUACGACAUAUGCACCUCCAUCGCACAUGCUUAAUGUCAACCUUGAUGCUGAAGAUGGGUUAGAAUUUCCAGAACUUCCUUAUAAAAGACUGGACCAUGCGAGUUCUUUUACAAAUUUAGAAGAUUUAUAAGUUGGAAUGGAUUUUUCCUCUAAAUAUGCUUUUUUUGUUGUAAUGAAGCGGUAUAACAUAAAGCAUGGGUCAACUUUUAUGUUAAAAAAUCACGAGCCAAAAAAUAUGAGGUGAAGUGCACAAUGCAUGACAAUAGAUGUCCAUGGAAAAUAAAAGAAAAUGGAAAAGAUGCAUAAUGGGUGAGAUAAAUCAUUGAAUGAUUUGUGGCAAUGGUUGAAGGUACUGAAUCAGUAUGUUCCAAGUAUCAUCAAUCUUGUGAAGUUUAUCGAGUUCCUGGUGUGAGGGCAAAAUAUUUUGCACAAACCCAAACUGCUGCAUCGCUCAGUCAGAUUAAUGCAUCUCAACUAUUGAAAAAACUAUCAAUGACACAUUGACAUGUCAAAUAUUAUGAUUCGUCAAAAAUUUGACUGAGAUACAUUCUUGAAUUCUCAGAUUAGAGUACGACAUCCAUUCAAAUUAUAGUCUAAAAUUAUAAAUUUUAUUACGUACCUAAUAUUAAAUUUCAAAUCCUUACGUAAUUAUUAUAUAAUUGAAAAUUUUAAAAACUAACCUUGGCUUCUGAAUAUUGAUCUAACAAUAACCAUAUGUCUUCGAGCUCGUUUGGUAUACCCUCAAGACUUGCAUCAUUGUUCCACCUAUUCAAAUAAUAUGUUAUUUCAAAAAUAUAAUAAUAAAAAAAUAAUAUGACAACUACAAUAUUAAAUGAAGCUUACCUUAUUACAAGUGCGAAUUGAUAAGAGAAGUUUACUUGGGGAGGUAAAAAUGGUAUGCAAUAGUAUUUCCAUGACUGAAGAAGGAAAAUACAGCCACUAAUUUUAAUUUUCUGUGCUUUAGUUCCCUGACACAUCUCUCGGUACAAUGUAGUCAAGAUAUUCUGAUCCCCAAUUGAAUCGCUCAGCUUCUUUUAAGUUGAUUAGUUGUAGGAGCCACCUUAAAUGUACCAAAAUUUGAGAUUUAUCUAGCAUUUGAAGACCCUUGAUCAACCUCAGCAUGAAUGCUCGAGAGAAUUGUUGUCUUUCAAUUACACUAGAAGAGUUGUCAAGAUGUGAGAAAUUUAUCUGGCUACCACUACACUUGUCCGUCACCUUGCCUGAUAGGUGGUGGUAAAUUGCGCUCUAAUUGCUAACAUGCACUACCACUAUAAUAACUGACCCAUCAACUAGUAAACCGAGUUGUAGUUCCACAUCCUCAAGUGUAAUCAUACACUCACCACACGAAAGAUGGAAUGUGUGUGUAUCGGGUCUCCAUCUAACACUCCAUGAUAGGUGCUAAAAGUAACAUGUUUUAACCUCAUUCUUAAUGCAUUUUUGGGUGAUUAUUCAAUAUUAAUGGUGAAUUUUAUGCUCCUAAUCCUUUAAAUUCAUAUUUUUAUACUUAAGAGAGCAUUUGGGAGUCAAAAGAGUGAAAAAAAAGUGAAAAUCGAAAAAUCAGAGCAAGUUAUAGGAGCCACAAGGGCUGACCCAUUCCAUACGGCCUGUGCACAUUGCCGUGUGAGCCACAUGGCCUGCCACACGACCAUGUGGCAGAUCGUGUUGAUUUCAUGAAUUGCACCCAAAUAGUGGGAAAAAAAUGCAAUUUUUAGGGUUUUUGGGGCAUUCUAAGACCUAUAUCUGACAAAAAUAAGAAGAUAGGAGAGAGUUGUUAUAGAAUAUUCAAGAAAACAACUCAAAAAAUACCAUUGAAGUGAUUCUAAAGCAGAUUUCCAUCAAGAUUGAAGAUUCCUUUUCGAUUUCUUUUGAUAUUAUUAUGAGGUUCUUUGUUUCUUGUGGUUAUACAAUGUUUUAGAUGUUUUUAUUUGCAUGUAUGAACUAAUUUCCUAAAUACCUAAGGGAGAUGAACCCUAUGAUGGAUUCUGUUGUUUUAUUUUUAUUUUACACAAUAAAGACUUAGAUCUUUUUCUCAAUUAUGUGUACUUAAGUCUUAGUUUAAUAUUUAUAGAUUAUUGAUCUAUGUUUGAUGUGCUUAAAUUAGAGGAGUUAUUUAAGAGUAGAUCUAGCGUAAUUGAGUGGAGUUACAUGCAAUCCUAGAAAUAUGAUGACAUAAAUCUACCAGAUUAGAGUCAAAUCUAAUAGGGGAAUCCAUAAAUCGAGUUAAUGUUAUAACAGGGGUUUUAAUUAGAAAUAAAUUUCAAUUAAUCAACCUAGAUUCAGAUGCUCUUAUUCUUAAAGAGAGAUAUUAACAUAAUUUUGGGAUUUCUACGGAUCAAGAUACUAAGUGAAGAAAUUGCGUAAUUUAGAUUGAUAAUGACAGAUGAAGUCUAGGCGAAUUCUUUCCUGGGUAUUAUUUCGCUUCUUGGUUAUUAUUCGAUUAUUUUCCCAAUUUGUUUUUUUUUUGCAUUGGUAGUUAAUUAUUUUAGUUAAUUUUAGUUAUCAAUCAAUCGCUCCAAUUAUUCGGUUAAAUAAUAGAAAGAUAGUAAUUACUAGUACUUCUAGUCCUUGUGGGAAUGAUAUCUUUGCUCACCGUAGCUAUACUAAUAAUUGAUAGGUGCACUUGCUUUAGUUGGAUUUUUAGUUAGUUUACGAUUUCAUCACCCCAUACCUGACCUAAUCACUGAGUCCAAGCUACAAAGUGCCACAUUAAUUGCCAGAGCAACUACGAUAAAAUUACAUUUGAUAUAAACCAUUAAACUUUAAAAUAUAAUUAAAACAAGUGUAUAAUAUGAUAUUGAUCUUCCGUAAUUUGAUACGUCAAAUUAGGCUCUCCAUUAUACUUAAAGAGCUUAUUCUCAAGCAAUUUAGGUGUAUUUUUGUUACUUUUUUCAAUUUUUAGUUUUUAUCGUUAAUGAAGUAUUUUUGUUAGUUUUAUGGAGUUUUGAGACUCAAAUUGACCAAAUGUACCAUGGGGAACCUAACAUUAUAAUUUAGUGUAGGAAGUUGGUAAUGGCCCAAACAUGAAGAAAUCAUCUUUAGGAGGGGGUAUCAAGAUAUUGAGCCAUGGAGAAUGUGAUAACCCUAAUAGUGUUGAAGUGAAGGAAAUUAAGGCCAACUCCAAUGAUAUCUUGAUACCGAGGAUGGGUAUCAGACUCCCAAAACUCUCAAUUGCAUUAUUGUUUUGGGUAUCGUGAUACCGAAGUGCGAUAUCGCUACCUGAAAAGUGAAAAAAUACAGGGGCAAUUUUAUUUCCAAACAAGAUUAAGUCUUUUUUUUUCAUUUAAGGGCAUAAUGGUCAAUGUUAGGUUAAAUAUUAGUAGACUAUAAAUGUAACACCUUACACCCAACUCGACUGUCGGGUCUGAGCUACAAGAUGUCACAUUCAUAGCCGGAGUGACUGUGAUUAAUUUUAUUCAACUUUAAACCAUUGUAAGAUUUAAUUCAAUCAAAUGAACAUUAAUCACAAUAACCAACCAUUUACGAGAUUUAUAUGAUGAGCUUACAAUAGCUCCUAGAACAAAUCCGAGGUUGAAUAGAGAUCAAACAUCCAUCAUAUAAUAAUAAAUUCAAUAGGCGUAUUCACUUAAGAACAAACCAAACUAGACUUAACUAGGUACAUGCCAACUUAGAAUAAAAACAGAAUAUAAAAAUAUUGAUGAGUUCGGGAUUGUUGACUGAAUGCUAAAGUUGUGGUUCAAAUAUCUUGAAUUAUACCUAAACUGUGCACGAAUAACAAACCGUAGGUUGAGCAAUGGAACUCAAUAGUAUUUCUAUGAUUUAAAUAACAAAAUUUCAAGUUGAGAAAAUUGUAACAUCAAACUAAUAUGUCAUUUAUAUCAAGUGGAAAACCAAUUCAUUUAGCAUUGCAAAAGAAAUGAUCUAUAACACCCCUUACCUAAGUCCGAGGCUAGGACUGGGCAUGAGGCAUUACCAUACUUAAUCACAUGCAUACAAUCGUUUCCAAGUCACCAAAACUUAAUCAAAUUCAAAGCUCUUUCGAACUUUGUUUAAACUCUUUAAAUGUGGGCCUACAAAGCCUCAAACUUUCAUUAGAAACCAUUUGGAACCAACUCGGGUCCUUAAACCGUCUAAAUAAAAAUAACUCUUGAAACAGGGCACACGCCCAUGUGGAAGGGUAACACGCCUGUGUGGUCAUUAUAAUAUGGCCGUAUUGAUGGCUCGUGUGACACACACGGCCUAAGCACCUAGGGACACACCCAUUUCCCAUACCCCUGUGAAUUUAAUUCCAACAUCGAACCUACAGGGGUUUUCACACGGCCUGACACACGCCUGUGUCUAUGGCCCGUGUCCCUCACAUGGCCAUGACACGCCCGUGUCUAAAAAUCUUAACAUUCUGUUUCUGACUUCAGCAAUCCUUAAGGGUCACAAGGCCAAGGCAUACGUCCGUGUGCUAGGCCGUGUCCUUCACACGGCUGAGACACACGGUCGUGUCUCUACCCGUGUGUUUACUACCAUGCAUACUGAUUUGAAAUUUCUACAUGCAGGGGACACAUGGUUGGACAACACGCCUAUGGGGCUGGCCGUGUGUCACACACGGCCUAGACACACACCCGUGUGUCUAGCCGUAUGGACAACAUAGGGCUUGGUCCAAGCCCUUUACCACCCUAAAAAACAAAAUAACAACAUCCAUCAUGCUAAAGAUUAUCAUAAUAUGAUUCCCAUUCCAACAACCACAUCUAAGGCCUUCACACAUUUCAUUUUUACUAAAAAAACUAAUAAAUUACCCAUUCAUGAAAUAACUUAUUGUAUUCAUAUAACAACUUUCAACUUUAGCCAUUUUCGUUGCCUUAUACAAAAUGAAUCAAAAUGCUAAAAUAAGCCAACACAUUUGGCCAAUUAACAAUGACACAAAAUUUUAAAGUCAGGGUCCUAUACAUGCCAUAAUCAAAAUAAAUAGAUCUAACUAUAUCAAGUGCUUCGAUUGAUAGUGUGACCGAUGCCCCCGACGUCCGUUGAUCCACGAGCUAAUUAGGCGGCACUAUAAGAAAAUGGAAAGAAAUAGGGUAAGCAUAAAGCUUAGUAAGUUGCAUGCAAUAAAUAUAACAACAACUUUCCCAUUCAUCAUCAUGCUCAUAGUACUUAAGUAGGCAUAAGCACAACUUACUCAUCACUAGCCAAUACAUUUCACAUAGCAUAUAUUGAGCUCACAUCUCAUACAUUUCAAAUAGGUACCUGUACCACUCAUAACAUGGUUUUUAACUUAAAUUGUGACUCUCACAGUUGAACCAUUUGGAAUGCUAUCAGAUAUUCAUUAAGCCUCAAACAUAGGGUGUAAUGCCGAUUCCAUGUCCCAGACAUGGUCUUACACUGACUAUCAAAAUUGAGGCCGACGCCAUGUCCCAGUCAUGGUCUUACACUGGCUCUCACAUCUCCGUGCCAAUGCCAUGUCCCAGACAUGGUCUUACACUGGCUUUCACAUCUCCGUGCUGAUGCCAUGUCCCAGACAUGGUCUUACACUGACACAUCUCGUAGCUGACGCAUGUCCCAGACAUGUCUUACACUGGCUUACAUCACGAGACCGAUGCAUGUCUCAGAAAUGUCUUGCACUAGCUCUCGUCUUAAUGCCAAUGCCAUGUCCCAAAUAUCAUCUUACACUGGCUCUCACAAUGUGGUCGAUGCAUGUCCCAGACAUGUCUUACACUAGCACACAAAUAACCCGAAUGUCAUGGCAUGAAUAUCUGAUUUAUUUCCUAAGGUUCAAACGGGAAUUCUACCAUCUCAAUAUUCAACAUACAUAAUCAUUUCCAAAAACAAGCAAUUUAUGCUACGUCAGUUCGAACACAUAUAAUAACAAUGUAGUUGUAUUAUUUAUAUACAACUUACCUCGGUGCUUAAAAUGUGGCGACUAGUUCGGCUUAGCCACUUGUUUAGCUUUUCCCCGGUUUAGGCCCGGAUUUUGUAAUUCUUGAUCUAGAAUGAUAAAAAUUUACGAAUUUAAUCAUUUUAUUAAUAUAGAUACUCAACAAUUUAAAAUUGGAAAAAAUGACCAUUUUGCCCUAGACUUUUGUGAAAAUGACUAUUUUACCCCUAGGUUCGAAUAUUGAUUUUUAUCGAUUUCUUUAUAUCUUAAGUCUAGUCGAUUACUUUUUACACUAGAAGCAGUCCAAAAUUCUCAAUAUUUCACACCUUUAUAACCUAUUUUACAACUUAUGCAAAAUGGUCAUUUUUAGGGUUUUCAUGAGAAAUCUCUUCACAAAAGUUGUUUGCUUCACAACCGUGGUUCAUUUUCUUCCAUAAAAUUUUAGAAAAAACAUGUAUACUAUCAUGGCAAAACCCUAGACUUUCAACCAUUUUGAAAAAUAGUUCCCUCAUUUGAAUGCUCAUGAUACAAGGAUCUCAAAAGUAUAAAAAUAUUCAAGAAAAGCCCUCAAAAUCACUUACUUGUAGAGAGACUAAGUGGAUGAAAUUUCAUUGUCAAAAAAUCCUCUAAUGGAUGAUAUUUUCAAUGAAAGAAGGAAAGGUAAGAAGAGAUGGCAACAUUUUCUUUUAUUUUAUUUCUAGACAAUAUUAAGUCAUCAAUUUACCUAACCCUUUGACUUGAUGAAUUUUCUUGUCUCAUGGCCAGCCAAGCUAAAAUCCAAGGGUCUAUUUUCCCUUUAAAGACCCCUAAUUUAAGUGUCAUGGCAAUUUAACACCUUUACCUAUCAAUUCAAAACUUUUGAACUUUAUGCGAUUUAGUCCUUUGUCGCGAUUAAGCUUACAAACGCUAAAAUUACUUCACCAAAUUUUCCAUGCACUAAUAUAAACAUGCUAUAACUCUAAAAUACUAAUAAAAUACUUUCUUUGAAUUUGGAUUGGUGGUAUUGAAACCACCGUUCCGACUGAGCCCAAAAUCGGGUUGUUACAAUUCUCCCCCUUAAGAAUUUUCGUCUUCAAAAAUCUUACUGGUGAAUAGAUUUAGGUAAUGGUCUCUCGUUGUUUCUUCAGGUUCCCAUGUGGCUUCCUUAAUUCCAUGUCUAUGCCAUAAUACUUUUACAAGUUCUAUACUCUUAUUCCUCAACUUUUUAACCUCUCGAGUUAAAAUCUUAACCGGUUCUUCACCAUAAGUCAUAUCCGGCUGAAUUUCAACCUCAGUUUGUGCGAGCAAAUGCGAAUGAUCCAAUCUAUAUCGGUGUAACAUGAACACAUGAAAUACGUCAUGAAUAUUUUCCAACUCUGAGGGCGAAGCCAACUAGUAGGCAACAGGCCCCACUCUCUCCAUAAUCUCAUAAGGUCCUAUGAAACGAGGACUUAGCUUGCCCUUUCUACCGAAUCUGAGGACUUUUCUCCAUGGAGAUACCUUCAAAAAUACCUUAUCACCAACUUGAAACUCGAUCUCUUUCUGUUUCAAAUCAGUAUAGGAUUUCUGUCUAUCUGAUGCAGCUCUCAGGCAAUCACGGAUCACCUUAACCUUUCCUUCAGUCUCUCUGACUAAGUCAACUCUGUGAAUCUGAUUCUUUCUCAACUCGAUCCAAUAUGAAGGCGUUCGGCACUUACACCCAUACAAAGCCUCAUAGGGCGCCAUUUUCAAACUCGACUGAUAACUAUUGUUGUAGGCGAAUUCCACCAGUGGUAAAUAAUUUUACCAACUGCUUUGGAACUCAAGAAUACAACACUGCAACAUAUCUUCUAAGAUCUGAAUUACUCUCUCUAAUUGUAUGUCGGUUUACGGGUGAAAUGCUGUACUAAAAUUUAGUUUCAUUCCCAAUGUCUCUUGUAAAUUCUUCCAAAACCUUGAGGUAAACCUUGGAUCUCUAUCCGAAAUAAUUGAUAAGGGCACCUCGUGAAGUCUCAUUUUCUAUGAAACAUGCAAAUCAACCAAUUUCUCAAGGGAGUAGUCAGUACGCACUGAUAUAAAAUGUGCUGACUUGGUAAGUCUAUAAAAAACGACCCAAACAGAAUCCUUUUUCUUUGGCGUCAAAGGCAACCUUGUCACAAAAUCAAUGGUUUCUCGGUCCCAUUUCCACCCAGGAACCAUCAUAGGCUGAAGCAAACCCAAGGGUACUUGAUGUUCGGCCUUUACUUGUUGACAAACUAGACACUUAGAGACAAACUCAGAAAUGUCUCUUUUCAUUCCCGACCACCAGUACAUUUUCUUCAAGUCAUUGUACAUUUUCACACUACCCGGAUGGAUAGAUAAGCAACCACUAUGUGCCUCUCGUAAAAUCUUCUGAAUGAGCUCCUUAUCCUUGGGUACACAGAUCCUGUCUCGGUAUAUCAUACAACAGUCAGUAGUAAUACGAAAUUCUGAUUCACAUCUCGUCUUACACUGAGCCAUUUUAGCUUACAAGUCCUUAUCACUUUUUUGAGCCUCACAAAUCUCUUGAAGGAACAUAGGUCUAGCUCUCAUCUCGGCUAGAAUUGAGCCAUCAUGAAUCACAUUCAGCUGAGUAUUCAUAGCCCUCAGGGCGAACAAUGAUUUCCUACUUAAAGCAUCGGCGACUACAUUCGCCUUUUCGGGGUGGUAGUCAAUCACCAACUCGUAACCCUUUAUCAACUCCAACCACUUUCGUUGUCGUAAAUUCAGUUCUUUCUGAGUCAUCAAAUACUUUAGACUCUUAUGGUCAGUGAACACUCGGCAUCUCUCGCCAUACAAAUGGUGUCUCCAAAAUUUCAGCGUGAACACAAUGGCGGCCAACUCGAAAUUGUGCGUCGGGUAAUUCUUCUCGUGUGGCUUUAGCUGUCUCGAGGCAUAUGCUAUCACUUUGCCUUCUUGCAUGAGUAUGCACCCCAAUCCAUUUAAGGAGGCGUCACUAUAUACCAUGAAUUCUUUCCCCGAUUUUGGUUGCACUAGAACAGGAGCCUCGGUCAACACGGCCCUUAAUUCUUUGAAACUUUGUUGGCACUUCUCUGUCCAUUCAAACUUGAUGUCCUUUUGUUACAACUUUUUCAUUGGAGUAGCUAUUAUUAUGAACACAUUUAAAAAUAUUCUUUAGUAUCCAGCUAAACCCAAAAAGCUUCAAACCUCUGCCACAUUCCUCGGCGAUUUCCACUCAACAAUGGCUGAGAUUUUGUUUGGGUCAACUCUGAUUCCAUCUCCCGACACAAUGUGUCCCAAGAAUCUGACCUUUUUAAGCCAAAAUUCACUCUUACUGAACUUGACAUAUAACUGCUUAUCUCUCAAGGUUUGUAAAACCAUUUUCAAAUGUUCCGCAUGUUCACUCUCAUCACGUGAGUAAAUCAGUAUGUCGUCGAUAAAGACCACCACAAACUUAUCCAAAUACAGCUGAAAAAUGCGGUUCAUAAAUUCCAUAAACACCGCAGGGGUAUUUGUUAAACCGAAGGGGAUAACAAGAAACUCAUAGUCCCAUACCUCUCUUAAAUGCGAUUUUAGGUACAUCUUGCUCCUUAACCCUUAGCUAGUAGUAGCCAGACCUUAAGUCGAUCUGAGAAAACACGGUGGCUCCCUUCAACUGAUCGAACAAAUCAUCGAUCCUUAGCAAUGGAUACUUCUUCUUCACAGUCAUCUUGUUGAGCUGUCUAUAGUCUAUACAUAACCUCAUCGACCCAUCUUUCUUCUUCACAAAAAGUACCGGAGCACUCUACGGGGAAAAACUCGGUCUCGUAAAGCCCUUAUCAGUCAAUUGUUGUAGUUCAACCUUCAACUCCUUCAACUCCGUAGGAGCCAUUCUAUACGAAGAAAUCGAGAUGGGUGUCGUAUCGGGGACUAACUCAAUUCUAAAUUCAACUUCCCUCAAUGGAGGCAGUCCAUGUAAUUCUUCCAAAAACACAUCCGUGAACUCACAUGCCACUGGUACGGACUCAAUCUUCAAUUCAGAUGCUUGGGUAUUCAAUAAAAAGAUGAGAUAGGCCUCAUAUCCCUUUCUUAAAUAUCUCACUGCUGAUAUGGAUGAUAUCAUCACAGGUAAGUCAUCUGUUCUACCCGAUUCAACUCGAAGAACAUCCCCGCUUUUGCACUUCAACUAAAUAACUUUUCUCCCACAGUCCACUACAACACUAUGAGAAGUCAACCAAUCUAUCCCAAAGAUUACAUCAAAUUCAUUAAACAAAAAUAACAUCAAGUUAGUCAGAAAACAGUGACCUCUAAUUGCCAAAGGACAAUUCUACACACUUGGUCAACUAGCACAUGUCUGCCUAAAGGGUUGGACACUUUUAUCACAAAUUCAGUGGACUCUACUAGCAUGUUCAUACAGGGUAUCAAUUCCAUACAAAUAUAAGAGUGGGUAGAUCCUGGGUCAAUUAAAGAAACAAUAGAUAUAUCAUGGAUAGAAAAGGUACCCGUGAGCACAUCGGGAGACUCUGCCUUUUCACGGGCACGUAUAGCAUAAGUCAUUGCAGGCGUUCUGCCCUCGGACCUCACAGCUGCAUCUCUAGGUGCACCUCUACUGCUAACUCCACUUCCCAUGUUCUUAUAUGGUCUAACUCUUGAAGGAACGUUACUCGAUCUUACGCUUUGAUCCUUAUCUUUUUCGACCAUCUCAGGACAGCUACGAAUAAAAUGGUCCAACGACCACAUUUAAAAUAGCCUCUUUCAUUUCCUCAGCAUUCACCAAAAUGACAUCUGUCGCACUGUGAACAUUUUGGUCUAUUCGGGCGAGCGCUACCAACAGUCGCAGUAGAAGUAGUUUGGGCUUUUGUUACCAUGUACUGCUUAUUCUUGCUCUCGUUCAAGAACUGCAUUAAUGCGUUUGAUCGAGUAGGAAACUCUCUCGAUCUCUUAGAUGAGGAUUCCUGUGAUUUCCCCAUCUUUCUUUUCAUUGAGUCUUGGGACUCGAUUCUGCCUUUCUCUUCUCUUUGGCCAACUCCUCGGCCUUGCAAGCUCUUUCAACCAGUACCACAAACUCCCUCAACUCUAGGACACCAACUAAUAAACGAAUGUUUUCAUUCAGAUCAUCUUUAAAACUUUGACACAUGAUGGCCUCUGUAGAUAUACAUUCUCGUGCAUAUUUGCUGAGCCUCACGAACUCGCGUUCAUAUUCUGUCACAUCAUACAGCCUUGCUUUAGUUCUAAAAAUUAUUUCCUUUUCUGGUCUAUAAACCUCUGGCUAAUAUACUUAUUUCAGAACUUUUCCUGAAAGAAUUCCCACGUUAUCCGCUCUCUCGGUACAACUAAGAUGAGAGUAUUCCACCACUGAUAAGUCGAAUCUCGUAAGAGUGACACUACGCACUUCAUACACUCUUUCGUUAUGCAUGAUAAUUUAUCAAAUACUUUAAUGGUAUUUUCCAACCAAAACUCGGCCCUCUCUGGGUCAUCAUCGAUAUUUUCCCGAAAUAUUUUGGCCCCAUAUUUACGUAUUCUGUCCACUAGAGGUUUCUCUCUCCUAGCCAUCUUUGUUCCUUGAGGAGGUAUAUGAAUGGGUUGAGGAAUUAGGGGAGGUGGAGUAUUCAGAUUCGCUCGAAUAAACUUCGGUUACCACACAUCCAUCAUAUGGAGGUAAGCUUCUCUAGCCUCUCCACCCUGACUCAUUAUCACGGGCCUACUAUCAACUAGCGCGGUCCCUUCAGUGGGAACCGGCGCAUUACUUUCCACAUCAUCCGCCAUAGCUAUGUCAGGAUCCAUUUACUAUAUGAAAAACAUAAUUUACAAUCAUCAGGGGUCGUCAUACUAUCAAUAUACAACUAUGGCAUGUAUAGUUAGACUCGUACUCAGGCUAGGUUAGUCCUAGAACUGACUAAUCCAUAGCUCUAAUACCACUAAAUGUAACACCCCUUACCUAAGUCCGAGGUCGGGACUGGGCACGAGGCGUUACCAUAAUUAAUUACAUGAAUACAAUCAUUUUCAAGUCACCAAAACUUAAUCAAAUUCAAAGCUCUUUCGAACUUUGUUUAAAGUCUUUAAAUGUGGGCCUACGAGGCCUCAAACUUUCAUUAGAAACCAUUUAGAACCAAUUUAGGUCCUUAAACAGACUAAAUAAAAAUAACUCUUGAAACAGGGCACACGCCCAUGUGGAAGGGCAACACGCCCGUGUGGUCGUUAUAACAUGGCCGUGUUGAUGGCUCGUAUGACACACACGACCUAAGCACCUAGGGACAUGCCCGUGUUCGAUACCCAUGUGAAUUUAAUUCCAACAUCAAACCUACAUGGGUUUUCACAUAGCCUGAUACAAGCUCGUGUCUAUAGCCCUGUCCCUCACAUGGCCAUGAUACGCCCAUGUCCUAGCCCGAGUCUAAAAAUCUUGACAUUCUAUUACUGACCUCAGCAAUCCUUAAGGGUCACACGGCCAAGGCACACGCCUGUGUGCUAGACCUUGUCCUUCACACGGCUGAGACACAUGGCCGUGUCUCUACCCGUGUGUUUACUACCAUGCAUACUGACUUGAAAUUUUUAUGUGUAGGGGACACACGGCCAGACAACAUGCCCAUGGGGCACACUGCCUAGACACACGCCCGUGUGUCUAUCCGUGUGGACAACAUAGGGCUAUUUACCAAGCCCUUUGCCACCCUGAAACCCAAAAUAACAACAUCCAUCAUGCUAAAGAUCAUCAUAAUAUGAUUUCCCAAUCCAACAACCACAUCUAAGGCCUUUACACAUUUCAUAUUUACCAAAACAACUAAUAAAUUACCCAUUCAUGAAAUAACUUCUUGUAUUCAUAUAACAACUUUCAACUUUAUAUAUUUCUAUAGCCUUUUACAAAAUGAAUCAAAAUGCUAAAAUAAGCCAACCCAUUUGGCCAAUUAACAAUGAAACAAAAUUAUAAAGUUAGGGUCCUAUACAUGCCAUAAUCAAAAUAAAUAGAUCUAACUAUACCAAGUGCUUCGAUUGAUAGUGUGAUCGAUGCCUCCGACGUCCGUUGAUCUACGAGCUAAUUAGGUGACACUAUAAGAAAAUGGAAAGAAAUAGGGUAAGCAUAAAGCUUAGUAAGUUGGAUGCAAUAAAUAUAACAACUUUUCCAUUCAUCAUCAUGCUCAUAGUACUUAAGUAGGCAUAAGCACAGCUUACUCAUCACUAGCCAAUACAUUUCACAUAGCAUAUAUUGAGCUCACAUCUCAUACAUUUCAAAUAGGUACCUGUACCACUCAUAACAUGGUUUUUAACUUAAACUGUGACUCUCACCGUUGAACCAUUUGGAAUGCUAUCGGAUAUUCAUUAAGCCUUAAACAUAGGGUGUAAUGCCCAUGCCAUGUCCUAAACAUCGUCUUACACUGAAUAUUGAAAUCGAGGUCGGCGCCAUGUCCCAAACAUGGUCUUACACUGGCUCUCACAUCUUUGUGCCGAUGCCAUGUCCUAGACAUGAUCUUACACUGACACGUCUAUACGUGUCGAUGCCAUGUCCCAGAUAUGGUCUUACACUGACACAUAUCAUAGCCGACGCAUGUCCCAGACAUGUCUUACACUGGCUUACAUCACGAGGUCGAUGCAUGUCCUAGACAUGUCUUACACUAGCUCUCGUCUCAGUGCCGAUGCCAUGUCCCAGACAUGGUCUUACACUAACUCUCGUCUCAAUGCCGAUGCCAUGUCCCAGACAUGGUCUUACACUAGCUCUCACAAUGUGACCGAUGCAUGUCCCAGACAUGUCUUACACUAGCAUACAAAUGACCUGAAUGUCAUGGCAUGAAUAUCUGAUUUAUUUCCUAAGGUUCAAACGGGAAUUCUACAAUCAAUAUUCAAUAUACAUAAUCAUUUCCACAAACAAGAAAUUUAUGCUAUAUCAAUUCUAACACAUAUAAUAACAAUGUAGUUGUAUUAUUUACAUACAACUUACCUCGGUACUCAAAAUGUGGUGACUAGUUCGGCUUAGUCCACUUGCUUCGCUUUUCUCCGAUCUAGGCCCAGAUUUUGUAAUUCUUGAUCUAGAAUGAUAAAAAUUUAUGAAUUUAAUCAUUUUGCCCCUAGAUUUUUACAAAAUGACUAUUUUACCCCUAGGUCCGAAAAUUGAUUUUUAUCGCGUUUCUUCAUAUCUUAAGCCUAGUUGAUUACUUUUUACACUAGAAGUAGUCCAAAAUUCUAAGUAUUUCACACCUUUAUCACCUAUUUUAAACUUAUGCAAAAUGGUCAUUUUUAGGGUUCUCAUGAGAAAUCUCUUCACAAAAGUUGUUUGCUUUACAACCAUGGUUUAUUUUCUUCCAUAAAAUUUCAGAAAACAACAUGUCUACUAUCAUGGAAAAAUCCUAGACUUUCAACCAUUUUGAAAAAUAGUUCCCUCAUUUGAAAGCUCAUGAUACAAGGAUCUCAAAAGUACAAAACUAUUCAAGAAAAACCCUCAAAAUCACUUGCUUGUAGAGAGACUAAGUGGCUGAAAUUUCAAGCUUCAAAAACUCCUCUAAUGGAUGAUAUUUUUGAUGGAAGAAGGAAAGGUAAGAAAAGAUGACAACAUUUUUCUUUUAUUUUAUUUUUAGACAACAUUAAGUCGUCAAUUUACCUAACCCUUUGACUAGAUGAAUUUUCUUGUCUCAUGGCCGGCCAAGCUAAAAUCCAAGGGUAUAUUUUCCCUUUAAAGACCCCCAAUUUAAGUGUCAUGGCAAUUUAACACCUUUAGCUAUCAAUUCAAGACUUUUGAACUUUAUACGAUUUAGUCUUUUAUUGCGAUUAAGCUCACAAACGCUAAAAUUACUUCACCAAAUUUUCCAUUCAUUAAUAUAAACAUGCUAUAACUCUAAAAUACUAAUAAAAUACUUUCUCUGAGUUUGUAUUGGUGAUCUCAAAACCAACGUUCCGAUUGAUCCAAAUUGGGCUGUUACAUGAUCGAUUCUAGUUAUAAGCCAACACCUACCGUAAGGCCUUUUUAAAAUUCAAUACCAAUCAUGAAUCAACCAUUCAUAUCCUUGACAUUAUAACAAUCAAUUCCAUGUUCAUUCCAAAAUAAUAAACCAUUAAACUCUCUUUCUGAAUUCAGUUGACACAUUCAUAUUCAUUUCAGCAUCCUUUAAGGCUCGUUUCCAAUUUAUUCACACAAAAGUUAACGUAUUUCCUUUAUCAUGAUCCACACACACACACACACACACACACAUAUAUGUACAAUUGAUGCCAUAACAUUAUACUAUUUCAUUUCGAUAUCUUUUAUCAAGUCGUAAACUCACCAAUUUCACAUAACUCAUUUCAUUACAUUUCAAUCCAAUAUAUAUAUUCACAUUUAAUUUUAGAAUCACAAUUCAAUUCAUCAUCAACACAUAAUGUCUCAUGAUAAAUGUGUCUUAUGAAUCUUCUUAAACAUGAACAAAUAACUAGUUAGAAAUAUGUCAUAUUAACAUGUAAUUUCCUAAAUUGAAUCGUUGAAUUUAUCACAAUUUCGUACCAACCUUCUAUACUUAUAAAUCCAAAUUUCUUUCACAUUAAUAAUUCUUUUCAUUAUCAUUAUAAAUUUUUAUAUACUAAAUCCAAUUAACUUGACUCAGACAUGAAUGGAUACGCAAAUCCAACCAAUACCCCACAAUUUCCAAAGAAAAUAGAUUGCGCCCAACGCUUAUCGGUAUGACCGAAGUAAAAAUUGUGCCCAGUACUCUUCAAAACAUAGUCGAAUUAUCCAUUUGACACCCAGUGCCUCAUCGAAACGUUCGAAGUAAUUAGUUUGCACCUAGCGCUCAUUGGUAUAAUUGGAGUAAAUGUUUUGCCCAUCACCCAUUGAAACGUCCGAAGUAAAAAUUGUGCCUAGCACUCAUCAACACGUAGUUGAAGUAACUAUUUGACACCUAGUGUCUCAUCGGAAUGUUUGAAGUAAUUAGUUUGCACCCAUCACUUAUCGGUAUAACCAAAGUUAAUGUUGUGUCCAGCACUCAUCGAAAUGUCCGAAGUAAAAAUUGUGCCCAGCACUCAUCGACAUGUAGUUUAAGUAACCAUUUGGCAUCCAGUGCCUCAUCAGAACGUCUGAAGUAAUUAGUUUGCGCCCAGUGCUCAUCGAUAUAACUAAAGUAAAUGUUGUGCCCAACACUCAUCGGAACGUCUGAAGCAAAAAUUUUUCCUAGUACUCAUCGACACGUAGUCGAAGUAACCAUUUGGCACCCAAUGCCUCAUCAGAACGUCCGAAGUAAUUAGUUUGGGCCCAGCUCUCAUCGACAUAUAGUCGGAAUAACUCCGCCUGAGCAAUUAAUAGGGUAAUCAUUUAUCCAAUUCCCUUAUAAGAUGAAUUCUCGUUCUAUUGAUCUCAAUAUCCUCAAUUCAUCACUCAUCAUCAAUUCAAUUUAAUCCUAUAUCACAAUAAUCAAUUAAAUUCACACCAAUAUGAUACAAUCAAUCAUAAUAAACUAUUAAUUCAUUUAUAGUUCUUGUAUUAUUUUUCGUCCCCCUCCUCUCCAUUCCACUUCCUUUAUCUACGAGUAUUUGCACCAGAAUCUUUAGCCUUAGUAUGACAUGCUUUUAUGUAACAUGAAUUAUCCUUUCACUAUUUAUACAUAUACUUGUAAUAAAGUUGUCUUCUUGAGUAGUAUUCACUAAAUUAUUUAUAUCCAGACCUACCGAAUUCGAAACUAAGAUCCACUUUUUUGUUUUUGAAACUAGACUCACUGAACUUUUUAUCCAAAAAAUUUUAGAAUUUAUUUCAAAGUAAAUUGAUACUAGUUUUUUUUAAAACCUCCCCUAUUCUACAACUAGGCAGCUUCGACUCUUUUUCACUAAAAAUUAAAUAUCUUUCAAUACAAGUCUCAUACUAUGUUGUCGUUUGUUUCAUUUGAAAAUAGACUCAUUAGGAUUUUAGGCACAUAAAUAUCAUCUCCUAAACAUUUUUGGACAAUUUAUAAUGAUUUUGAUAUUGCCUCAUAAAAUGUAUUAUAUGUUAUAAUCUAAAAUUUCAUUGCUUUCACCGUUGCUUUUAUGCAAAAUUAGACUCGAUAAUAUUUAGUUUCAUAUUUUAUUAAACCUCUAACUCGAUUCCUACAAUUUUUGGUGAAUUUUCAAAGUCGUACUACCAUUGAUAUCCAUAAAGUGUUUAGUGAAACAUUUUUCUCUUCCAUGAUUUGAUUAAGUUUUUCUCAUUUCAUUAUAUUACAUACUACAUUCCAACCAAAUUCAAUGUCAAAACAUAUAACCAUUAAGUUACACAAAUUCUUAUUUUUGUUCAAAUUAGUCAUCUAGUUUAAUAAUCAAUCUCAAACAUAGCAUUUUAAACUUAAAUAAUCAUUUUCAGUUUACCUUGGUGUCGUACUUUACAAAAUAAAUUAAAUAUGUAACGAAUAUAAUGAUUCAAUUUAUAGAAAUACAAAUAUAACAUGAAUUAUCUUAGUAAUUUCCAUAAGAACUUACUUGACACACACAAAAUGUUGAGGCCUCAUCCGCCAAAAAUUGACUUUUCCUCAAUUAUCCCCCGAUUAGCUCAAAUCUCUAUCUAUAAUAUAAUUUAUUUCAAUUUAUUAAUUUUAAACAUCUCCAAAAUACCCUAUUAUAAUUAUAUAUUAAUUCAAAUAUUUUUUUCAAUGUUCUCUAAUUUUUUUCAUUUUAUUCAAUUUAUUCCUUAAAACCAAAAUGAUUAUAUCUUUCAAAUUUGAGCACCAAAAUUUUUUAAAAGAUUUCAAAUACAUCCUAUUACAGCCCUACAAACAAUAAUUACAGAAAAUUCAUACUAAUUUUAAAAUAUUUACACUUUGGUCCCUAUGUUCAAAACUAACAAUUAAACUUUACAAAUUAGUCUUUUUUUUUUACAAAUCUAAGCUUAAGAAUUAACCAUUUAACAUCAGAACUUAAAACAUUCAACUAAAGUAAUAUCCUCAAAUUUUAAUAAUAACAAAAUUUACAACAUGGAUCAGCUAACUUAUAGUAUUGGGAUUCUAAAAAUAUAAAAAUUACAAGAAACAGACUAAAUUAAACAUGCCAAUUGAAGCUUUGAACAUCCUUCUCCAAUUUUUUUCUUUCCCUCUGUUUGGACGAUCUGCGGGAUGGAAGGAACAAAAUGUUUCUUUCCACCCACCACCACUCAUUUAACUAUUUCUUUCUUUCUUAUUCUUAUUCUUAUUCUUAUUAUAUACAUAUAUUACAACAUUCACCACCUAACGACACGAACCACUUUAGUGGUUAAUUGCCACUUUAGUCCUUCUUAUUUAUUUCUAAUUAUAAUUCUUUUAUAACUGGCAUUUUUACCUCUUAUGCAAUUUGGUCCCUAUAUUUUAAUUAAAUAUUAUAUAAACGAAAUUACCUAACCAAGAUUCAAUUUGCCUACAAAUUAACCCCGUAAAUAUUAUAAAAAUAUUUAUGAGUUAAGUUUACGAAAACGAGGUCCCGAUACCUCAAUUUUUAAAAUCACUGACAUUAGAAUCGAUGCACUUGUGCUUUAAUUUUCUAUCAAUUAAACAAAAUUACUAGACCAACUUUAAUAUGUUUCUAUAUUAGUCUCAUAACUAUUAAAUAUUAAUAUCCAAAAACAAGUUUUGUGAAAAUGACAUUUCAAAACCAUAAUUUUUUACACCACCGGAAACUAGGUCGUUACAAUAAAUACUACUUUAUAAGCUUUUGAUUUAAGAUUUUGUUGGCCAAACAUUUUCUCAGUUUCAUAGUUCUUAGUUUAGGAUUUCAUUUUUUCUUUUCUUUUUAUUUUUGUUGAAGUAUUUUUAUUUCUUCUUUUUUUUCUAGAACAUCGUGGAUGGAUAUGUAUUAAACUUUUACGCUUCAUUGGAUGUUUGUCUAUUAAUGUACAUUUUCUCAACCUUAUCUUUUAUAUUUUAUGCCUACUAUGUGUUUUAAAAUGCUUGUAUGGAAUUUAAGUUUAAUCAUGUGUUGAAUUGUUUUAUUGGUUGAUUGAUGAAUGAGCUACUUAGCUAAGUUAUAUCUAUGCUUUGAUUGGUUGUUUCUUCAAGGGUAUUUGUAACACCCCUACUGAGUUCUGUAAUAGCCCGGUUUAGACCCUAGUCGGAACAAUAUUUUUGGGACCAUGAAUCCUAGUCAGAAAAAUAUUUUAAUAUUACAUUAUGUACUUAAAGAUGUGAAUUGAUAUGUGUGAAAGUUUUGUAUAAAAAUUUUAUCAUUUGUGUGCUUAAUUUAGAAAAAAAGAACUAAAUCGCAGAAAAUGUAAAAGUUACAUUCUAUAUGUGAAAGGUAUUGUAGUAGUUAAAUUUUAAUGAUAUAUGCCAUGAAUAAAAUAGUAAAAUAAUUAAUAAUGGAUAUUAAAUAAAGAAAACAAAGUGGAAGCAUGCAAAAACAUUUGGUACAAGCAAAUAUUGAAGAAAGAAAAACCAUUUUAGGUUUUUAGCAUUUAGCACUUUGAAGAUCAAUUAGGUAUGUUAUUUUUAUUCGUUUUUGAUAAUUUUUAUGUUUUUGAGAUCGUUGCUUUGAGUAUUAGCUAGCCCAUGCUUGAAUUUUUGAAUUUGAUGAUGAUUGUGUGUUUUUCCAUUGUUGAAAGCUUGACGAUUUUUGUGUUUGAUGAUGAAAAAUAAAUAUGUGUUAAUAGAUUUUCAUAUUUAAUUAAGUAAUUUUUAGUAAAAAUGCCUAUUAAGGACUAAAUUGAGAAAUUUGUAAAUUUUGGGGUCAAAAUAUAAAAUAAAUGAAAGAAAUGGGCUGCUAAGGACCUUAGUGAAAUUUGGCCAAGCAUGGGUGUGGUCAAAUUUUGAAUAUUUUGUGUUUUGUGAAAUAGAGACUAAAUUACGAAAAAUAUGAAAUGUUAGGGGAAAAAGUGUAAUUAGCCCAUUUAUGUGUUUUUAGAUGAACUUGAUUGAAUAUAUGAUUAAAUAAUUUGAAUUUGUAUUGAAUUAGAUCAAGAAAUUAGAAAAUCAGAUUUUGAUCGGGGAAAGUAAAAAAUUAUCGAAUAGUCAUUCCGGUCCAUUCAUGUUAAUACGAGGUAAGUUCAUAAGUAAAUAAAUGUUAUUAAAUUGAAAUGUAUGUGCAUUAUAUGUGCUGAAUUAAGUUGUAAAGGAAUAUGAUUGUGAAGUUGAAGUAUGCAAAAUGUGAAUUGAAUUUGAGGCAUUACGUGUGCGAUAAAUGAAUUAGCUACGGCUAUUAAAAUGGCACUGAGUGUGCGAGAUUAUAACAAAAUUGGCUGAGUAAAUGGCACUAUGUGUGCGAUACUGAUAUAAGUUCAAUUUAAUGUAAAGACAUUAAGUGAUCGAUAUAAUUAUAGCUUCGACUAAUUAAUUGGCAUUAAGUGUGCGAGUUCGUUGAAUGUUCAAGGGUGAUCGAAUGAAUUAGUGUUUCAAGCAUUGAAGUGAUAAAUGGGAUAAAUAAGAACGUAAUGGUACAGGUAUGUACAGAACCUAUGUGGUUGAUUAUGUUAAGUAUGAAGUAGAUGAAAAAUUAUGUAAAUGAAUGGUGAAAUGAGUUGGAUUGAAUAGCAUUAUUAAUGCUGUUUAUAAGAUUAAAGUUGUGAAAUGUGAGUAAGAUAUGGUUUUGAAUAAGGAUGAGUAAUAUGUUGUGUUAUAUGCACUCGGUAUAUGAAAUUAUGGUGUUAUGUUUCAGAUAUGAGAUUUACGAAACAUGAAACAUGGCUUUGAUGUAUGAUUGCUUGGUUCAAAAACUUGAACUGAUAAUGAAAUUAAAAUGGUUGAAUUGGUUAUAUGAUUCAUGUAUGCGAAUUUGGUUUAUGUGAACAAGGAAGUUAUAGAUGUUCAAGUUUGGAAGUGUCUAUAAAGAAGUUGAUAUAACUUUAUGUAUGAUUUGUAAUAAAUGACCAUGGUUUGGUUGGCGAUGAAAUGAAUAUGUACGAGCUUGACUUAUAUGAUUAAGUUAACGAUUGUUAAUCGAAUUUGAAAGCAUGGUUAUACGUUCAUUGAUAAAUAAGUUAAGUGAAUUAUUUAAUAUGGUUACAUGAAUUUACGAGUAUAAUGAAGGUAUAUGUGAUUGAGAUUUGUUAAUUUUGGUUUAGUGAUAUUGGAUUAUAAAUAUCAUUGAAAUGAUUUAUUUGCUUAUGGCUUACUAAGCUUUCAAAGCUUACUCUGUGUGUUUUUUCUAUGUUUAUAGAUUUUCAGAGAUCUGCUCGGGUUGGAAGUCGAUGGAGACGUCAUCACACUAUUCGGUUAUCAUUUCGGUAAAUAAUAUUCUGAAAUUUGGUUAUGUGGCAUGUAUAGGCUAUAAGUAUGUGAAUAUGGUUUGAGAUGUAAAUAUAUGUUUUGCCAAGUGAUAUGGCCUGAUAAUGGAUGUGAAUAUGGUUUGGUUUUGUUAUGGUUUAUGUGAUGAGAAAAUGGUAUGAUUUGAUGCAUAUGAAUGACUAAAUGAAAUGGUCAAUUUGGUAUGUGCUUAACUAUUAAAUUUGGUAUAAGUCCGGCAUGAAGAUGGAUAAGAAAUUGAGAUGUUGGUGAUGUUGAUUGAAUGAACUUGGAUUAUGAUUUUGGUAUGUUUUGGUAUAGAGAAUGAGCAUAAAAUUGGUUGAUGAUAUUAUGGAUUGAUUGAUAAAUGUUUGGAGCUGAAUUUGGCUGAAAAUGUUGCAUAUAUGAUGCUUGAUAAUGGAAUUGUAGGGAGGACCCAAAUGGGUGGCAUAUUGUCCUUGUAAAUGGCCUAUUUUUGCCUACACGGGCGUUUGUCUCUACCAUCUAACUCGAAGACUAUUUUGAAAUGAGCCUGCGUAGAUCACACGGUUGCACACACACGGGCGUCUACCAGACCGUGUGGCCAAGUCAGUUUCGACCACGGGUUAGACACACGGGCGUGUCUUGUGGCUGUGUGGAUAAGUCAGUAUGUAUGCCAUGUUUUUCCACGGUCUAAACACACGGGCAUGUCUAAUGCCGUGUGAGGCACAUGACCUGUUCACAUGAGUGUGUGAUCUUUGUAACUUAGAAAUUGUUAAGUUUUUGAAAAAUUUUGUAUGUGUUUGGUUUAGUCCCGACCCCUUCCUAAUGCAUGUUUAAGGUCUCGUUGACCUAAAAUACUAGACUUUAUGUUGAUUUUUCAUUAUGAAAUGAUGAUGUAUAACUUUUGAUUGCUAAAUAUUCUGAUAUGUCCGGUAAUGCCUCUUAACCCUAGUCCGGCGAUGGAUAUAAGUUAGGGGUGUUACAAGUUCGACGCCAGAAUAAGAUACGAGGUGUUACCGGACUUAAACACAUAAAAACAUACAUUUCCUAGUUAUAAAAUUUCGUUCCAAUUUAAAACUUUUCACAAUAUUUUAAUGUCCCUACUAUAGGCCUACGAGGCCCCGAACACACUUUGGAAUUGAUUCAGGACUAAUCUAUGCACUCUAGAAAACUUUGUAAAAUUUUAAGUAGACAGGGGAACACGCCUAUGUGGAAGGGCAACACGCCCUUGUGUCUUCUUAACAUGGCCAUGUUGAAGGCCCGUGUGACUCACACGGCUUGAACAUAUCGGGACACGCCUGUGUCCCUAGCCCGUACGAAUUUAUUUCUCAAUUCGAACCUAUAAGGGUUUUCACACGGCUUGGCACACGCCCGUGUCCAUGACCCGUGUCCCCCACACGGCCGGGACACUUCCGUGUCUCAGCCCGUGUGCAAAAACCUUGACAUUCUGUUUCUGACGUCAGCAGCCCUUUAGACGCACAUGGCCAUGGUACAUGCCCGUGUACUAGGCCGUGUCCUCCACAUGGUUUGGACACACGGCCAUGUCUCUGCCUGUGUGGUUACUACUGGGCAUUUUUUUUGCCAAAUUUAGGUGCAGGGGACACACAGCCUUACCACAUGUCCAUGGGGCAAGCCGUGUGUCACACACGAUCUAGACACAUGUCCGUGUGUCUGUCUGUGUGGAAAAAAACAAGGCUAUUUACCAAGGCCCAAAAUCGGGCUGUGAAAAAGUUAGGGUAUUGAUCUCUCAUAGUCUCCUCGGAUUCCUAUGUGAUCUCUUCAAUCCCAUGUCGAUGCCAUAGUACUUUCACAAGUGCUAUACUUUUAUUUAUCAAUUGCUUAACCGGCUCUUCAUCAUAAGUCGUGUCUGAUCGAAUCUCAAUCUCUGUUGGCGAAAGAACGUGCGAAGGGUUAGAACGGUAAUGACGCAACAUCGAUACAUAGAAAACAUUGUGGAUCUUCUCUAACUCGAAUGGCAAGGCUAGUCGAUAAGCUACUGGUCCAAUUCUCUCUGUCACCUCAUAAGGUCUAAUAAAACGUGGACUUAAUUUCAUAAGGUCCAAUAAAACGUGGACUUAAUUUUCCUUUCUUACCAAAUCUGAGGACUUUCUUCCACAGGGAUACUUUCAAAAACACCUUAUCAUCGACUUGAAACUCAAUUUCCUUUCGUUUGAAAUUCGCGUAGCAUUACUGUCUAUCUGAAGCGGCCUUCAAACAAUCACGAAUUCCCUUAACUUUCUCUUUGGUCUCUUUGAUUAAGUCGACCUCGUGAAUCUAAUUUUCACUAAGUUCAAUCCAAAACAAGGGUGUUUGGCAAUUACGCCCAUAUAGAGCCUCAUAAGGCACCAUUCUCAAGCUUGACUGAUAGCUAUUGUUGUAGGCAAACUCUACCAGCGGUAGAUACCUUUCCCAACUGCCUUGGAAUUCAAGACACAACAUCGCAACAUGUCUUCAAGAAUCUGAAUUACUCUUUCCAACUGGCCGUCAGUUUACAGAUGAAAAGCCGUGUUAAAAUUUAACUUUGUCCCCAAAGCUACUUGUAACUCUUUCCAAAACCGCGAAGUAAACCUCAGAUCUCUAUACGAAAUAAUCGACAAGGGUACUCCAUGAAGUCUCACAAUUUCAAAAACAUACAACUCGGCUAGCUUGUCAAACGAGUAGUCGGUACACACAAUAAUAAAGUGAGCUGAUUUCGUUAGUCGAUCAACUAUGACCCAAACAACAUCUUUCUUUCUUGGUGAUAACGACAAUCCUGUCACAAAAUCCAUGGUAAUUCGAUCCCAUUUCUACUCGGGAACCAUUACAGACUGAAGUAAACCUGAAUGUACUUGGUGCUCGGCUUUCACUUGUUGACAAAUUAAACAUUUUGACACAAACUCUUGGAUGUCUCUUUUCAUGCCCGGCCAGCAAUACAAUCUUUUCAAGUCAUUCUACAUCUUGGUACUACCCGGAUGGAUUGACAUGCAACUACUAUGUGCCUCGUGAAGAAUUUUCCCAAUAAGUUCAUUAUCUCUAGGUACACAAACCCUAUCUCGAAACAUCAAACAACCAUUGGUACUAAUCUGAAAAUCUGAUUCGUCAACUGUCUCACACUAAGUCAUCUUGGCUUGCAAAUCUUUUUCACUCUUCUGAGCUUCACAAAUAUCUUGAAGAAACAUAGGUCUAGCUCUCAACUCUGCUAGAAUCGAACCAUCCUCGAUUACAGACAACUGAGUGUUCAUAGCUAUCAAGGAAAACAAUGAUUUCCUACUUAAUGCAUCUGCGACCAUGUUCGCCUUUCCCGGGUGAUAGUCAAUUAUUAACUCGUAAUAUUUAAUCAACUCCAGACACCUUUGUUACCAUAGAUUCAAAUCCUUUUGAGUCAUCAAGUAUUUUAGGCUUUUAGAGUCGGUGAAUACCAGACAUUUCUCGCCAUACAAGUGGUGUCUCCAAAUCUUCAGUGCGAACACUAUGGCUACUAACUCUAAGUCUUGUGUUAGAUAAUUUUUCUUAUGCGACUUCAGCUGUCUCGAGGCAUCUUAAUCCAUUCAAGGAUGCAUCACUAUACACUACGAAUUCUUUUCCCAAUUUCGGUUGCACUAAAAUUAGGGCUUCAGUUAACAACAUCUUAAGUUUCUCAAAAUCUGUUGGCAUUUUUCCGUCCAAUCGAACUUGACAUCUUUCUAUAGUAACCUCGCUAUCGGAGUAGCAAUCAUAGAGAACCCUUUAACGAAUCAUCUAUAGUAACCCACUAAGCCUAGAAAGCUCUUAAUCUCUGAUACGUUUCUCGGAAGUUUCCACUGAACAAUAGGUGAGACCUUACUCAGUUCAACUCUAAUUCCAUCACCCGACAUGAUGUGUACUAAGAAUCUGACCUCUCGGAGCCAAAACUCACUUUUACUAAACUUGGCAUACAACUGCUUAUCUCUUAAAUUCUGCAAAAUAGUUCUCAAAUGCUCCACGUGUUCACUCUAAUCACGAAUAUAGAUCAAUAUAUCAUCUAUAAAAACAACAAUGAACUUAUCCAAUUUCAGUUGGAAAAUACGGUUCAUUAAAUCCAUAAACACGGCAGGAGUAUUUGUUAAGCCAAAGGGCAUGACAAGGAACUCAUAAUGCCCAUAUCUCGUCUGAAACGCAGUUUUCGGCAGAUCUUGCUCCUUAACUCUUAGCUGGUAAUAACUGGAUCUCAAGUCUAUAUUACAAAACACUAUGGCUCCCUUUAAUUGAUCAAAAAAAUCAUCGAUCCUUGACAAGGGAUACUUACUCUUCACCAUCACCUUAUUGAGCUGUCUGUAGUCUAUACAUAACCUCAUCGACCCGUCUUUCUUUUUCACAAAAAGUACUAGAGCACUCCAUGGAGAAUAGCUCAGUCUCGCAAAACCCUUAUCCGUUAACUCUUAUAGAUGAGCCUUCAACUCUUUUAACUCCAACAGUGCCAUCCUAUAUGAGGUAAUCAACAUAGGUGCAGUACAAAGGACUAACUCGAUACCAAAUUUGACUUCCCUAAUUGGAGGCAAUCCGGGUAACUCUUUUAGAAAUAUAUACUGAAAUUCAGAUACCACUGACACUGACACUGACUCAAUCUUCACUUCUGUCACUUGGGUAUUCAACACAAAUGCGAGAUAAGACUUAUACCCUUUUCUCAUAUAUUUCUCAGCAGUCAUAGUAGAAAUCACUACAAGUAAGCUAUCCAGUUCACCUCAUUAAACCCGAAGAAUAUCCCCAUUUUCACAUUUCAGUUCAAUGAAUUUCUACCCACAAUUUACUAUGACAUCAUGGGUAGACAACCAAUCCAUACAAAGGAUAACGUCAAAUUCAUCAAAUGGCAAUAACAUGAGGUUAGCCGAAAAACAAUGACCUCUAAUUGUCAAAGGACAAUUUCUACAUACUUGGUCAACUAAUACAUGCUUGCCUAAUAAGCUUGACACCUUUACCACAAAUUUUGUAGACUUGACAGGCAUAUUCAUGCUAGACACUAGUUUCACACAAGUAUACGAAUGGGUAGACCCUUCUAUCAAAGCAACAACAUAAAUAUCAUGAAGGGAGAAAGUACCCAUAAUCACAUCAGGUGAUGAUGCCUCUUCGCGAGCGCGAAUGGCAUAAGUGCACCUCUACUGCUAGUCCCUCUUCUCAGGCUCUUCUGUGGUCUAGCUCUCGAAGGAGCAUUACUUGCUCUCAAAUCUUGCUUUUCAUCUUUCUCACCCAUUUCAGGAUAGUUUCGAAUGAAAUGGUCUAGCGGCCCACAUUUGAAAUAACCUUUUUCAUUUCCACAGCACUCACCAAAAUGGCAUCUACCGCAUUGUGAACAUUCUGGUCUGUUCGGUCGAGCAUUACCAAUAAUCGCGAUAGAAAUGGUUUGAGCCUUAGACGCCAUGUACUGCUUACUCUUAUUUCUACUCGAGAAUCCCACUGAAGCAUUUGAUCGAGUAGUGAACUCUCUCAAUCUCUUAGAUGAUGACUGAUAUGAUUCCCCCAUCUGUCUUUUCUUUGAGUCACGAGACUUGAUAUCAGCUUUUCUCUUUUCUUUGGUCAAUUCUUCUGCCUUUCAAGCUCUUUCAACCAACAUCACAAACUCCCUUAACUCUGAGAUGGCAACUAAUAAUCAGAUGUCUUCAUUCAAUCCGUCCUCAAAUCUCUUGCAUAUGAUGGCUUUGGUGGAUACGCACUCCUUAGCAUAUUUGCUGAGCCUUACGAACUCACGCUCAUAUUUUGUUACUUUUAUUCGGCCUUGCUUCAAUUCUAGAAAUUCCUUCCCUUUUUGAUCUAUAAACCUCUGACUAAUAUACUUAUUUCGAAAUUCCUCUUAGAAGAACUCCCAUGUAAUUCUUUCCCUUGGUACAACUAACACAAGGGUGUUCCACCAUUGGUAGGCCGAGUCUCGCAGGAGUGGCACAACACACUUCAUGCACUUCUCAGGUGUGCAAGACAACUCAUCGAAUACCCUAAUAGUAUUUUCUAGCCAGAACUCUGCCCUCGCUGAGUUGUCAUCUAUAUUCGCCCUAAAUUCGUCGGCUCUCUACUUUCUAAUUCUGUCAACCGGAGGUUUCUCCCUUCUUAACAUCUCUACCCUUUGGGGCGCUAUGGGGUUAGGUUGAGGGAUUGGAGAGGGUGGGGGAGGUGGAGUGUUUGGAUUUUCACGAAUAAACUCUGAAUACCAGGUAUCCAUCAUAUGGAGGUAGGCUUCUCUAGCCCCUCUGCCCUGACUCAUUGUCACAGACUCACUCUCUACUGGCGCAUUCCCUUCAGCGGUAGCCUACGCGUUACUCUUUACAUCAUCCGCCAUUGCUCCGUCAGAAUCUAUUUACUAUAUGAAUGCACAAUUUAAAUUUGUCAGGGGUCAUCACACUAUCACAAUAUAUUUAUGGCAUGUAUAGGUAGACUCGUACUCAUGCUAGGUUAGUCCAAAAAUUGACUAAACCAUAGCUCUGAUACCACUAAAUAUAACACCCCUACCCGAGUUCGAUGUCGGAACAGGAUAUGAGGUGUUACAGGACUUAAACACAUACAAACAUACAUUUCCUAGUUAUGAAAUUUCGCUCCAAUUUAAAAAUUUUCACAAUACCAUAAUGUCCCUACUAUUGGCCUACGUGGCCCCGAAUACACUUUGGAAUUGAUUCGGGACUAAUCUGUGUACUCUAGAAAACUUUGUAAAAUUUCAAGCAGACAAGGGCACACACCCGUGUAGAAGGGCAACAUGCCCGUAUGUCUUUUUAACAUGGCCAUGUUGAAGGCCAAGUGUGACUCACACGGCCUGAACAUAUCGGGACACACCCGUAUCCCUAGCCUGCACUAAUUUAUUUCUUGAUUCGAACCUACAGAGGUUUUCACAUGGCUUGGCACAUGCCUGUGUCCCCCACACGACCAGAACACGCCCCGUGUCUCAGCCCAUGUGCAAAAACCUUGACAUUCUGUUUCUGACAUCAACAGCCCUUUAAGGGCACACAGUCAUGGUACACGCACGUGUGCUAAGCCGUGUCCUCUACACGGUUAGGACACAUGGCCAUGUCUUCACCCGGUGGUUACUGCUGGGCAUUCUGUUUUACUAACUUUAGGUGCAGGGGACACACGACCUUACCCUACAUCCAUGGGGAAAGCCGUAUGUCACACGCGGUCUAGACACAAGUUCGUAUGUCUGCCCGUGUGGAAAAAAACAAGGCUAUUACCAAGCCUUUUUGUCACCCUUUCUUGCACCAACCUACACAAUAGCAACUAAAACUAGUCCAAGCAUAACACAUAUAACCAAAACAACCACAACCAUGAGAAUUUUCAUCAAAUGCAUUAAUAAUCAAUAUUAGCCAACAUUAAUGGCCUAUACAAAAUGAAUAUCACAUCCUUAUGAGCCAACACUUGUGGCUAAACUAACAUGACACUAAACAAAAGAUCAAGCCCCUAUACAUGCCACACUCAAAACAUUUAAACUAGCUAUACUAAAAGCUUCAGGUGAUAGUGUGAUCGAUGCCUCCAAUGUCCCUUAAUUCUCGAUAUUAACUUAGCGGCACUUUAAGGAAAUGGAAAUGAGAGGGAGUAAGCAUAAAGCUUAGCAAGUUGCAUGUAAAUAUGUAACAACGUCAACCAGACAUAUUUAAACACAUAGCAUGUCAUACACCAACACAACAUUCUUGAGUGCACAGAGGUAGAUAUCACCACAUACUUAUACAUUACAAAUAAGCCAAAGAUUUCAAAAUCAUCCCAAAAUCAUUUUCAUAGAUAGAACUUACUUAUGCUAUUCUUACCAUUAAGGCAUCAUAACUAGACUCAUAUCUCAUGAUUUUCUAAUAAAAACCUGUACCACUCACAACAUGAUUAUAUCAUUCCAUAUCUUUAUAAUAAGCCUAAAAAAUAACCUAUGAAACCUUUUGGAAUACUAAAGGAUAUCCGAUAAGCCUCAUACAAGAGGGUAAAUUACUGAUGCCAUGUCCCAAACAUGGUCUUACACUGGCUCACAUGCCGAGGCCGAUACCAUGUCCCAGACAUGGUCUUACAUUGGCUCUCGUAAAAUGGUCGAUGCCAUUUCCCAAACGUGGUCUUACACUAGCACACAUAUCAAUACCGAUGCCAUGUUCCAAACAUGGUCUUACACUGGCUCUCAUAUCGUGGCCGAUGCCAUGUCACAGACAUGGCCUUACACUAGCACACAUAUCACCCAAAUGUCAUGGCAUGGAUAUCCAGUCUAUUCCUAGGUUUAAUCAGGACUCUACUACAUUAAAUUUCAUCAUGCAUUAUUCAUAAGCAAUUUCAACCAUAUUACACAAAAUUAAUCAUUCAACACAUAUUAACGAUAAAGUUUCCUUACUUACGUGCAACUUACCUCGAUAUACAAAAAGUGGACGACUAAUUGGAUUUAGUCUACUAGCUUGGCCUUUCCCCGAUCUAGGUCCAGAUUUCGUAUUUCUUGAUCUAAAAUGAUAAAAAUUAACUAAUUUAAUCAUCAUAUUAAUCAGUGCAUUUCAUAAUUCAUAUUUUGGCAAAAUAACCAUUUUGCCCCUAGACUUUCAUAAAUUACGUUUUUACCCUUAGGCUCGUAAAUCAAUUUUUAUCGAAUUUCCUCAUUAACCAAGCUUAGCCGAAUACUUUUUAUACCUAUAACAUCUCAAAAUUUUAAAUAUUUCACACAAUUACCAUCCAUUUAACAACUUCACAAAAUAGUCCAUUUUAGGUGUUUUUCAUGAACACCACUCCACAGAAGUAGUUUACUUAACAACCAUAACUCAUUUUCUCUCAUAAAGUUUCAGCUAACAACACAAAUACUCUCAUGGUAAACCUCCAAACUCUCAACCUGAUAAACCGUAAUUUAUACAUAUUUUUAUCCCAUGCUUAGCACAUUUAUGGAUGAUUUCUCCUUAGAUUUGGUGAAUUCGAUGCUCCUACUCCUUUAAUUUUAUGUUUUAUACUUAGGUGAGCAUAGGAGAGUAAAAAGAGCGAGAAACGGGCCAAAAAUGGAGAAAAUGGGCCAAUAUGGGAGAUCAACACGGCUUGAACUUCCUGACACAGGUAGGCCACACGGCUGGGUCCAUCUGGCAGAAUUGAAGCACGACUCACACGGGUAGACCACACGCCCAUGCCUAUUUAACAGCUUUGACCACAGUCUGAAGCAAUCACACAUGGGCGUGUCACACGGGCGUGUCCCUGUCGACCCCAAGUAUAGUCCUAUUUGGAAAAAGGCCAUUUUUGAGUGCUCUUAGGCAUUCUAAAGCCUAUUUAAACACUUGAUGAGGAACUUAGAGGAGACACACAGAGUAGGAGGUAAGGAAUUACUUAAGGAAAGCCGAUUGAUACAUCUCAGAAACUGGAUUCAUUGUCAAGACUGGAGAUCUCCCUUCAAUUCCCUUCAGGAGUUUUGGGUUUUCUUUAUGUUUUGCUAUCUUUAUUCUUUUGAGAUAUUUUCUUUCCUAAUUAUGAACUAAACCCUCUAAAUACCUAAAGGGAAUGAAACAUAGGAUGGAUCUUGUUAUUAUUAUCUGAAUUGUAUGAUAAAUAUUUGACUUGUUCUUAUUUAUGUGUUCUUAAUUCUUGUUUUAAUAUUCCAGGAUAUUGAUUCAAGUUAAUGCGCUUAUUCAGAGGAGUAAAAGUCCCUGUCUAAGAUCAAAUUUGACGUAAUUAAGUGGAGUUGAUUGCACACCUAGAGAUAGGGUGAUAAGAUUUUGCCAAAUUAGGGUGAAACCUAAUAAGGGAGUUCAUAGAUCGAGUUAAUGCAACACUAGGGUGUUAAUUAGAAAGAGAUUUCAAUUAAUCAACCUAGGGUUGGACAUUAUUAGUCUCGAGAGAGAUAAUAAUAUAACUUAGGGAUUUCUACAGAUCAAGUCAAAUGAAUAAAUCGUCUGAUUCAGAGUCAAAUAACAAGUGAAGUCUAGGUGGAUUUUACCUUGGGUAUUGUCUUAAUCUAUCAAGUUUUCCCAAAAGCUUUUCCCCAAUUUUCUCUCUGUGCACCCUUAGUUUAGUUAAUUAGUUUAGAUAAACGAACUCCUUAAUUUUUAGGCUAGAUAAUUAAAAGAAAGUAAUUACUAGUACUCUUGGUUCCUUUGGGUUCGACAAUCCGGUCUUGCUAAAGCUUUACUACUGUUCGAUAGGUACACUUGCCUUCAUCGUGAUAAUAGUUAGUUUCAAGAACGAUUAAUUAUAAAUUUUUAAAAUCCUAUCGUGAAAGUUUUUGGCACCGUUGCUGGGGAACUUAAGACGUUAGGAACAAUCGAUUUUUAUUACUUUAGCCAUUUUAUUUAUUGCAAUUUAAAUUUUUCUUUUCUUUUCUAUUUUUUCGUUUAUUUUCUUCUAGCAGGUUUUUUAUAGUGUAUGACUAGAAGAAACCCAUCGGGACCAUUACUUUUUGAUAGUGAGAUCGAUCGUACAGCUCGCAGAAACCGAAGAGAAAUAAGGUGAAGCUUAAGAUACACAGAGGAAGAGCAAGAGGACGAUAUUCAAACCACAACCAAUGUGAUGGCUAAAAAUCAGGAAAAUCCGUUACCUCCUGCGAUUGUUGCUGAUCCAGUAAAUUAGAAUCAUGCUCCACGCACUAUGUAUGAUUAUGCUAAACCGAAUUUAACAGGAACUGAGUCAAGUAUAGUUAGGCCUGCUAUUGUUGCAAAUAGUUUUGAACUGAAACCUAACACGAUUCAAAUGAUACUGCAAUUUGUUUAGUUUGAUGGUUUGCAGGAUGAGGAUCCAAACAAUCACUUGACAAAUUUUCUGGAGUUUUGUGACACAUUUAAAAUCAAUGGCAUUUCUGAUGAUGCCAUUUGUCUUCGGUUAUUUCCCUUCUCAUUAAGGAAUAAGGCUAAACAGUGGUUGAACUUGUUACCACGAAGGUCAAUCACUACUUGGGAACAAAUGACCGAGAAGUUUUUAAUAAAAUAUUUUCCGACGGCUAAAAUGGCUAAAUUAAUAAUGAUAUCUCUUCUUUUGUACAGAUGGAUUUAGAAACACUAUAUGAUGCAUGGGAGAGAUACAAGGACCUGUUGAGAAGGUGCCCUCACCAUGGGUUACCACUCUGGCUACAGGUUCAAACUUUUCACAAUGGCUUGAAUCCUUCAUCUAGACAGAUGGUUGACGCAGCCACUGGUGGGACUAUCAAUAAUAAGACACCUGAGGAUGCUUAUGAAUUUAUAGAAAAGAUGUUACUAAAUAAUUAUUAGUGGCAAAUGAUGAGUAUAAAGCCAACGAAAGCAACCGGAGUUUUUAACGUCGAUUCGGUCACCAUGCUCUCUAAUCAGUUAGAACUUUUGAAUCGAAAAAUUGACGAUUUUCUUGGUUCUUCACAGGUUCACCUAGUAAUGCAAUGCAAUGCAAGUGAAGGAGGAACGAGCAAUUCAGAAUACCCACCUUAUGGCCACAACAUGGAAAACGAGCAAUUAAAUUAUAUGGGUAAUAACCCUCGACCUCAAAAUAAUUCCUAUAGCAACACUUACAAUGCAUGAUGGAGGAAGCACCCAACUUUCUUAUGGGGAGGCCAAGGGAAUCAGAGACCACCACCACCUCCAGGCUUCCAACAACCACCUUACGAACAAGAGAAAAAACUGAACCUUGUGGAGAUACUAACAAAAUUCAUCUCGGUGUCAGAAACUAGUUUUUAGAAUACUGAGACAACACUUAAGAAUCAACAAGAGUCGAUCCAAGGGCUCGAAACUCAGAUAGGCCAGCUCGCUAAAUUAAUAUCUGAACGGCCACAAGGUAGCUUACUGAGUAACACUGAAUCUAACCCAAGAGAGCAGCUCAAUACGAUUACCAUUCAAGAUGAGGAAGGGUUAGUUGCACCUGAACCAGAACCGAGGCAAGAAAUUAUGGUAAGUAAAGGUAAAGGUGAGGUGGACCACAAUGACCAAAAACUGGUAAGUAAAUAGUACAAACCACGUGUACCAUACCCUAAUGCAACAAGGAAAGACCACUCAGACGAAUAAUUCGGUAAAUUCCUUAAACUUCUAAAGAAAUUACAUAUUAACUCACCGUUUAUUGAAGCUCUUUUGCAGAUGCCGAACACAGUCAAAUUUUUAAAGGAGGGUGGGUAAUGGAUUAAGUGAAUUAGUUUUCCCCAAAAAUCCUCUUUGUAAUUGACGCCUAUUCCCCUGCUCUGUCAAUUUUCUUUUUCAUCCAUCUUUUAUUCUAUAGUCGAAAAUUAUUUUCUCCUUUCCCUACUCUUUUUGUUUUUGUAUUUUUGCAAAUCAUCAUCGUGGGAGCCAACUUUGAGUUCAUCUACUUCGGUAAGUUGGGGUAAGCAUGUUAUAGUUUCGGAAUUCUUGAAUCAAUGAUUAAUAGAGUGGUUUCGUGCUUCAAAGACUCUUCGGCGGCUGUAGGGUUUCAAUCGGUAUCGAGGAGGUGCGAUUUCGUUAUUGUGCAUUCAAGGUAAGAGUUGUUGGAAUAUUUGGGAAUACCUCUUCUUAAUAAUUUGGUGUAGCAUCGGUUUAAGUGACUGAAAUUGGGCUUUGGUUGGUCGAAUAUAGGUUCUGGAGUGCUCGGGAGUGUUUUUGCAACAAAUUGAUACCAGGUAUGUACUCAAAAACGCAGAAAAUGAUGUUUCGAAAAAAGAUGAAAACCUCACAGUCGACGCCACACCGGCGUGUGGUCACCCGUGGGGUAGGCCAUGUGGUAGACACGGGCGUGUGAUCGACGAGGACAGGUCAUGCAUAUAUGACACGACUGUGUGAUAGCCAGAUAGGCCAUGUGCGACACACGGGUUGGAUUGAUUUGAGCCGUGUAGGCCACACAAGUGUGUGGGCCCAUACGGGCGUGUGGAAUUUUUGGGCCAGGCCGUGUGAUCCACACGGCCAAGGGAAAUUUAGGCCCUCACGCGCAGGCCACAUGGGCAUGUGGGCCCAUUUUUACUAAAAUGACUGUUAAAAGGGCACGGGUGGCCCAAGUCGAUUGUAAACCUUUCGUACGGUCGGUAAGCACUACUUAGACCCUUAUCUGUUUGAAAUUGGCUAUGUGAACUAUGUACUGAGCAUAUUAUAUAUGUAAGCAUGUAUACUGAAUUGUAUGUGUAUUUGAUAGAUCUAUAUUAGCAUGACAUUCUAUUGCAUGUUGUAUUGUAUGGGGUUGGGGUAACACUAUUGCGAAGAAGUGUACUGAAAGGCUCUUAAGCCUAAUACACUGGUAGCUCAGCUGCAAAUUAUUGUUUAUGCCGCAUUCGGUACUACCUGGAGUGUAGGGAUGGGUGGGUUGAUUUAAUCCUCACAUAGAGUGUAGGUUGGACGGAGAUGGUGUGUAGAGGCUGGUUGGGCAGGACCUUGUUACUGAAUAAUGCAUACUGAUACUGUGAUGGGCUAAGGCCCUAAUGCAUACUGAUAUUGUGAUGGGGUAAGGCCCUACUGCAUAUUUGAUAUUAUACUGAGAUGGGCUAAGGCACAAACUGUUACUAGUACCCAAAGGGGCUAAGGCCCUGUAUUUGACUGUGCACUUUGUUUACUGUGUUGUUUUUCUGUGGAUUACACACUGAGUUUACGUAAACUCACCGCUCACUGUUUAAUGUGCACAAGUAAUCCCCAGACUUGACGGAUCAAUACAGCGGAGGACUCGACGAUGACCACACGUAUUAUUAAACCAUUUUAAUUUCAGUUUUGGUAUUUAUUUCUUAAUUAUUUUCUGGGUUAUUUUUUAUGUAAAUUGGACUUUUCGGACUAUUUUCUUUUAUUUCAGAUUUUAGGCCGUUUUUGUGGAUUUAAUAACAAACAAGUGGUUUUCUCUAAAACAAAAGGGGUUUUUCUAAUAUGGACAGAUUUGCCUAAUUAAUUCAAAUUUUUAUAAAUUAAAUGAUUUCUAAAGCUUCUAUGACGAGUUGUGUUUUAAACAAUUGAUUAAAUAAGUAAGCGAUUUUGGAAUCAACAAUAAUAAACAAAUGAAAACGAUUUUCUCGUAACAACUUAGUUUCAACACGCUAUCAUGUGACAUUACCAGAUUCAGCCAUAACGUCUAGGCCAGGUUUGGGGUGUUACAAUUAGGAUAAGUACUAAACAUUAACUAUAGAAGUGAAAUUCCUCUACUGCUCAACCGUUGAAGGACCACUCGUCAGCCAUCGAAAUGCCGCCACCGUCGGCACCAUCGUGUCCAAUGGUGACAUUGAAAGUGUGACACCCUUACGUUACCCUGAGCCGAUUUGGUCCAGGCCCGUGAUGGCCUGACCAGUUCGGUCCUACCACCAAUUGGACCAUCAGCCCAGUUUCACAUAUCAGGCCCAAUUUGACUAGUUUUUACAUCUCAAUCUCGGUUUUCGGUUCUUGGGCCCAAUCUUUAAUCUCAGGUCCAAUUUUCAAGUUCAAUUACCUAUUGGGCCAAUUUUUUUACUUGAAAAUUAAUUUUCAAAAAUACCAUAUUAAUUUUAAUUAAUUUGAUUAAUUUAAUUUUACUUGAUCAAAAUUAAUUUUCCCAAAAAACACUAAGAUUUUUCAAAUUAAUUUUUCAAGAAAAUUCUUUAAUCAAAUUCCAUAGUUUAAUAAUUCUCACGACUGCUUAGUUUAAUUCCACAUCAAAUAAAUUAACUAAAAUAAAUUAUUUCCAAAUUCGUAGAAUUCUCUUCUAAUUCAAAUGCAGUUCGAUCGAGCUUUUGUUGAGCUAGAGGAGGGACCAAUCAGACAUAUACAAUUAGGCUCAAGUAAUUUCAAUUAUGUCUAAAAGCAUUGUUUUGGUAAUUCACAAUUUACUUAAACAUGGAGUCAGUCCACAAGAAGUACCACGAUUGAAAACUCCUUAUUGUAUACUCUUUACUAAAGCAAUUCAUCCAAGUACUUUGUCCAAUGACCUCAUGAUACGUGUCUUACCCUCAUAUGAUAUCUUGAUUCGUAUGAGUUAAAUCUGUUCACUCAAUGCAAUCCUAUUUUAUCUCAUUGUUACCAAUGUGUAUUCUUAAUGAUUAAUAUAAUCAUUGUUAACAAAUGACUAUGAUAAACUGCUUGUUCAAGAAUAAGCAACUUGUGGUCACGUUCCAUAUUUAUCAAUCCACACAAUGCCAAUAAGAGGAUAUUGUUGACUCUUUAAUCGAGCUAUGAAUUCCAUUGUUGUUAGUAAAUCCAUGCCAUAUACAAGUGAAUUAAUUCACAAAUGAAAAGAGGAACAACCAAAGACGAAUAGUGUCAUCAGUGACACCAUUUGUGAAUUAAUUCACUUUUGGCAUUCAUGGUGUGAUUUACCUAAAUCCCGAGUUAGCCAUUGACUAUUCGUAUGUAACUCACGUGAGUUACAUACGAAUAGUCAAUGGCUAACUCGGGAUUUAGGUAAAUCACACCAUGAAUGCCAAAAGUUAAUUAAUUCACAAAUGGGUUCAAAAUUAAUUCAUCUCUACCGGUGGAGUCAACUGCUCUGAUGAACAAGAUAAGUCAUCUCCCCAAUUGGAAUUAUAGACGUCAUAAUAAUCCUUCUAAGUAUUUGAAUAAAAUGUUCAUUUUGUUUCCUUUACGGGAUUACAAACUCGUUUAGAUUAUCUACUGAAGUAAGUUGUAUUCCUCUCAAUGUAAACAUUCUUACAAUGCCACUUAUCAUCAGUUUGAGCUUAGACAGUCAAUGAGCUAAUAUUUUCUUGUCAGAAUUUUGCUAUGUAUGCAGAAUAUGAAGGACAGAAACAUGAAAGAUAUAAUAGUGAAAUGUGAAAUUAACUUUAUUUAUUUAUUUAUCGUUCAAAUACAUAGAAAACAAUUACAUGUUUACUACAAUAUGAGUACAUUUCCCAACAUUCCUCAUAUAUAAUCUUUGACUACAUCCACUAUUCCUUCAAACACUACUGUCUCUCUUAUGAUACUUUCUAUCAAUAUGUUUUGUCCUUGUGUAGUUUCAUUGGGUUUUAGCUAUAUUCGCACUUUUAUAGUUUUUGGGACCAUCGGUACACCCUGUGGCACAGCAGAUAAAUUAUUCUGGCGAUCCACAGCCAUGGAUCCAUGUACGAGGAAUGAAACGGGUUGCAAUAAGGUUGAAGAUGCACAUUCUGAACUGAAAAAAAAUAAAAUGAUGUUGUUGAUUCGAUGUCUAUUCCAAGCCACAACGAAUAACGUUCCAACCUUUAUGUAGUCCACCCAGUCAACCACGAACAAGAAAAAAACUCUUUAAACAAUUUAAGAAAGAAUUCAAAGACGACUGCUAGACCUUAUUUGUUUUUCUUGGUAACCUUAACACUCUAAGGGAUUCAUUUCCUUUUUAUUCUCUUUGAUAUCAUAUCUCAUAAAAUAAAAACGAGAUUAUUCUUUCAAAAAAAAUCACUUUGCACGUCUUUUUAUAUUUUGACUGAAAUUAUUAUAACUGUUUAUAUUAAUAAUUUCGGUAAUAUAUAUAAUUAAUAUUUUGUAUGAUCAAAUUCAUAUAUUAAUUUUAUUUAUGUUCUCUAUUUGUGUAAAAAAAGUUUGUACAUAUAUUUUAUUUAAUAUUUAACUAUCAAAUUAAAUUAAUUCGACAAUUAAUUUAAUUCAUGUCAUAGAUAAAUAGAAUACCAAAUGUAUUUUGAUUCUGUUUUCUUCUACUAUAGGGUGUGACCCUGUAGGCUCUUGUAAUGUUGGUACUAAUACUAGAACGUUUCUAACAUUACAAGCAAUGAGUGACAUCUAGCAAUGCAACAUUCCUACCCAAGUUACAAGAAGUCGUGAUUUGAUAUAACCUUUCUGUGAUAAUAUUUUCAUGUAUUAUAUCCUUUUAUCCUUAAUAUCUAGAUUGGACACAAGUCAUGGGAUAGUCACACUUGUACAGUCCAAUAUCAUAUUUCUUGAUUUUCUAAGUAGACUACAAUAAACAAAAAAGUGUGAUAUUUCAUAUCAAAUUAUUCGAGCAUGGCCAUGCAUUUCUAGUCUCACUCCACCAAGAGGCCUAAGAUAUUGCUCCCAUUAUGUAGGAGGGAUAAAUCCUAUCUUGAUCAACCACAUCCCACUACAUGUAUUGUGGUAUAUCCAACAUCAAUCUUUAUAGUCCAACUUGUUACGGUAGACGUUUGACUAUAUCAAAAUAUACGACCCACGAUAUUGGGAUAAUAAUGAUCUCAAGUCUGAGGAUCAUAUACGUAGUUAUCACUAUGAAAAAUAUUGUGACUAUUACAUAAUAAUCCAACAAACAUACUCAUAGCGAGUCAGUCUAAUAUGUUGUUCUCUAACACAUACUCAUGUAUUGAUUUUGACAUCCCUGUGUCAAUGACAACCUUUUUUCAUCAAUCAACUACACAUUAGUCUCAAUGCAUUAUUGUUGUCCAAGCCUACAAUAAUACUUGACUAAGUACCUUUUAAGAAUAAUCAUAUUUUCUUAGGACUUUAUUACAAUUCAGUUUGUUUAUAUACACAAAAAAAAAGAAACUGAAAUAAUAAUGGCAAUGUCUUAUAUUAAUAAAUAAGGUAAAACAAGUAUGUAAUUACAAUCAUAUAAUAAUUGGUCUUUGGGCAUGAUAUAUCAAUAGUGCCAUAGUUUUUUCCAUAUCUCAUAUUCGGCCCUCCAUACUGAAGUUACUAGUGUAACCUUGUUUGACACUUAUUCAUACUAUGAACCCACCAUCUAGGAUAGAAGCACAUCCCAAUGUCGAUUUCCUUGAAUCUUGCCACAUUUGAAAGUUAAAAUCAGUGUAACCGAUUUAAGUAAAAUUUCUUUCGGAAUACAAAAGCAUAUAAUACCUCGUUCUCCAUAAAUACUUUAGUAUAUGCUUAAUUGCUAACUAGUGUCUUCGUCCUGGAUUCACCUGAUAUCGACUCACCAACCCCACUAUGAAAAAGAUAUAUGGUCAUGUGCAUAACAUAGCAUACAUAAGACUUCAUACUGUAGAAGCAUAAGGAACCUUUUUCAUGUUUUUUUCUUUAUUUCACUGUCUUAGGACAAUCAUCCAAAGAUAGAUGAAAUCCCGAUACAAAAGGUUGAUCUUCUUUCUUUGAAUCGAUCAUUUGUAUAACAUUCUAAAAUGUUGUCUAUGUAUGAAGCUUGGGAUAGUGCUAUCACUUUGUUCUUUUGAUCCCUUAGGAUUCAAAUUACUAGAACAAAUUAGCUUCUCCCAAGUCCUUCAUGCGAAGCUGUUGGGUUAACGAUAGUUUAACGAUUAUAAUGUCUAUAUAUCAUUCCUAAUUAGUAGAAUGUCAUCGACAUAGAGAACAAGAAAGACCACUUUUCCAUCCCAAUAAAUUUUGGCAUAAUGCCGAAAAUUUCCCCCUAACAUUUGAUUAUUUGGUCAUUUUGGAGCACUUUAACCCUUAACAUCUUUUGUUGUCAAAUUGAUCCAUUUUUAACAGAGAUGCUAACGUGGCUGUUUGUUGGCUAACGGUUAACAUUAACCGCUAAUGUGGCAGUCCAAAUGUAAUUAAAUCCCGAAAUGACACCCUUUUGUCUUAUAUGCCACGUCAGUAAAUGUUUUUAAAAUUAUUAAAAUUAUUUUAAAAUCAUCAUCAUUUGAGCUUUAACUUUGGGAGUUCCAUGAUCUAACCAGAAGUCUAAAUUCGCAUUCACCAUCCAAAACAAUAUUGCAUCAUCAACAUCAAUUCCAAUAUCGUGAUAUUUCCCGUCCAAUAACCAUCCUAAAAAUGGGGUUAAAUGUAACACCCCUAACCCAUCUCUGUUGUCAGAUUAGGGUUAUAGAACAUUACGGAUCAAUUAGAAAAUAUUUAUCAACAUGACAUUCAAUACUUUAAUCUCAUUCAAAAUAUAUCAAUGAUAAGCUUUUGGUCCCUAAAUAGAGCCUUCGUGUCCCUAAAAAAAGCUUUUAAGCCAUUCAAAACUAAACUGAAACAAAAUAGAAGUUUUAAGAAAAAUUUGAAAAUUUUCAAAAACAAAGGACACACGGUCGUGUGGAAAUGCCCAGACCGUGUAACUUUUGAAAUUGGGACACAUAGUCAUGUCUCUGCCCAUGUAACUCAUUGAGUUGAGCCACACAGCCGUGUCGCAGCCUAUGCGCUAAACCGUGUAACACACUAACUUAACACACAGGACCGUGUCUCAGACCGUGUGUGGCAUAUGGCCAAGUGACACGGGUGUGUCCUAGGUCCUGUGCACCUAAAUGAACCUUAAAUGUCAAGUUUACCAUUUCAAGCUUUCUUGGACACUAAGCAAACCAUUUACCAACCAUUUAGACCAAUUUAAAAUGACAUUAAACAAGCUUAAAUCAUGUUAUUUUCAAGCAUCCUAAGUGCCUAACCAAUGUACCGUCAUUGGUACCACAAGUGUACACAAUUAUACAACAUUAUGAAUCUUCACUCAAAACAUGUCAAUUCACACAACUUAACACCCAACAAAUAUGCCUAUCAUAGACACCUAAAAUCACAAUAAGUCAAUAGAGACCAUUUAAUCAUACAUUAACUAUAAGUUAAUGUCAAAAACACCUUCCAUUAUUCAUAAUCCAUAUCAAGUCAUUAAUUAAACAUUUGUCAAAUAAACAUCGAGGUCAUAUAAUGAUGUUCAUGUUACCAAUUUGCAAAAAGGAUCACUUUAUAAAAAUAUACAUGCCAAAACCUAAGUAAUGACCAAAACAAGCCUAUUACAUGCCAUAUAAUCCAAAAUAAACGUUCCAAAAACUACUGAAAAUGGAUGGCUACUAAUCGCGUGAUUUCGUGAUAGGUUUUAAAUAUUUAUAAUUAAUCAUUCUUGAAACUAACUAUUAUCGCGAUGUAGGCAAGUGUACCUAUCGAACAGUAGUAUAGUUUUAGCAAGACCGGAUUGUCGAACCCAAAGGAACUAAAAGUACUAGUAAUGAUUGUCUUUUUAUUAUCUAGCCUAAGAAUCAAGAGGUUUUGUUUUAACUAACUAAUUAUCUAAACUAAGAACUCAUAGAGAAUAGAAUUGGGGAAUUGAUUUUGGGAAAAUCGAUUGAAUUAAGACAAUACCUCAGGAAAAAUCCACCUAGACUGUACUUGUUUUUUUGGCUCUGAAUCGGACGAUUUAUUCAUUUAACUUGUUCCGUGGAGAUCCAUAAGUUAUGUUAUUAUCCCUAUUCAAGACUAAUAACGUCUAAUCCCUAGAUUGAAUAAUUGAGACUUUUCUCUAAUUAACACCCUAGGGUUGCAUUAACUCGAUCUAUAGAUCCUCUUAUUAGGUUUCACCCUAAUCCGGCAAAAUCUUGUCACCCUAUGUCUAGGUGCACAAACAACUCCGCUUAAUUAUGACAAAUUUACUCUUAGACAGGGUCUAUUCCUCCUCUGAAUAAAAGCUUAUCUUGAAUCAGUAUCCUGGGAUAUCAAAACAAGAAUUAAGAACACAUAAUUAAGAACAAGUUAAAUAUUUAUCAUACAAUUCAGAAAAUAAUGACAAGAUUCGUCUUAAGUUUCAUUCCCCUUAGGUGUUUAGGGGUUUUAGUCCAUAACUAAAUAAGAAAACAUCUCAGAAUAAUAAAGAAUAUAAAACAUAAAGAAAACCCAAAACUCCUAAAGGGGAAAUUGAGGAGAGAUCUUCAAUCUUGAUGAUGAAUCCGGCUUCUGAGAUGGAUUAAUCGGCUUCCUUUGAGUAAUUCCUUCCUUCCUCCAUGUGUGUAUGCUUUUCUUCCUCCCUAGGGUGUAUUUGUAGGCUUUGGAAUGCCUAAGAGCCCUCAAAAUUAGCCUUUUGUGAAUUGGACUCAACUUGGGCUCGGUAGGGACAUGCCCGUGUGACACACCCGUGUACAUUACUUCAGGCCGUGCUCGAGCCUGUCAAAUUGACACGGCCUUGUGGUAUACCCGUGUGAGGAGGUCCAGGCCAUGUUGAUUUCGUACUUUGGCCCAUUUUCUCCAUUUUUGGCCCGUUUCUCGUUCCUUUCGCUCUCCUAUGCUCUCCUAAGUAUAAAACAUGAAAUUAAAGCAUUAAGAGCAUCGAAUUCACCAAUUCUAAUGGGAAAUCAUCCAUAAAAUGCGUUAAAUUACGGUUUAUCAAAUACUCCCACACUGAAGCAUUUGCUUGUCCUCAAGCAAAAUUCUCAACUCAUAAUCAAAAUAAAUUCUUCUCAACUUAUAAUUUCUAUUGAUAAUAUCUCAAAAUAAUCUAUAGGUAAUCAUACAUUGAGAAUUCAACUCAAAAAACAUAAAAGUUUCAAACACUUCAAGUUGAGCAUUUUAUUCUGAAAACAUAGGUGUCUCCCCUCGUUUAGGUAAUUACCUUGUAUUCAAAAUGUCACAGAGUUUUACAUCCUCUCUAAAGAUUCAUUCAAAUUACUCGAGGUGUUUAAGGACAAUAAAUAAAGCACUCAAUAGUCAAUAAUGAAAAGUCAUUACCAUAGGCUUGCAUGAAAAUCAAAUCUCCACCACUAUAAAUUGAAAUGAUACAUCAAUCAAAAGGUCUUUAGAGGGUUUUAAUGAGGCUUGGUUAGGGGGUGUGGUCACAAGCUGAAAGAAAGUGUUAGAAUCGAGAUUGAGUUGAAAAAUUACUUAACUAGAAAAAUAUUUAAUCAUCACUUACGUACAACAUACCUCCUUCUCUGACUAUGGAAUUUAAAUACUGAAGCUUACAAACAAAAGAUCACUACUAAUAUGUAUACAUUUUUUUUUAAGAACGAGUUAAAUAACAUAGACUAACUAUUAAGAACAAGACUUAGCUAACCAAUUUAUUCAACUCAAAUCUCAACAAAAAUAGGGAUCAGAUUAAUUUAGGGGAUUUCAACAAUAAUGUGUUAAGGGCUAAUAUUAAGGGUAAUAGAAGAAAUGGCUUGUUAGCUCAACGGGUUAUACUCAGGGUUAAUCGUGGAGAUGGGCUUUUCAUGGCAUGAGUGGGUUAAUCCUAAGUGUCUUUCUCAUUUUGACAUAUCAAAUCAAAUGGUGUGGUCUUGACAUGCAUAAUCAAGCAAGUUCUAGAAUAACAGUUCAAUACUGACGCACUCAAAGCAAUAAUAAAAGUGAGCAUGAAAGAAUUAAUAGAUGCUCAAAAGGCUCAAAAAUCUCACAAAAAUUAUGGCUUUUUGAUAUUUAAAACUUAUGAAUUCCAACUCAAAGUAAUACCUAAACUUUGGGGAAACAACCUAAGAUUUUAAAUUCUUAAAAAUCAACUUAUCAUGCUUGAUUCUCUAAUGUCUUAAAGUUUAAAAAAUCAAUGCAUAAAUUCCUAUGUUUUAAUUCAAGAUAUAUCAAUCAAAAUCAUAAAUCAAUUAAAAUUUAUCCUAAAUAUGAUAUGAAAGCUUUUCAAGAGAAUAAGGCAGUCAUUCAGGGAUUUUUCUGAUAGGGAAAUGAAGUAAAUACCCCCCACACUUAAGAUGUACAUUGCCCUCAAUGCACAAAGAUAGAUAUAAAAAUAUAAAAAUAAGAUAGGGAGAGAAGUGAAACUUCCUGAGUUGAAAAUGGAUGAAAUUCCUAGAUUAGCAAGAGCGAGUUGCUGGAAAUACAACUAGAGGACAAACAUGAUUCUGAAGGACAAAAUGAUAAUUGGGGGAAUAAUUUGAUAGUAAUCUUAAAGAUAAGUCAUUUUAAAAACAAAAGAAUCUUCAAAAAUAAAUAAAAUAAAAUCGAUAAUCUAAUUUUUUUCCAAGUGGCAUGGCCGGUUCACACGUCCGUGUAGAUCGUGUCCCCCCCCCCCGUGUUUGUCGCGAAGUGAGAUGUUGUCACACGGCCUUCGGGCAUGCCCGUGUGUCUAGGCUGUGUGGCUACAUGAUCAUGUUAGAUGACCGUGUGUGAUGUGGUUCGCUUCUCCCACGGUCAUGUAGCUCUGUACACGCCCAUGUUAUUUUCACAGUGUUGUCCACAGGUGAUAAACACGAGUAUGUCGCAUGCCCGUGUGCAUUUGGCUGAUUUGACCACAGCCAGGUCACACGCCCAUGGCCACUUAUCGCAUCUCGUGUUGGGAAAGAUAACUUUUACCCAGUUUUCGCACGGCCGUCUUGCACGGUCGUGUUUUCGUCUGUUAUGGUCACAAGGUCCAAAGCACGGUCGUAUAAUUGCCGUGUGGAGUUGGGAACUUUUGCUUCAAAGACUCUCUUAGUGACUUAGAUGUUUAAAAAUUGAAAUUUAAAUAAUUUAAAACUGUUAGUACCCGGGUUGCCUCCCGAAAAGUUCUUGUUUAUAGUCUAAGCUCAACUGUUACCUUGUUGGUUUAUUCAGGGCAGUUUGUGGAGUUGUAGCUCCUCUCCAUCUUCUUUAAAAUUCUCCCCGUUAUAAAGUUUCAGACAAUGUCCGUUUACUUUGAAAGUACGGUAUGAUGGGUGACUUACCUCUAUUGUGUCAUAUGGAAGAACAGAUUGAAUUACUAAAGGUCCUGACCAUCGUGAUUUAAGUUUCCAAGGAAACAAUUUGAGUCUUGAGUUGUAUAGGAGGACAAGAUCUCCAACUUCAAAUUGUUUUUGUUGCUUUAAACGAGAGUCAUGGCGCAGCUUUGUUGCUUCCUUGUAUAGGCGUGAGUUUUCGUAUGCAUUGGCUCGCCACUCAUCAAGUUCGUUCAGCUGCAUCAACCUAUUUUUUCCUCCAAGUUCGGGAUCAAGGUUUAAAAUUAGUAGCCCAAAAAGCUUUAUGCUCUAGAUCGAAUGGUAGAUGACAACUUUUUCCAUAAACAAGUCUAUAGGGUGAUGUCCCUACGGGGGUCUUAAAAGCAGUUCUGUAAGCCCAUAAGGCAUCAACUACUCUCAUUGCCCAAUCUUUUCUGUUUGAUUCUACUAUUUUUUCAAGGAUUCGUUUGAUUUCUCAGUUUGUCACUUCAAUUUGUCCGUUAGUUUGAGGAUGGUAUGGGGUAGUUGUUCUAUGAUGGAAUCUGUAUUUCUUAAGAGUUUUUUCAAAUUGGGUAUUACAAAAAUGAGUGCCCCUGCCACUGAUAAUUGCUAUAGGUGUUUUGAAUCUCAAAAAGAGUUUCUUAAGGAAAUGUACUACCACUCUAGCAUCAUUAGUAGGUAGAGCUUAGGCUUCCACCCAUUUGGACAUAUAAUCAACUGCUACUAAGAUGUAUUUAUUCCCAAAUGAACUGGGGAAUGGGCCCAUGAAAUCGAUACCCCAAACGUCAAAUAUUUCACAUGAAAGCAUAUAGUUUUGAGGCAUUUCAUCACGUUUAGAUAUGUUACCUGUCCGUUGGCAUUUUUCACAUGAGUAACGUACCUGUUAGCGUCUUUGAAUAACGAGGGCCAAUAAAAACCUGAUUCACGUAUUUUAUGUACGAUCUUAGUUCCACUAUAGAGUCCUCCAGUUGGCUCUGAGUGGCAAUGUUCCAGUAUUUUUGAUGUUUCGAAUCUUGUAACGCAUCUUCUAAUGAAUUGAUCUACACAUCUGCGAAAAAGAAAAGGGUCGUCCCAAAAGUAAUUUUUCACAUCAUUAAAAAAUCGCUUCUUUUGCUAGUGUGUUAACCCUUUUGGGAUAAUGUUAGCGGCUAAAAAAUUUGUGAUGUCUGCAAACCAAGGUACCUCGGAGUCAGAUAUAGCGAAAAAUUAUUCUUCAAGAAACGAAUCAUUUAUUUCAACUUCAUCUAGUUCCUUGCUAUUGAAGUUCUCAAACCUGGACAGAUGAUCAGCCGCGAGAUUUUCAGCUCAUUUCUUAUCCUGAAUUUCCAAGUAAAAUUCCUGCAAUAGGAGAAUCCAUCGAAUGAGUCGAGGUUUUACAUCAGUUUUAGUUAAAAGGUAGCGAAGGGCAGAAUGGUCAAUGUAAACAACGACUUUAGACAAUAUGAGAUAUGAUCGAAAUUUAUCAAAUGCAAAAACCACAGCUAGCAAUUCUUUUUCUAUAGUAGUAUAACUCUCUUGUGCAGCUGUCAAAGUUUUGCUAGCAUAAUAGAUAGGUUGAAAAUGCUUGUCUCUUCGCUGUCCCAAUACUGCACCUACUGCAAAGUCACUCGCAUCACACAUUAAUUCAAAUGGUAAGUUCCAAUCAGGUGCAAUUAUAAUUGGAGCAUUAAUUAAUUUAUCCUUUAAAGUAUUAAAUGCUUGUAAGCACUCUUGAUUGAAAUUAAAAGGUAUAUCUUUUUCUAGCAAUUUAGUCAAAGGCUUAGCUAUUUUAGAAAAAUCCUUAAUAAAUCUUCUAUAAAAACCAACAUGUCCUAAAAAGCUUCUAAUAGCCUUAACCGAACUAGGAGAAUGUAACUUUUCAAUUGUUUCUAUUUUAGAUUUGUCCACCUCAAUCCCUUUACUAGAAAUUUUAUGCCCUAAUACAAUACCUUCUUGAACCAUGAAGUGACAUUUCUCCCAGUUAAGCACAAGAUUCAUUUUCUCACAUCUUAUUAAAUCUCGUUUUAAAUUUUUAAGGAAGAGAUGGAAAGAGUUACCGAAUACCGAGAAAUCGUCCAUAAAAACUUCCAUGAUAUCUUUCACGAGUUCGUCAAAGAUGGCCAUCAUACAGCGCUGAAAAGUGGCAGGAACAUUACAUAAUCCAAAAGGCAUUCUACGAUAAGUGAACGUACCUUAUGGGCAUGUGAAUGUUGUCUUUUCUUGAUCUUCAGGAGCUAUUGGGAUUUGGAAGUAACCAGAGAGUCCGUCAAGAAAGCAGUAGUACAUGUGCCCCGAUAAUCUUUCCAACAUUUGGUCAAUGAAUGGCAAGGGGAAGUGAUCUUUUCUUGUGGCAUCAUUCAGUUUCCUGUAGUCAAUGCAAACUCUCCAUCCUGUGACUGUCCUUGUUGGGAUUAAUUCAUUCUUCUCAUUGGUCACAACCGUCAUGCCUCCUUUCUUAGGGACAACCUGCACUGGACUUACCCAAGAACUGUCGGAAAUAGGAUAAAUAAUUCCAGCAUCUAGAAGUUUAAUUACCUCAGGUUUAACAACUUCUUUCAUGUUGGGGUUCAGUCGUCUUUGAGCUUGCACACACAGUUUGUAUUCUUCUUCCAUCAAAAUUUUGUGGGUGCAAAAAGAAGGGCUGAUUCCUUUAAUGUCGAAAAUUUUCCACGCUAUGGCCUUUUUGUGUUCUUUUAAUACUUGGAUUAACUCCUCUUUUUCCUUGGGUUGCAAGUUAGAAGCAAUAAUAACUGGUAAUGUAGAAUUAUUUCCAAGGAAUGUGUAUUCCAAGUGGUUUGGUAAUUGUUUAAGUUCCAGUUUGGGAGGCUCUUUAAUAGAGGGUUUUUGCUUAAGUUUAUUGUUUAUCGUAAUGCCCUCAUAUUCUACUUGUCUUGAAGAAUGCUCAUUAGGUUCAUCAUUUUUCUCCUCUUCUUGAGCUAGAUACAGUUCUGUCGUGUCUUUCUGUACAAUUUCCUGAAAAGAGUCUUGAGUAGUAUGAUCAAUAGAGUCAAUAAAAUAACAUGAGUCAUCCUGUUCCCUAGAAAACUUCAUAGCAUCAUAAAUUUUAAAGAUAAUCUCCUCGUCACCCACUCUAAGUACCAAUUUAUAGUCUCCCACAUCGAUUACAGCCCUAGCAGUGGCUAAAAAUGGGCGCCCUAAAAUAAAGGGCACUUCCACAUCUUCAUCCAUGUCAAGCACAACAAAGUCAACAGGAAAUAUAAGUUUAUCUACUUUCAUAGGUAUGUCUUCUAUAAUACCCCUAGGAUAUUUAACAGAUCUAUCGGCUAAUUGAAUACUCAUCCUAGUAGGUUUAGGCUCCCCAAGACCAAGUUGUUUGAACAUUUUAUAUGGCAUCAAAUUAAUGCUAGCGCCUAAAUCAGCUAGUGCUUUCUCAACAUUCAGACUACCAAUUAAGCAAGGGAUAGUGAAACUUCCUUGAUCUUUCAGUUUGGUUGGCAGCUUGUUUUGGAGUAUGGCUGAGCACUCCUCGUUGAGUUUUACUGUAGAUAAGUCCUCGAACUUCAUUUUAUUUGUUAAAAGCUCUUUCAAGAAUUUUGUGUAGGUAGGCAUCUGCGAGAUGGCUUCAACAAAAGGUAAGUUGCUAUGUAAUUGCUUAAAAAGUUCAAGAAACUUAUCGAAUUGUGCAUCAAUGCGGUCUUUUUUCAAUUUUACUGGGUAUGACACCGGUGGUUUAUAUUCCUUCGGCACUGGGUUGUCACUAUUUUCGUGUUUUUCUUCCCUCCUUUCGCUUGUCACAGAUUCUUGUGUUAGCUUCUUUUCAGAUUCCACUAACACUUUCCCACUCCUUAGUGUAACUACUUUUACAUGCUCUUUUGAUUUGGUGUUACUAGGUAAACUUCCUAGUGGUCUUUCUGAAAUUAGUUUCGACAGCUGGCCUAUCUGCGUUUGGAGCCCUUGGAUCGAUGCUUGUUGAUUCUUAAGUCCUGUCAUAGUAUUCUAGAAACGAGUUUCUGACACCGAUAUAAACUUUGAGAGUAUCUCUUCAAGGUUCGGCUUCUUUUCCUAUUGGUAGGGUGGUCGUUGGUAGCUUGGAGGUGGUCUCUGAUUUUCUUGGCCUCCCCAGGAGAAAUUUGGAUGGUUCCUCCAACCUGCAUUGUAAGUGUUACUAUAUGGAUUGUUUUGAGAUCGAGAAUUAUUACCCAUGUAAUUUAACUGCUCGUUAUCCAUGUUGUGGCCAUAAGGUUGGUUUCCGAAUGGCUUGUUCCACCUCCACUUGCUUCGCAUUGCAUUACUGGAUGUACCUGAGUAGAACUAAGUAAACCAUCAAUCUUUUUAUUUAGAAGUUCUACCUAGUUUGAUAGCAUAGUAACCGAAUCGACAUUAUAAACGCCGGUUGUUUUCGUUGGCUUUUUCCUCAUGACUUGCCACUAAUAUUUAUUCAAUGGCAUAUCCUCCAUAAACUCAUAAGCAUCUUCAGGUGUUUUAUUAUUGAUGGUUCCGCCAGUAGCUGCGUCAACCAUUUGUUGUGUCGAAGGAUUCAGGCCAUUAUGGAACGUUUAAACCUGUAGCCAAAGCGGUAACCCAUGGUGAGGGCACCUUUUCAAUAAGUCCUUGUAUCUCUCUCAGGCAUCGUAAAGAGUUUCUAAGUCCAUCUGCACAAACGAAGAGAUAGCAUUACGUAAUUUGGCCAUUUUAGACAGUAGGAAAUAUUUUAAUAGAAAUUUUUUGGUCAUUUGUUCCCAAGUAGUGAUUGACCCUCGUGGUAACGAGUUCAACCACUAUUUAGCUUUGUUCCUCAAUGAAAAGGGAAAUAACCGAAGACAUAUGGCAUCAUCAGAAAUUCCAUUGAUUUUAAAUGUAUCGCAUAGUUCCAAAAAGUUUGCUAAGUGAGCGUUGGGAUCUUCAUCCUGCAAACCAUCAAACUGAACAAAUUGUUGUAUCAUUUGAAUUGUGUUAGGUUUCAGUUCAAAAGCAUUUGUAGCUACAGCAGGUCUAACUAUGCUUGAUUCAGUUCCUGUUAAAGAAGGUUUAGCAUAAUCAUACAUAGUGCAUGGAGCAGGAUUUUGAUUAACCGCGAUUACAGGAGGUAGUUGAUUGUCUUGGUUUUCAACCAUCUCUUCGGUUGGGGGUUGAGUAUCGUCCUCUUACUCGUUCUCUGUGUAUCUUAAACUUCGCCUUAUUUCUCUUUGGUUUUUGCAAACUGUGCGAUCGAUUUCUUCGUCAAAAAGUAGUGGUCCUGACGGGUUUCUUCUAGUCAUAAACUAUAAAAACCUGCCAAGAGAAAGAAAAAGUAAAUUAAUAAAUAAUAAAAAAUUAAAAUAAAUUGCAAGAAAAAUAAAUAGCUAAAGUAAUAAAAAUUAAGCGUCCCUAAUAUCUUAGUUCCCCGAUAACGGAGCAAAAAACUUGAUCGCGUGAUUUCGUGAUAGGUUUUAAAUAUUUAUAAUUAAUCAUUCCUGAAACUAACUAUUAUCGCGAUGUAGGCAAGUGUACCUAUCGAAUAGUAGUAUAGUUUUAGCAAGACCAGAUUGUCGAACCCAAAGGAACUAAAAGUACUAGUAAUGACUGUCUUUUUAUUAUCUAGCCUAAGAAUAAAGAGGUUUUGUUUUAACUAACUAAUUAUCUAAACUAAGAACUCAUAGAGAAUAGAAAUGGGGAAUUGCUUUUGGAAAAAUCUAUUGAAUUUAGACAAUACCUAAGGAAAAAUCCACCUAGACUAUACUUGUUAUUCUGGCUCUGAAUCGGAUGAUUUAUUCAUUUAACUUGUUCCGUGGAGAUCCCUAAGUUAUGUUAUUAUCCCUAUUCAAGACUAAUAACGUCUAAUCCCUAGAUUGAAUAAUUGAAACUAGGGUGGCAUUAACUCUAUCUAUGGAUCCCCUUAUUAGGUUUCACCCUAAUCCGGCAAAAUCUUGUCACCCUAUGUCUAAGCGUGAAAACAAAUCUGCUUAAUUAUGACAAAUGUACUCUUAGGCAGGGUCUAUUCCUCCUCUGAAUAAGAGCUUAUCGUGAAUCAGUAUCCUGGGACAUCAAAACAAGAAUUAAGAACACAUAAUUAAGAACAAGUUAAAUAUUUAUCAUACAAUUCAGAAAAUAAUAACAAGAUUCAUCUUAGGUUUCAUUCCCCUUAGGUAUUUAGGGGUUUUAGUUCAUAACUAAAUAAGAAAACAUCUCAGAAUAAUAAAGAAUACAAAACAUAAAGAAAACCCAAAACUCCUGAAGGGGAAAUUGAGGAGAGAUCUUUAGUCUUAAUGAUGAAUCCGGCUUCUGAGAUGGAUCAAUCAGCUUCCUUCGAGUAAUUCCUUCCUUCCUCCAUGUGUGUCUCCUUUUCUUCCUCCCUAGGGUGUAUUUAUAGGCUUUGGAAUGCCUAAAAGCCCUCAAAAUUAGCCUUUUCUGAAUUGGACUCAACUUGAGCUCGGCAGGGACACGCCCGUGUGACACACCUGUGUGCGAUUACUUCAGGUCGUGCUCGAGCCUGCCAAAUUGACACGGCCAUGUGGCCUGCCCGUGUGAGGAAGUCCAGGCCGUGUUGAUUUCUUACUUUGGCCCAUUUUCUCUAUUUUUGGCCCAUUUCUCGUUCCUUUCGCUCUCCUAUGCUCUUCUAAGUAUAAAACAUGAAAUUAAAGCACUAGAAGCAUCGAAUUCACCAAUUCUUAUGGUAAAUCAUCCAUAAAAUGAGUUAAACAUGGGGUAAAAAUAUGUAUAAAUUACGGUUUAUCAGAUAGUGUGACUCGAGUGCUGAUCCUGUAAUGCCUUGAUUAAUUUAAUUUUAUUUCUGUGAAUUUUGAUAUAAAUGAGUAUCUACUUCAGUAGUUAAGUGAUAUGGAUGUGUGUUUGAAGUCGUGGGUUCAAGUCCCAUUUAUGAAAAAUUCUGUUAUUUUUUACCCUAGUUUAUUCCUAGCUUAUUCCUGGUUUGUUGAUUUUGGUUAGUGGGUAGGAUUCUAGGGGAUUAGGUAGUUAGUGGAUAGAGUGGGGGAUUUUUUUAAUAUUUUAAUUUUAAUUUAUUUUUAUUCUUUUUCUUUUCCCCAAAAUUCCUCUCCACAUUUGACAUUCUUUCUUUUCCCAAAUUCUUCUUCCAAACAUUUUUCCUUGUCUUAUUCUUUGAACUUUUUUGUUUCUUUUUUCUUUGAAUUCUAUUCACGAAACAGUCGUUCAAUCGUUGCAUUUGGUUCUGUGUUUCCUAUUCGAAUCACGGUAGGUAAGUGUUCUUGUAAUACCCUAAAAUAUCUAUUCUGUUUUUAUAUGUGUAUGCCAUAAAUGCUUGUCUACUUCAAUGGUUAAGUGCUCUAGGUGUGUGUGUGUGAGGUCCCAAGUUCAAGCUUUAGUUUUGACUAAUUUUGGUAUUUUUAUGAAUAAAGCCUUAACCUUGCCUAGAGGGCUUAAGUUUCAUAGUUGGUAAAUAGUUAACAGAAUGGGCCUGCUAGUCUCGUGGUUAAGUGGAGUGUCAAUAUACUGGAGGUCUUGUGUUCGAAUCGUUGCGUAAGCAUGAAGGCUAUUAUUUUAUAGCUUGGUCGAUUAAGAGAGUUUGAGUUGGAUUGGACAGCAGGGUGAUCAGAAGUGGCUCAUUUGAUUUUCUUUUUGCAAAUUCUGGUGCCCCCUUCUGCUUCUAAGAUUCUGACAUUACCUUGUGUCCACCUCUCUGUCAUUUUCCCUCUUUUUCCCUUGCUGCCUUUUUGCAUUUUUCCCAUCUAUUUCUUAGUAGCUGCAACUUGUUAUCUCUGUACCAUUACGUGUUAACAGUAAGUAUGGUAAAUAUGGUUAUCUGUUAAUUGUUGAAUCAUCGUCUAAAUAAGGUUUCAAUUCAUUUUUAGGAAGACAUUGAGUGGUUGUGGAAUUUCGACUGGUGCCAUAGAAGUGCGAAUUCGCCGGUGAUUGUUCAAAGGUAAGGGAUUUAAUGGUUUUAAUUUGGAAUACCUCGUCAACUCUUCCAUCGAGUAAUGAUUUAAGUGGCUAAAUUGGGAAAAUAUUUGUGAAUUAUAGGCGUUGGAUAUCUCGGGAGUGUUAGUACAUCAAAACCGUACUAGGUGUGUACUCGAUUGCACUGAAAACAAGGUUUCGGUGAAAGCCAAAAACCUUACUAUCGAUGCCACACGGGUGUAUGGUCGCCUGUGUGGUAGGCUGUGUGCCCCAACAUGGGCAUGUGAAAGACGAGGCCAAGCCGUACGCACUAGACACGAUCGUGUGAUGGCGAAGGAGGUCGUGUACGACACACGGGCUAGACUAAUUUGGGCCAUGUGGCCCACACAGGCCAAGGCCAAUCUAGGCAUGUGAGCCACACGGGUAGGCCACAUAGGCGUGGGAGCCCAUUUUUACUGAAAUGUGUGUUAAGGUUGCACGGGUCGCCCAAGUCAACUGCGAACCUUCUGUAGGGUCGGUAAGCACUACUUAGACCCUUAUCUGUGUGAAAUUGAUUAUGGGAAUUAUGUGUCGAGCAUGUUAUAUAUAAGCAUGUAUACUGAACUGUAUGUGUAUCUGACAGAUCUGUGAUAGCAUGACAUUCUAUUGUAUGUUGCAUUGCAUUGGUUUGGGAUGACAUUAUUUGGAGGAAGUGUACUGAAAGGCUCUUGAGCCUAAUAUACUGGCAGCUCAGCUGCAAAUUAUUGUUUGUGCCGCAUUCGGUACUACAUGGAGUGUAGGGAUGGGUGAGUUGAUUUAAUCCCCACAUGGAGUGUAGAGGCUGGUUAGGUAAGAUUUUGUUACUGAAUACUGCAUAACUGCUACUGAUAUUGUGAUGGGCUAAGGCCCUACUGUAGAUUUUGAUACUGUAUUGAGAUGGGCUAAGGCCCAAACUGCUACUGAUACUGAAAAUGGCUCAGGCCCAAGACUCUUUUUGACUGUGCACUGUGUUACUAUUGUUUGAUUUCUAUGGGAUUACACUCUGAGUUUAGGUAAACUCACCCUCUUUGUUUUAAUGUGCACAGGUAAUCCCUAGACUUGACAGAUCGGUGCAGGAGAGGACCCGAUCGUGGCCACAUGUAUUUAAACUAUUUUAACUUCGGCUUUGGUAUUAAAUUCUUAAUUAUUUUUUCUGGGUUAAUUUUUGGAUGUAAACUGGACAUUUGGACUAUUUGACUUUAUGUUGGAUUUUAAACUGUUUAUGGGUUUUUAAACUGCAAACUCAACGAACAAACAGUUUUCUCUAAAACAAAAGGGGUUUUUCCUAAAAUGGACGAAUUUAGUUUCCAUAAACUAAAUGAUUUCUUAAGCUUCCACAUGAAUUGAGAUUUAAAACAAUCGAUUAAGUAAGAAAGGAUUUUGGAGUCAACUAGAGUAAGCAAAUGAAAACGAUUUUAUCAUAACAACUUAGUUUUAACACGCUAUCAUGUGACAUCGACAAAUUCGGCCAUAACGUCUAGGCCGGGUUUGGAGUGUUAUAGUUCUUUAAGUUAGUGCAAUAGUGGGUUGUUUUUGGAUGUGUUAAUAUUGUGAUUUCUUGUGGUAUGUGUUAAUUCUUGUGGUAGGUGUUAAUCAAGGGGAUCAAAAUUCAGCUUCUAUCGUGUAGUGCGUUUAGGCUGCCGUAACUAUUUUGGUAAGUGAUUGAGCCUUUCAAAUGGGAAAUACUUUCGAGUGGUUUUGGUAAUUUGUUGUUUCAGUAUUUAGAAUUGAUCAUUUGAAUGUUGUUUUUAGGAUUUAGAGGUCUCAAGAUUUCUGUAGCGUCAAAUCUGAAUUAGGUGUCUAACGAAAACACGAGAAAACGAGGUUUGGCAAAAGCCAAAAAAUGGCCUGUCGACGACAUACGACCAUGUGCACGGCCGUUUAUGACACAUAAUCGUGUGACGGGCGAGUGUGUGGCUGUGUGAGUCACACGAGCUAGGUCGAUUUGGGCGUGUGGCUGUGGGCCAGGCCGUGUAGGCCACACGGGCAUGUGGACCCAAAAUUCUAAAAUUUUCCCUAGGGUCACAUACGUCGUCCUAAUCGACUGUGGGCCUUUUGUAGGGUCGGUAAGGGCAAAACAAACCCUGAUGCAUGAGAUCUGCUAUUCUGAUAGACUGAUUUGAUUUAGGAAAACCAUUUUGUAUGUUUGACUAUUUUGUAUAAACAUGUAUGAUAUAUGUAUACGAGUAUGCAGGUCAUGUUAACUCUGUUACAUCUGUAUAUCUGUAUUCUGUAUCUGUAUAUAGGGCGGAAUUUGUAUAUGUGGAGGAAGUGUUCAGAUAAGCGACAUUCCGCCAUUAUUCUGGCAGCAUGACUGUUUUGAUUUUGAUAAGUGUUGUUCGGACACUAUGUGGUGUGUAGGGCUGGGUGGGUGUUUAAUCCCCACGUGGUGUGUUGGGAUGGGCGGAGAUGGUGUGUAGAGGAUAAGGGUAGGAAUUUGCAUAUAUGUAUGAUUCUUUUGAUCUAAUUAUGCUAGGGACUUAUGUCUGUAUCUGUAUCCAUUUUGUAUACGAAAAAUUUGAGUUUAUGUGCAUGUAUGACUCUGUAUAGUUACACACUGAGUUUAUGAAAACUCAUAUCUGUUUGUCUAUUUUGUUAAGGUUAUCCUCAGACAUAGGCGAGUCGUUGUGACAGAGUCUCAGCGGUGACCCCUAGUUCGUGAACUGGUUUAGUUAACAAUUUUUUUUUAAAUUCUGGAUUAUUUUGAGAGUUUGUAAUUUUUGGACUCUCUGGACUGUUGGUUUUAACUUCGGGAUUUUGAAAUGGUUUAUAUUAUGAUUCUACGACUUUUUACGAAAUGAUUUACAAAAACAAUGGUUUUACGCAAACAAAUAUUUUUCUGAAACCAAGCUCAGAUUUCAAAUAUAACGAUUUCAAACUUCCGCGGCAAGAUUAAUCUAAUUGUAGGAGUUGACUAUCGACGCUUUCCUUAAUGAAUAUAAUAUAAAUAACAUGUUUUAUAAAAGGUGGACUCUCUUUUAGUAACAAAUUAUUUGGGAAAUUUCAACAUGAUAAAAUUGGUUUCAAAACCCUUCUUCAUAACAUUACCAUAUUCGGUCAUAAUGUCUAGGCCGGGUUUGGUGUGUUACAGAUCCAAUCAUCUAACCUUCAAAAGUAUCUAUAAGAACAUAAAUCAACACAAGUAAGCUUAUUGAAGCUUAGUAAAUUCGACGUACAGAAAUAAUAAAUCUUACCAAAGUAAAUAUAACAAUUCAAUAAAAAAAUAACCCAACAACACAUGUUUCCUGUCAUCCACAACUACAUACCGGUGAAUUUCAUUUCUCAAUUCAAAGCUCAGCAAUAAUAUUCGAAAAAAUAUACAUAUCCAAAAUAGAAUCAAUUAUAGAUAUCAAUUACAUGUCAUGCCAUUCAAAAUCAUUAUACAAUUUAUAGUUUAAUAAUUUACAAUAUGGAGAACGACUUACGAAUACGAGUACACAAGUAAUCCAACUGAAACAUGCCAAAAGCUCAUAAGAGCUAAUCCAACCGAUAACACACCAAGUUCUCAUAGAACCUAAUCCAACCGAUAACACGCCAAGUGCUCCGAAAAGCUAUACAUCCGCCCCUAUAACACGCCAGAAUAAGAUAAUAUAACGUGAGAAUUCGCAACAAAUGCUGAACCUUGGUAUACUCAGGAAAAACAUAUAAAGCACACCUUAUCAAUCUCCACUCCCAACCCCACAUAACACGCCGUCAUUACAUUGUAUUCUAUCACACGUUCAUCAACCCAAUUAUUGAAUUUCAAUAACAUUUUCUCAAACAACUUUACAUCAUCAUUAAGCAAUUAAUAUCCUCUAUAUUAUAUUAUAUCGUCAUACAAUUCAAAUAGAUAUUGAAUUAUAAACCGUACGAACUUACCUGGACUAAGUUGUAAUAGUUACAGAAGUUCAGGGACUAUUCUGUAAUUUUUUAUUUUCCACGUAAAUCAACAAGGUCUUGAUUUAAAAUGUAAAAUUUCCCAAUUAUCAUCUUACAAUUCAUAUUCCUAUUUAUUCUACAUUUUGUAUUCUUUCAUUUUCAAAGUUUACACAAUUCCCCGAAACUUUUAUAAUUUAUGCAAUUUAGUCUAUUAACCCAAAAAUCAUCAAAUUGACCAUUUUCACGAGUUAAAAUUAUAGUUGAAUAUUCAAGGCUUCUAAGCAGUCCACAAAACACCCCUUAUUCACCCUUAAACCUUGAAAUUUUGGCAUUUUAACAACUUAAUCCUUAAAUCAAAAUCUAACAAAAAUCACUUCACAAAAUAACCAGAUACCACAGUCAAAGCUUCAAACUCAUAGUUAUCAUCACAAACAACUAAGAUUCAUCAAUAGUAACUUCCAAAAUUUUUAACAGAUUCAAAAAUAAAGGUAUGGGCUAGCUGGACCUAGUUGUAACAAUCUCAAAAACCUAAAAAUUACAAGAAACAAGUUUAAAACGGACUUACAUGCAAGAAAUUAUUGAUGGCCAAACUUUAAACGUUAAAAAUGGUAGUUUUCAUCUUUCAAAUUCGACAGCCAAGUCAAUUAAGGAAGAUGAUGUUGUUUUAUUUUUAUUUUACUAAAUUACAAUUUUGCCCUUUAGUAAAACAUUCAAUUAAACCAAAACACAAACCUAUAACCAUCCAUUAAGUUAUAACAUGGUAUAAUUAUCAUAUAAGUCCUCCAUCAUUUAAGAUUUAAGCUAUUUGAUCCCCUAAACGCAAUAAUUACUAAGUUUUUUUCAAUUUAGUCAUUUUUCUUUAAUUAACUAUCUAAACUUAAAAAUUUCUUAACCAAAUUUUAAUACGACUCUAAUGACUAUAAUAUUUACUGAUCGACAUGACAUAAAUUUGUAGUUUCAAAACUACUAUUUCGUCACCACAAGAAAACAAGUUUUUACAUUAAAUCUAGAUCGUAGCUUGGUAAAUUUAAACCCCCAAUCGCCAUGACUGGUUCCCAAAAUAAUGGUUAAUCCCACCAGUGAAAACAUCUGGAAAAACCACAUUCGAUCUCAUGAAUUUCUCGUCGAUCAUCAUGAACACUUCCUUGUACGUGCCGUUGUCAAAUUGUUUAUUCAGAUGUACGAAUAAGGUGGAUUCAAAUACCAAAACUUGUUAUCAUCGUGAAAUGAUGUGUAUAAUUCCAAAAAUAAUUUGACGUGGACGUCCAAUUCACUUUCCAGUCUGAACCAAAAUCCUCUUUUUUCGUCGCUGGAGAUCGAGAUUAUAGAAUCUGGCGGUGUUUUAAACAAUCCCAAUUAGGUGAUUCCCAAAUUGUCUCACAAUAACUUUUUGCACCGUUUGCAUCAGCAUGCUAAGCUUUGGCUUUCUAACUCUAACCAGCCCAUCGACCCCAAUGUCUACAUCUCAUGUAAUAAAGUACUCCAUUUGUGGGGGGUUUCUAUUUUUAAAUUUAUGAGUUUUCAUGUGUCCAUUCAACAAUCUAAACAGUGAGAAGAACAAGCUCAGAGAGAGAAAAUACAUACUAAAAAAUGGAGUCCAUCUGACGAACGGAAGAGAAGAUCGGAGAUUAGGAAGGUUGAGGCUCAAGGAUAGAUUUUGAGGUUUUCAAAAAGUUUUUUUGAGAAAAUACAUUGGAAAAAUUGAAAAAAGGGAAAGAGAAGAGUUUUUUGGAGCAAGGCAGCUUGAACGGCAUUGGACAAUAGUGAAGGUGAACGGAGACGGUGAUGAUGAUGGUAAACAAUGGAAUGAAACAAUGGAGAAGAAGAAAUGGUGAUGAUAAAUUUAAAAUAAUUUCAAUAAUUUUAAAAUUAUUUGCUGACAUGACAUAUAAGACAAAAUAGUGCCACGCCAUUAUUUAAUUACAUUUAGACCACUACGUUAGCUGUUAAUGUUGAUCGUUAGUCAACUAACAGCCACGUUAGCAUCUUUAUUAAAAAUAAAUCAAUUUGACGAAAAAAAUAUUAGGGGCUAUUUUUGGCAUUAUGCCAUACGUUUAUAAACACAAGGUUGAUAUACGUUUUAAUCAAAUCCAAAGGUAUUGAUCACUUGUAGAUCCACUUACACCCUAUGGGCUUUUUUUCUUCCAGUCAGUCUACAAGUUCCCACACUAAGUUGGAAUCCAUAGAAUUCAUAUAAGCUUUCAUAACUAUUUCCCAUAGCUUGGAAAUAACACUUUGCAUCAUUUCAUCAUAUGAGUGGGUCAUCAUAUUCCCAUUCAGCAAACUCGAUGUUUAAAACACUUCCACCAUAUUGGAAGAACUCAAGCCUACUAGAGACCCUCCCACUACGAUAAAGCACCCUAUGCUGCUGGUUGUUUACAAGUCUACUAUUAGGAGUUGGUUCUAGAACCGUUAAUGUAGGACUUUGUGUAUUUCCCAAAAGUUCCUUGAGUACUUCUUUACUUCGAGGAUUGAACUCAUUAAUGUAACUUUCCUCAAAGAAAGUAACAUGAAUUGACACUAUCACAAUUUGCUCUUCUAAGAUAUAAAACAAACCACCCUUUGUCCUUUUUGGAUAUCCCACAAACAUGCACAAUUCUAUCCAUGAAUCCUACCUAUUCACAUCUUUACCCAAUACGUGGACUAGGCAUUGAUAUAUCGUAAUUUGAUGUAGCAUAUUAAACUAGUUUUCAUAUUUUAGGAGCUUGAAAAUAAGCAUUUUAGUUGUGUUUUAAUUAUAAUUUAGUAAAGUUUAGUUAAAUGUAAUAAAUGUGUAAUUUGAGUCUUUUAUUGACCUUAGGGGACAAGUGAGGCCUAAGGGUAAGCUAAUAUACAUUGUGGGUGUGCAAGAGAACCUUAGAAGACGUACUGACUCGAUACUAGUUGCUAGGUUGCAACAAGAAGCAUUUGAUGCCGCAAUGUAGAGAGCAGAAAAAGAAAAUUCCAAGACUACCUUCAAUGUCACUACACAGCCUGAGGAUGUCUCGACAUACCAUUGAAGCUAAGCAUACUGCCCCAAAUGUCAUGACACAAAACUGGAUAUGUCGCGACAUCGCCUCUGCAAGGGAAAUUAAUAUAAGCAAGGGGUGUUUUAGUCUGCACAAUCCAACUUUAAGCUAUGGAACAUCAGCUGACUAGGUUAAGGACAAAGGCCAUUCUAGGUUUACAAAUAGGCUCAGUUAGCAUAGGUUAUGGACACCUUUUUACUCUGUAUAAUUUUCUCUUUAAAUAUGGACUUUAGAUUUUCUCUUUUCUUAGGUUUUAGAUUUCUGUCCUUGUUAUUUCCCAUUGGGAAGAAAUCAAAUUUUGGAAUUAUUCUCAAACUCUGAGGAUUAUGUGCUUAAAUUUAAUACAAUCAGGCUUCUUCUAAACUUUACUCUUGAAAUUAUUCAUUAUGUUCAUUCUUUCAUUCAAGUUUACAUUGUUUACUAGAUCCAAGAGGAAUUCAUCCUCCUGUGGGGGAUUAGCGAGUGGAGGUAUGAAUAAUUAAUUGUUUUGUAGGGAUUUCUUAACAGAUCAACUUUUGAAAAAAGAAAGAACCUAAACCCUAGGCCUGACAACCCUAGGAAGUAAUCAAGGUGGGAAUUAAUCCAAAUUUAGUAUAGACUAUCCGUGAACACCUUAACCCUGAAUCGGUCUAGAUUGUAAGGUCGGAAGAUAAGUAGUUCUUGCCUACUCAGUUGAUUACGAUCACCAAAGCAAACUAAUCACCCAUGUCCAAAUUCGAUACAUAUUUCCUUAUUUGAUUUCUUGCCUUUCGUUUGUUUAAUUUCCUUUUAUGUUUUUAGCAUAGUUUAUUAAAACUCUUCUUUUUAUCUUUCAUACUAUAAUUUGAUUAAAUUAUUAAUUAGAUCUAUUUAUAUUUAAAUUAGAAUUAAUUUAAUGCUCGCCUCCCUUAAGUACAAUCCUCAGAGUACUUACCUACUCCGUUGUAACUAUAUUACAACUUGACCCGUAUACUUAUGGAUACCAUCUGUUCAUAUCUUUUGAGCAAGAUUUCUACUCUGGAUGUUGUUGCGUCUAGAGGCGGUCAAGUUUUUGGUGUCGUUGCUGGGGAGGCAACAUCAUUAUAUCAGUUUUAAUUUUUUCCAUUUUAAUAGAAUAAUUAGGAAAUUCUUAGCUUACAGUUAUGAAUUUAAUUUCUUUUCUACUAAUCUUCUAUUUUUAGGUUAGUGUAUGACUCAUAGUAGGGGACACCUAUAACACCCUUAACCCGUAUCCGUUGCCAAACUGGGGUUAUGAGGUAUUACCAAUCAAGUCACAGAUUCAAAUAAUCACAAGAAUAUACUUAAACAAAUUUUUAAGUAAUUUAUUAUUGGUAGGAAUAGUCAAUUUAUUCAUUAACAUCACAUAACCGAAUGUAACAUGGAUUCAACUUAUAGAUUAUACAAAAUAUACAAUCAGUUUAUACCUCCAUGACAAUCUAAAAAUUAAUUCAUAAGUAGAACUCAUAAAAUCAAGUACACCAAAACAUUCCAAUUUCACCAUGUCAUAUUCGGCUCAUUACAGUAGUACAUAUUUCAUCAACUUACUAUAAAUUCUUCUCCUGUAAAUAACAUGCAUGCAAUUUAUUAAUACACAACUUGUUAUAACACAAUAUACGUUCCCUAUCAAUGCAUAAUCAAACAUAUAAUAUAUCAUCAUCAUAUUUAUAUAUACCUUAAGAUAAAAUAGAUAUUAGAUCAAUUUCUCAUAUGCAUAAAUAUUUAUAAAAGCAUUUGCCGAAUCACAAGUUAGGAAUAACCAACUCACAUACUUUUAUCUUAUGAACUAAUUUAUAAUACAUUAUUAUAUAAUUUCCAGACCAACUCAUAUUACUAAUUAUACAUCACAAUAAUAAGACAUUAACCAUAAUUAGGCAUACAAUUAAACCUUAAGUAUAUCAUGCCAUGAAAUAACCAUAUUUUAACAAGCUUAUAUUAUGUUCGAACUUAGCUAACAACCUGUAUUACCGAAUUACACAUUAUACACUAUUUAAAUAAUACUACAUAUUCGCAUAUUUUUUUCUAUGUAUACCUAAACAAAAACAGCCAUGUAUUCAUCCAAAUCAUUAACAAUUUUCAAAUCAUAAAACCACCUAUGACAAACAUCAUUCCAUUAUAACACUCAACAUCAUAACCAAACUAAAUUUAAGCCACAAACAAGCCUAACUGAACUCAACAUAAAAGAUUAGCCCUUUCCGCAUGGCUUAGAUUAUACAAACCAAAAUUCUAAUUUUCAAAUCACAUUCCAGCCUAUACAUGCCAUAAUUUAAGUUUAACUUAUAAAGAUACCAAAAUAGCUGAUAGUGUAAUGAACUUUGCUGACAAUCCCCGAGCUCGUAGCUUGACUCCAAAUCUAUAAAACAGAGUAAACAUAAAUACACAGAGUAAGCUAUCUUAGCUUAGUAAGCCAUAAGCAAAUAAACAACUCAAAAAUAUGUUAGACCCAUUUUAAGCUAAACCGAAUUAUAUUGCCAUCACCAAUGCUUAACCUUAAACCUACAAAUGAGAUACAAUAAUACAUUUCCAUGUACCAUUUUUUUCUUUUUUUUUUAUCUUGGUCGAAUACUCACUUAAACUAAUUAGCCAAAUGUCAUUCAACUUUCAGGUCAAAAUAUCACCAUAAAAUCACCCAUAUUUAUACCAUUUAAAUAAGUUCAAGAAUCAUAAUAUGACAUUUUACACACAUAUUUCUUAUUUGGCCGAAUACUCAUAUAGCCACUUUAACAUAUUAAUAAGCAACUUACAAAGCCAAAUAGACAUUAAAACUUAGUACAUAUUCACUCAAGUACAUAAACUCAAGUAUCGAAAUGAUAUUUCAUAUAUAUAUAUUAAUUAUAUAACCAAAUAUACCUCAUCAUAUAUACACAUAUAUAAGGGUUAUUCAUGACAUACAAAUUACUCAUUCAAUAAACCAAAUACACAUAUCACAUACACAUAUUUUCUUUAUUUGCAUCUUACAAGAUUUGUAACAAAUAACCAAGGUGUUUUCUUUAACUUACCUCAAGUAAGUAACAAGUUAGUUCAUAGCCGGCAUAUAGCUCGUUUUACACAUUCGAACUCAAUUUACCUUUGCCCAAUGAACCAUUCGGAAUUGGGUAGGACACUCAAAUAAUCACAUAAAUCGUACAAUGCCAACGUCUCAGACGUGGUCUUACAUGUAGUCACAUAUCGAUGCCACUGUCCCAGAUAGGGUCUUACUCGUACACAUAUAUCGGAAUCACAUAUUGAUGCCAUGGUCUUACUCGCACACAUAUAUCGGAAUCCUAUGUCAUGACAUAUGUAUCCUAGCUAUUCCUAAUGUUCAUACGGGGCUUUGACUACAAUUAAACACAUCUAUUUGCUUAUAAACUUACCUUGGAGUUAUAAAACAGGACAGGGCUUCUAGUCGACAACUUUUGUUUUCCCCCGAUCCAAAUCCGAUUUCUUUGGUUCUUGAUCUAAACAUAUUGAAAUUAAACUUAUUCAAACAUAUUUUCAUUCAAUUUAGUCCAAAAACACAUAAAUGGGCAAAUUAUCAUUUUACCCCUGACAUUUACAAUUUUUACAAUUUAGUCCUUAUUGCACAAAACACAAAAUACACAAAAUUUCAGCAUACCCAUGAUGAGCAAAAUUUUACCCACUCUCAAAAAAAUCCAUAUAUUUCAUUAAUUUUACAUUUUAGUCCCUCAAAUUAUUAUUUUUGUAAUUCAGUCCUAAUUACUCAAAAUCAUCAAAAACUCCAAUACAAAACAUGUUAAUCUAGAACAUAUAUUUCAUAUUUCAUCAUCAAACAACAAAAAUCUAACUCAAAAUAUUCAUCAAAAUCAAAAAUUCAAGCAUGGGUUUUGUAGUACUCGAAGCAAUGAUCUCAAAAACGUAGAAAUUAUCAAAAACAGAGCUAAACACAUACCUCAAUCAAGCUUGUUUAUGGAUGAACCAGGUUUUCUUUUCUUUUUUUCUUUCUUAUUUUGGUUUCGAUGAAAAGAAUAUAAAACGAAUCAUGGCUUAUUAUUUUUUUUAUGAUAUAUGUUAUAUUAUAAUGGUUUAUAAUAUUAGUUUACUAAAGUAACCUUAAUAUAUUUAUAUCAAAACAUUAUAAUAUAAACCUAUUUCCAUCCACUUAAUAAAUUAAUGGGAUAAUUGCAACAUAAAGGCUCCCAUUUUAAAAGCAAAUGGCAUUUUGGCCCUUUAUACAUUUAACUACCCAAUUUUUAAAUUACGCGAUUAAGUUCUUUUAUUAAAUCGGACACUCAAACGAUAAAAUUAAAUCACGAAAAUUUCACAGAUAUAAAUUCACAAAAAAUAAACAUAGAAAAUAAUUUUAAAAUAUUUUUCUGACUCAAAUUCAUGGUCCCAAAACUACCAUUCCAAUUAGGGUCUAAAUUGGGCUGUUACAACACCUAUAUAGCCAGCCACUGAUCCAGAAAGAGUUAUCUGAAGGAAUCGUGACAGCAACAAAUGCAGAACCCACCACCUGCUGUGGGAAACGUACCUAAUGAGACUUUGCUAUUCAGAAAAGCCAACGCUAACCCACUAAACUUACCACCACCACAAUUACCCACAAAUCUAAACAAGGCACGUAACAAGAGGAUUUUGAAAAAAUAUGUGCUACCAAAUUUGGAUAUGAUUCAAGGGAGCAUAACGAGGCUAGUUAUCACGACCAAUAAUUUUAACAUUAAGCCAGCUAUAAUCCAGAUGACCCAGAAUGUAGUUUCGUGGAACAAUGAAAGAGGAUCCGAGUCAGCAUUUAAAAUGGUUCCUCCAGCUUUGUGAUACCUUUAAAUACAAUGGUGUCACUGAUGACACUAUUCGUCUUCGGUUGUUCCUCUUUUCAUUAAUCGAUAACACAUUUUCUUGGCUACACUUGCAAGCACCAGGAUCUAUCAUGACAUGAGACGAACUUGUAGGAAAAUUCCUACAAAAGUUCUUUCCCAUCAACAAAACGGUCCAGCUAAGAAGGGAAAUUUUGACGUUUAAAUGGUUAGAAGGAUAAAGCCUUCACGAAGCAUAGGAGCAUUUCAAGAUGCUGAUUCAGAAGUGCCAACACCACGGAAACCUGAGUAGUUACAACUGUAAACUUUUUACAACGGGUUGGAUGUGCAUUUGAGGUAAGGAUUAGAGGGAGCAGUAGCAGGAGUCUUGAUGAGCAAAACAAACGAGGAUGCGUACGAAGUAAUAGAAACUAUGGUAAUGAAUUCCUAUCAACGGCCAACUAAACGUCAUACAUAUGGCCAAAGACCUAUACGGUGUAACGCCCUAAUUUUUGGGAUUUUCGGGAUUUCUGUGGUUUUCAACGAAUUUUAAAAUUUCUGUGUUUUGACUGUUUGGCGUAGGUUUAAUUAUGUUAGUGGGCCUCUAGAAGGCCCAAGCUUAAGCUAAAACCCGGUAAUUUUAAGUGCUUUUAAUCCAUAGGGAAAAGAGGUUCUGGUUAGCUAGGCUUUUAAGUAUUAACUGGGUAAAAUAAAACACAAGGAAGCCUGUGGUAAGUUGGCAUGUGACACCACUUGGGGCCUUUAGAGGUGGCGUGUAGAUGACCAAGGUGAGCUAAGGUUCGAGUCGCAAGGUAAGCAAAUUAGUGAUAUUAAUUUUAUGUACAGAAAAGGUAAGCAGUGGAACUGAAGUGACAGGCUAUCAGGAGAAGAUUUAGGAGCAGAUAAGGGAGAGGAUUUAGGAGCUGAUAAGGGAGAGGAUUUAGGAGCUGAUUACGGAGAACGGUGUUGGCCGAAUGGUGGACUCUUGAGGAGCAAGAGUUGGCCGGCCAAGGGGUGCUUUAGGGGGGAAAAUUUCGGCUAGGUUAAGUGCCAGUAUAAAUUCGGCACUAGGGGUAAGUUGUGCCGCUUCCUGACUAUUCUCCUCUUCUUUUCUUUUGCUCCUCUCUCCAUUAAAUUUUUCUUUUUAUUCUUUUCUCUACAGUCGAAUCUUUCUAUCCUCCUAUUCAUCUCUAUCUUUUUUUUAGACGAUCCUAAACCUUCAUAGCCAUUUGCCAUAAGAAAAGCCGAAAUCCCGAAAGCCAUAUUUCCUUCUGUGUCGAUUUCUCCUAGCUAAUUCUCUCAUCUUUUUCAUCAUUCUUGACCGAUUUUUUAGUUCUAUAAACCUCAAGUUUUUUCGACAAGACCACAGCAAAACCCUCUUAUUUCAUCUUUCGUUACACGGUUGCAAGGGAAAAACCGAAAACUCCACACUCCUAAGGACUUAGCCAAAUAUUGGGAUCACUGAAGGCUCGACUUUUGCUAUCAUUUGAGGGCUUAGAACUGCAUCAAAAUUGAGUGGGGAUUAAGAGGUAUUGUUGACUGAAGGAAUCAGUGGUAAGUCUUUUCAACCUAGUCUUUAUUUCGUAUUUUAGGAAAAGCUGAAAUCCCUAAAGGUUAAGGAGGCUGUCGUUUUGGACUUGUAGCCCUAAGGGGUUGUGAUAACUUUUUUAUCUUGAUGAUAGUGUGAUCUAAAGGUUGCUGAUCAAGGGCUUGGACAAGGGGAACAACAGGAUCUAAAUCUAGUCGCUAAUUCCAGCAAAGGUAGGAUUGCUAGUGCCUAAGGUGUUAUUGGCCGAAUAGGGUAAGGGGUUAACAUGUAGUUCGUUUCGGUAGUUAGAUUAACGUGGUAUUAAUAUAAUUGUAGGUAGUUUGUGCGUGGAUCUCGUCAACGAAUCGUCGCAAAUAGGUGUGUAACUGACACCCUCUCAUAGACUAGAUCGGCAAAAGCCGAAAAGCCGAAAUGCCGAAAAGUCAGUAUUUUGGGAACUUGCGAGUGUGCGAAUGCUCGUAAGAUAAGUGAGUUAAUAUUUUUGGUAAUCUAAAGUGAUAAAACUACAGUACGUGCAAUUUCGUGCAUUAAUGAUAUUUUGGGUUUAACGGGCUGAAAACGAGCUAAUGGGCCAACGGGCCCAAUUCGAUAAAAAAAUGCGGUAAAUGUUUCUGGUCGUAUGAAAAUGGCUAUUCUAUGCAUGAAAACCCUAAGAAUAUUUAAAUUUCUUGAAUACCCCUAUAUAUGGAAAUUGUUGAUACACUCCUAGGUGCAAAAUUACCAUUAUACCCCUAGGGUUACUUUUGACUGAAAAGCAUGAUAAUAUAAUUCCGUAUGAUGUAUGCCAUGAUUGUAUAUCUGCUGCAUGGGGACACGGGUUAUAUUAUGGAGGAAGCGUCCUGGUGUCUAUGCCAUAUUUAUCUGAUCUGGUGGCUCUGCCACAUAUAUCUGUUCUGGUGGCUCUGCCACAAUUAUCUGUUCUGGUGACUCUGUCACAUUAUCUGUUCUGGCAGCCAAGCUGCAUAUUUCUGUGGCGUGUAGCGGUUGGGUGGGUCGAGUAGUCUCCCCACAUGGUGAAAGGUUGGUAUGGGGGUGCAUGUGGUUGGAUAUGGGUUGGGUUUUGCAUAGACAUGUAAUAUCUGUUCUGUUCUGUUAUGGGCCUAUGGGCUUUAUUCUGACUUCUGUUCUGGGCUAAGGCCAACGUAUUUUGUUCUCUGUGGUUUAAACCGAUAUAGGCUAUGGUUGGGUUAAUUUACACACUGAGUUUCCCCAAACUCACCCCUUUAUUUUUCAUCCACGCAGGUAAUCCCCAACCAUAGUGGGCUUAGAGUUGUGAGGGAUUCGGAGUGGCCACACGUUCUGCAAGUUGAUUUUAUUCUGGUGAAUUGGACAUUUUUUUUAUUUACGUUUAAGGUUUUGGGUUUUUAAAAUUUAAUAAGGCCGCUUAAUUAUUUUCUUUGAUGGGUUUUAUAUGUUUUAUUAAGAUAGGUACUACUUAUAUUUAACUGUUGAAUUUGGAUAGCAUUAGGGCGCAUUUUCAAAAACGGUAAUUGAUUUCAAAAUAACACGACAAUAAGCAAAGCUUCCACAAUGAGAAUAUAUUUCCAAAAUUAAUCAUUUUUCCUAAAAAGGACUUAAUCAAAUUGGUUUCCUGGAAAUAUACACGACGUUAAGGUGUGGUAACGGUGGUGUGCAUGUCUAGGAUUGGAUCCGAAGGGAGCUUGGUACUUAAGCAGUCCGAGGGACUCACCUCCUCUUUUCCGAUUUCCUACCUAGUGUGCAGCUUCCAUUCACUUUAACCUGCAUUGAAAUUAUCUUUUAAAACACUAAGUGAGUUUUUCUAGAACAACAAACUAAAAUGUUUUGAACGCUUCGAUGUGGCAUGUCGGAUCCGGCCAUAACGUCUGGGCCGGGUUUGGGGUGUUACAUUUUGUGAAGGUUGUCUAGGAAGAUAACAUAUACCAGCAAUUACAUGAAAAAACUAACUGAAUAGAGGCUGAAAAAGGUGCACCGGAUAUCUAUGGAGGAGACAAACUGCUCUUUCACUAUAUUAAUAAUCCUACCGAGGAUGUGAACGACAUAAAAAAUAAGGGUGGAAAUCCCUAUUCAAAUACAUAAGUUUUGGAUGGAGAAAUCACCCAAACCUGAGUUAAGAAGGAUACCAAGGAGGAAGUACUAACUCGAAUCAAGUUAAAAACACUAACUAUCAACCUUCUUAUUUGUAGAAACCUCAGGACAGGGCCUACCUGAAUGACCAUACUAUAUGGUCAACGUCUAGGUAGAAUCGAGGGGGAAAUCCAGUCAAUGAAAAUGGACGUGAAGUAGGUACAAUCUAAGUGCACCAACUCAACAAGAACAUUAACUAAACUUGAAGAUCAAAUGAGCCAAUUGAUGAGCAUGAUGGGUGACAUCAAAAGAAAAAUUGACAAAGGUAUUCCCAGCAAUACAAAAAAUAAUCCUCGUAGGGAAGGGAAGGAGUACGUAAAUAUGGAGAAUACUGAUGAUCUUCAAGAAAGACCCCUAAAAGCUGAAGAUGAAUUGGAGUCAGAGGAGGUAAUUGCACCGAUAGUUGAGCCAAAAAAGAAACAACCAAAAAUUUUGUCAUUGCAAAGAUACCAUUCCCUUCAAGACUAGAAGAAAAGCAAAAAUAAGAUGAAGACGAAUUUGUAAGUUUCCUAAACUUGUUCAAAACGUUAAAUGUUAACCUGCCUUUAAUUGAAUUAAUUGAUAAAGUUCCUAAAUACGUCAAGUUUUUAAAGGAAAUUAUGUCUAGGUGUAGGAAGAUUAAGAUAAGCGAAUGGAACAACGGAAAAUGUGCAAGUUUACACAAUCGCAACAAGUAAUAAAGUGACAAGUAAAUGUCGAGUUAUUGUACCCACAGGGAAUGUAAAAAGAAUUAUUUAUGAAAUUAAUUGUACAACACUUUGGCGAGGUAAAAAUAAUUUGGUAUUAAAAUAUGGUCAAAAACUAUUUAAAAACUAAGUAAAUAAUUAAAAUAAAACAAAAAAGUUCUAAUGCACGAUUUCAAAUAAGAUUUAAUCAAGAUAACAUACUUUUGUUGGAUUAAUUACAUUUCUUUAACUUAGAAUUAUUAAAAUUAUGUUUAUAUUGCUACGAAUAAAUUCACAGCAACUCGGUAAUUUGCUAACUACUGCUCAUACAUGCUUAUUAAAUUAAUCAAUCUCUUGAACAUUUUUCAAUGUCAAUCCAAGCGGUUAAUUAAUCUUCACAAGCAUAUAAAAGAUUAAGUGAGGUAACAGGGUAUUUCUACCUUGAAACAGUUUAAUCACAAAAAUCUUGCAAGUUAUGCAAGGCAUAUGUAUCACCGAAUACAAUGCUAAUUUAAACUUCAGCUACCUUAGAAGAAUAAACAUGCACUGAUUAAGCAUUGUGUCUAUUAAUUAUAAUUUCAAUACGAUUUAAUAAUUAAUUCAUUAGUUAUUUAACAAUUAUAUUGAAAAAAUAACUUAGGCAUGAUUUUACUUAACCAAGCAAUUUAUCGAGGCCUAUAACAGCAUAAACAUAAUUUUAACAAUUCAAGCAGGCAGAAUAUAAUCAACCCAACACAAACUUUAAUUUAAGAUAAAUUGAUUAAAAUAACCAUUUCAAUAGCAUAAAUAUUCAAAAACAUGUUCAUCAAAACAACAACAAAAAUUAAAGAGAUAGGGAGCAAGAAGCAAAUCCGGUGUUUCUCCGUGGUUUGACUAGUUGCUCUAUUUUUCGUUCUUCGUUGCCCUCAGCUAUCAAGGUAGCUUAUGAACACCUAAUUUCUACUCCAAAAUGGCUGAUGAGAGCCUCUUUCGCAAGAGAAGAAAUCGGCACUUCAACAAAAGGGAAAUGGGAUGAAAAAAAUGGAAAGAAAACUGAGAGAGGAGAAGAGAGAAUAAGAGAAUGUUGUGGGAUUGACGGAUGGUUUGAAUGAUCAGAAAGGGGUGGCUUUUAUAGCUGAUUGUGGCUGCUAAAAAUAUAAAAUUCCAGAAGCCAAAGAGCCCCCCUAUGGCCGGCCAUCUACUUGGCAAAAGUUGAGACUUUCAACUUUGCUAAAAAUAGCCUGGGGCAAAUCUACAAAGCCACAAUUAAAGGCGGGGUUUGAAUGCAAUUUAGAAGUCUUUCAAGAGCCUUUUUGCAAGCAUAUUUAAUCAGCCAAAAUGAUUAUUUGGGUCAGCAUAUGGUCGGUUCUGGGCUGCCCAAUUAGUGGCUGGUUCGGUUCACUCAAUUUGGUUCGACCAGUGCGGUUCAACUGGACCCUUUCUCCAUAAUUAAUUAAAAAUAAUUUAUUUAACCCGAAUUAAAUGGGGAAUAAAUUAAAAUUAAUUAAAUUAUGAAUUAAUACACAUUUCUGGACCGUCUUAGGCUGGAAAUUAAUGUGCCUCGAUACUUCAAAUUGCUUCUCAAUUUUGUGCUUUCAACAGUGUCAACUGAGCCAAUUUUCACCCUUUGCGCAAAUCUGUCAAAAUUAAUCAAAAUUAAGUAUAAAAUUAACUAAAAUUAACCAUGUUCAUAUUUUUAACACAAUUUAAAUAUUUUAUAAUAUUUAAUUAUUUUUUGACAAGAAUUUAACCGGAUUUGCUUGAAUUUAAGUAAAAAUGGGUAUGAAAAAGCAUAUAAAUUUGUGUUUCAGCGAACAAGUUCAUAUAAAUGCUUCCUGUAGUGUUAUUAUCUCAAGACAAGUUCCCCAAAAAUUGAAAGACCCAAGACGUUUUAUUAUUCCCAUAAAGAUAUGGAGCAUUCACUUUAAUAGAGCUCUAUAUGACCUAAGAGUUAGUAUUAAUUUAAUACCUCUAUCCAUUUUUCAAAAACUUGGGUUAGGGGACCUCAAAAACACCCAGAUAAAAUUAUUGUUGGCCGACAGAUCCUUAGUGCAUCUGAAAAGAGUACUGGAAGAUAUGUUAGUCAAAGUGCUCAGUUUUAUCAUCUGAAAGAUUUCAUUAUUCUAGACUUUGAAAAGGAUCAAGAAAUACCCAUCCUUAGUUGCGUUUUAAUUAUAUUUUACUAAAGUUUUAAUGUAAUAAAUCUAUAAUCUAAGUCUUUUAUUCACCCUAGGGGCCGAAUGAGGCCUAAGGAUGAGCUAAUAUACGUUAUGAGUGUGCAAGAGACCAUUAGAAUGCAUACUAACUCGAUACUCGUCUCUUGGUUGCAACACGGAGCAUUUGAUGUCACAACAUAAGGAGCAGAACAAGAAAAGUACAAGACUUCCUUAAAUGUCGCUACACAGCUUGAGGAUGUCGUGACAUGCCCUAAAGACACCUUGAAGCUGAGCAUAUUGCCCUCAAUGUCACCACACAAAACCUGAUGUGUCGUAAUAUCGCCUCUACACAGGAAAUUAAUACGAUUAAGGGGCAUUUUUUUCCGUACAAUCCAACUUUAAGCUCAAGAACAUCAGCUGACCUAGGGUUAAGGAUGAAGGUCAUUCUAAGUCUAUAAAUAGGUUCAACUAACACAUGUUAUGGACACCUUUUUACUCUGUAUAAUUUUCUCUUUAGAUCUAGACUUUAGAUUUUCUCUUUUCUUAAGUUUUAGAUUUCCAUUCUUGUUAUUUUUCGUUGGGAACCAAUCAGAUUUUGGAAUUGUUCUCAAACUCUGUGAGGAUUCUGUGCUUAAAUUUAAUACAAUCAGGCUUCUUCUAAACUUUUCUUUUGAAACUGUUAUUUAUAUUCAUUCAAGUUUACAUUGUUUACUAGAUCCAUGAGGAACUAAUCUUCCUGUGGGGGAUUAACGAGUGGAGGUAUAAAUAAUUAACUGUUUUGUAGGAAUUUAUUAACAGAUCAGCUAUUCAAGAAAGGAAUAACCUAAACCCUAGGUCUAACAACCCUAGGAAGUAAUCAAGGUGGGAAUUAACCCAAAUUUGGUAUGGCCUAUCUGUGAACAACUUUAACCUGAAUUGGUCUAGACUGUGAGGUCGAAAGAUAAGUAGUUCUUGCCGACUCAGUAUUUCAAUUGACAUAUAAGAAGAUCUUGUUGGGGUAUUGACUAGUUAAUUGAACAAGAAAGCCCAAGAUGACAGUUGAUUAUGAUCACCAAACCAAAUUAAUCACCCAUGCCAAGAUUAGAUACUUAUUUCCUUAUUUGAUUUCUUACAUUUCAUUUGCUUAAAUUCCUUUUAUGUUUUUAGCAUAGUUUAUUAAAACUCUUCUUUUUGAUCUUUUGUACUAUAAUUUGAUUCAAGUAUUAAUUAGAUCUAUUUAUGUUUAAAUUAGAAUUAAUUUAGAAUUAAUUUAGUGCUCGCCUCCAUUGGGUACGAUCCUGUAAUACCCAAACCUGGCCUAGACGUUAUGGCCGAAUCUGGUGAUGUCACAUGAUAGCGUGUUAAAACUAAAUUUUUAUGAUAAAACCAUUAUCAUUAUUUACUCUUAUUGAUUCCAAAAUUGCUUAUUUAUUUAAUCGAUUGUUUUAAAAAAAAUUAAUUACGGAAGCUUUAGAAAUCAUUUAUUUUAUGAAAAACCGAGUUUAUUAGGUAAAUUCGUCCAUCUUAGAAAAACUCCUUGUUUUAGAGAAAAACGUUUUUUUCAUUAAGUUUAGUGCAGUUAUUAAAUCCACGAAAACAAUCUAAAACCAAGAAUAAAAGCAACCAGUCCAAAAAGUCCAAUUUACAUCAAAAAUAACCCAGAAAAUAAUUAAGAAAUAAUUACCAAAACUAAAAGUAAAAUAGUAUAAAAUAUGUGUGGCCAUCGUCGAGUCCUCCGCAACACCGAUCCAUCAAGUCUGGGGAUUACCUAUGCAUAUUAAAUAGACAGGGGUGAGUUUACGUAAACUCAGUGUGUAAUCCCACAGAAAACAAACAACAGCAAAUCACAGUGCACAGUUAUAACAGUCUUGGACCUAAGCCCUUUUCGGUAUCAGUAACAGUUUGGGCCUUAGCCCAUCUCAGUACAGUAUCAAAUAUGCAGUAGGGCCUUAGCCCAUCACAUUAUCAGUGGCAGUCAUGCAGUAUUUAGAAAUAAAGUCCUACCCAACCAGUCUCUAGACACCAUCUCUGUCCAACCCUACACUCCAUGUGGGGAUUAAAUUAACCAACCCAUCCCUAGACUCUAGGUAGUACCAAAUGCGGCACAAAACAGUAAUUUGCAGCUGGGCUACCAGUAUAUUAGGCUUAAGAGCCUUUCAGUACACUUCCUCCAAAUAAUAUCAACCCAACCCAAUGAAAUGCAACAAACAAUGAAAUGUCAUGCUAUCACAGGUUUGUCAGAUACGCAUUCAGUUCGGUAUACAAGCUUAGUACAUGAUACACACAAUUAAUAUCACACAGUUAAGGGUCUAAGUAGUGCUUACCGACCCUAAGGAAGGUUCACAGUAGACUUGGGCAACCCGUGCAACCUUAACAGUCAUUUUAGUAAAAAAAUGCCCACACGCCCACGUGGCCCGCCUGUGUGGGCCCACACGCCCAGAUUGACCUUGGCCCGUGUGGAUCACACGGCCUGGCCCAAAUUCCCACAGCCCGUGUUGACUAACCGUGUGGGUCCACACGCUCGUGCGGCCCACACAUCUCAAAUUAGUCUAGCUCGUGUAUUGCACACGGCCUACCUGGCCAUCACACGACUGUGUCUUAUGCACACAGCCUGGCGUCAUCGGUCACAUGACCACGUUGGGGCACAUGACCUACCACACUGGCCACCACACGCCCGUCUGGCAUCGACAGUGACAUUUUUAGCUUUUGCUGAAACCUUGUUUUCUGCACUUCUUGGUACACACCUGGUUUUGAUUGAUGCUAAAACAACCCCCAAACUUCCCCAAACCUAGCAACACAAAAUCCAAUACCGAUUUAGAGAUUAAUCUAACGAAUUCGAUAAUAGAGCACUAGCAGAACUCAACUUACCACCGAUAGAGAAACUUCUAUUAACAUUGCUAACCCAAGAGAUAUGAAAAUCACUGAUCAAAACCUCCUCCUAUGCUAUUAAUAGUAGAAGAAACAUAUUACUAAUCAAUCAUUAUAGUUCUACGAUGGAAAAGACAAGGAAAACUUACCGAACCCACACAAGAGCAAUACACAUCGCAAUAAGAAAGCAAAGAUAGCUUAAGGACGAAAGAAAAGGGAAAAAAAUAUAUGUCGCUGGAGUAGAGAAGAAUUAAAGAGAACAAAAGAAAAAGGAAAAAAAAGCAGGGAGACCUCAGGAAUUUUGAAAAGGGAAAGAGGGGUGCUGAAUAUUUGCAAAUAAAAAAUCUGAAUAAAAAUUCUGAUAACCCUCUUAUCAUCUCCUCAAAUCUAUCCCCACUAACCUACUCAAACUCCACUUCUCGAAGUCCACGCAUAGUACAACUCUAGCCUCAAUUUAGAGCAAAAACAUCACUUACACUCGCACAGGGAUUCAAACACAGGACCUCCAGCAAACUAACACUCCACUUAACCACCAGAUCAGCAAGCCUAUUCUAACAUGAUUUUAUAAAUUAUUAACUUAAGCCCACUAAACAAGGGUGAGGCUUUAAUCAGAAAAUUUUCAAAAUUUUUCCAAAGAUAGGACUUGAACUUGGGACCUCUCACACACACCCAGAACACUUAACCAUUGAAGCAAAUACACAAUUGUGUCAAAUUUAUCCAUAAUAGAAAUAUGAAUUUUGGGGUAUUACAGAUCCUCGAAGUACUUACCUACUCUGUUGUAACUAUAUUACAACCUGACUUGUAUACAUGCAGAUACUGUUUAUUCACAUCUUCUAUGGGAGAUUUCUACUUUGGACAUUGGUACAUCUGGAGGUAGUCAGGCAUCACCAAAUCCCUAAAUUAUUUAGAUUUGGGUUCUUUCCAUGCAACAAUUCGUAUGGAGUUUUAGAUGUUGCCUUAGUUGGUACAUCAUUCAGAAUAUAGUAAGUUGUUUGCAAUGCAUAUCCCUAAAAGGAGAUUGGUAGCUUCAAAUAACUUAACAUAGAAUGAACAUGUCUAACAACGUUUGAUUUCUUCUUUUUGCACGUCAUUCUAUUGUGGAGUGCCCGACGCAGUUAACUAGGAUAGAAUCUUAUUCUUUAUGAUAAAUAUUUCUAACCUUGAUCAGACUGAAGUUCUUCUAUAGGUAAACCUAAUUGUUUCUCCACUUUUAUACAAAACUCUUUGAAUUUAUUGAAUGUUUCACUCUUGCUUUGUAUUAGAUGCACAUACCCAUAACUGGAAUAAUCAUCAAUAAAUGUUAUAUAAUACUCAUAACCACCUCUCGCACUAACAUUCACGGGGCCACAUAUGUCAGUAUGCACAAGUUCUAAGGGUUUUAAGAUCCUCGUCCCUUUUUGUAUUAAAAGAUCGCUUAGUCAUCUAAUAAAUGCCAAAAGUAACAUGUUUUAGUCUCAUUCUUAAUGCAUUUUUGGAUGAAUAUUCAAUUUAAAAUGGUGAAUUUUAUGCUCUUAAUCAUUUAAAUUUAUGUUUCUAUACUUAAGAGAGCACUGGAAGCAAAAGGAGCGAAAAUCAAAAAAAUCAGAGCAAGUUUCAAAAGCCACACGAGUUGAGCCAUUCCACACGAGAUGGACAAUCGGCCGUAACAUUGAAUUAUUGUUUGUGUUUAAGUAAUUUUCUAGAACCCAACAUUGAAGUAUUUUUUUAAAAAAAAAUUGAAUUUUUUAUUGAUUCAGUUUUGGAAUAAUUUGUGAAUUUUUGUGCAUUGUGUGGUUUAUACUUUAAGACACGAAAGUGUCAAGCAUGAUAAGUUGUUUUUCAGAAAUUCUAAUUCUAGGUUGUCUCCCUAAACUAAAAAAUUAUUUUGAAAUUUUAAAUUUGCAAGUUUGACAUCAAAACCACAAUAUUUUAUUAGUUUUUAAGCCUAUAGAGCAUAUAUUUUUUGUGCUCAUUUUAUUUUUGGUUUUGAGUAUGGCAACUUGAUUUGGAGUUCUACAACUUGGUUCGAUUGUACAUAUCGAUACCACAUUAUUGAUUUGAUAUAUUGAGAUGAUAGAGGCACUUAGGAUUUAACCCAUUUAACCUGUAAAAAGCUUAUAUAUUGAAUAACCCCUAAUAAACCCCUUUAAUCCUAACACAUUUUUUUCCAACUCGUUAAUGUUAACCCAUAACCCAUAUGUAUGUUGUAAAAUUAUCCUUGCUAUUAACUCCCUUUUUUAUCUAGAUUUGAUUUGGUUAACUGCCUAACUAUGUUCCAUUUUUUGAAUUGUUGAAUUAUAUUUUUUAUGUCAAAAAAAAAGAGAAAGAAAAAAUAAAAAAAUAAAUCAAAAUGAAAUAUAUAUAUUUGAUUGAACUUGAAUCAUUAGUUGCAUAUUCCAUUGAAAAGCUUGUUUGUAUUAUUGAUUAGUCUUGUUUAUGUAAAUUAUGUUAAUUCAGUAACUGAUUGUUUUUCUAAUUUAGUAACUUAUCAACUCGAUCUCAAUUGUAACAGACUUUUUUGACAUUUUCCAUACCCUUAACCUAAGCCCCCUUACAACCUUUUAAAGACCUCUUGAUUAGUGUGUCAUCUCAUUUUAUAGUGGUGGAGAUUUGAUUUUCAAGCAAGCUUAUGGUAAUAGCAUUUCUCGUUCAACUGCUGAGUGCAUAUUAUUUGAACAUUAAACACUUUGAGUGCUUUAAGUGAAUCUUUAGUGAGGAUGUUAAUUCUUGUUGAUUUUGAAUUCAAGGUAAUUAUUUAGAUAAGAGGAGACACAUAUGCUUUUGUUCUUUAAAAAUUUUAGCUUGGACUGCUUGAGUCUUUAGUGUCAUUUCAGUUGAAUUUUCAAUGCAUGAUUAUUUGCGAAUUAUCUUGAAGCAUUAUUGAUGAAAAUGACAAAUUAAGAAAAUUAACUUGAAUGUGGGUUGAGGAUUUUACUUGAGGACAAGCAAACACUAAGUGUGGGGAUAUUUGAUAAAUGCCAAAACUAAUAUGUUUUAGCCUAAUUCUUAAUGCGUUUUUGGAUGAUUAUCCGAUUUAAAAUGAAGAAUUUUAUACUCUUAAUCAUUUAAAUUCAUAUUUCUAUACUUAAGAGAUCAUUUGGGAGCAAAAGAGCAAAAAAAGAGCGAAAAUUAGAAAAUCGAAGCAAGCUUCAAAAGCCACAUGGGCUGGGCACAAGGUUGUGGGAGCCAUACAAGCUACUAUACAACCAUGUGCCACACUGUGUGGAUUUCACGAACAACUCUCCAAAAACGACGAAAAAUGCAAUUUUUAGGUUUUUCAGGCAUUCUAAGACCUAUAUAUACCAAAUAUAAGAAGGAAUGAGUAAGCCGUCAGAGAAUAUUGAAGAAAACAACUCGAAAAACACCAUUGGAGUCGACUUCAAAGCAGAUUUCCAUCAAAUUUGAAUAUCUCCUUUUGAUUUCUUUGAAGUUUCUUAUGAGUUUCCUUAUUUCUUACGAUUAUACUAUCUUUAGGAUGUUUUUAUUUGUGAUUAUAAACUAACUUUCUUAAUACCUAGGGGAGAUGAACCAUAUAAUGAAUUCUAUCUUUUAAUUCCCAUUUUACCCAAUAAAUACUUAGACCUUGUUCUCAAUUAUAUGUGCUUAAUUCUUGGUUUAAUAUUUCUAGAUUAUUAAUCCAUGUUUGUUGUGCUUAAUUCAGAGUAGGAAUAAACCCUAUUUAAGAGUAGAUCUAGUAUAAUUGAGUGGAGUUGCAUGCAAUCCUAGAAAUAGGACGACAUAAAUUUUUCGUAUUAGAGUCAAAUCUAAUAGGGGGAUUCAUAGAUCGAGUUAACACGACAAUAGGGGUUGAAUUAGAAAGAAAUUUCAAUUACUCAACCUAGAGUCAGUUGCUCUUACUCUCGAAAGAGAUAUUAGCAUAAUUUAGGGAUUUCUACGAAUCAAGAUACUAAGUAAAGAAUUUUUUUUAAUUUAGAUUGAUAAUGAUAGAUGAAAUCCAAGUAGAUUCUUUCCUAGGUAUUGUUUCGGUUUUUGGUUGUUAAUCGUUUGUUUUCCUGAUUUGUUCUUUGUUGUGUUCUUUAGUUAAUUAAUUUAGUUAAUUUUAGUUUUAAUCAAUCACUCUAAUUUUUUGGUUAAAUAAUAGAAAGACGGUAAUCACUUGUACUUUUAGUCUUCAUGGGAAUGAUAUUUGUGCUCACCGUAGUUAUAUACUAUUAAUUGAUAGGUCCACUUGCCUUUGUCGAAUUUUUAGUUGGUUUACGACUGCAUCAUCAUCUUACCUUCCAAGAAAGAUUCACGUUUCGCAAGAUCAACUUCUUUAAGUGAACUUAAAGUGUCAUAUUUCACAAGUCUAGUGAUUCAUUCUUGGUUAAUGUGACCAAGUCUCAAAUGCCAAAGGUACACCUCAUUCAGUGAGAGGUUUUAAGUCUUUUAUUUGAAAUUCAGUCUCAAGUAGUGUGUACAUCUAUGGUUUGAUAAAAUAUAUUUUAUUUGACAUCCAUACCUUAUAGUAAGUUUGCAAUUUCCAAUAUUGCAAUAUUAUUAUUAGAAGUCACAGUCAAGUCAUCUUUAUAUAAACAUGAAACAAAAAUCAAGUUUCUUUUGAAACUUGGUACAUAGAAAACGUCUUUCAAAAUAAUCUUCCUAAAAUUACAAAAUAAAUAUGUAUAUCUCACACGCUUCAGUUGCAACAGUUGUCUCAUUUUCAGUCCGCAACGAUAGACUCUUAUCUCUAAGAUAUUUCAUCUUUUUGAACCACUGUAGAGAAAAACACACAUGAUCAGUGGCUCCAGAAUCAAUGACCCAGUAGUUUAUUAAAUCUUCUUCUAAGUAAGCUUCUAUCAUAAAGAGUUUCAUACAUUUGCCCUUAGUGACCAGGCAAUCCUUCCACUAUUUACAAUUUGCCUUGAAGUGGCCUAUCUUGUUGCAAAAGAAGCAUUUAGACUUAGAUAAGUCUUUAGGCUUCUGGGUUCUCUUCCUUUCCACUUGUGGUGGCCCAAAAAACUUUUUCUUUCUUUUCUUUGCGCGAUUUCCCUUCCCUUUUGAGGAAGAAACAACAACUAUGUAACAACCCGAAAGUUAGUGGUGUCAAAAAUAGCGGUUUCAGAAUCUCGCUCUCAAAUGAUCGAGCUCGUGAAUGUUAUAUUAUAUUAAAUUUUGGAUGGGUAAUUUUGUCGAAUUAAUGACUAACUAAGGUAUAAGGACUAAAUUGUAAAAGUGAUAAAAGUUAAUUGCUAUAUAUUUUUAUUUAUUAAAGGGCUUAUUUAGUAAUUAAACCAAGGUGUGAAAUGGCAAUUUAACCUCUUUAUUAUUAUGACAGGUAGUUUGGUUAUAUAUAUAAUAAUGUUAUAAUUUAUAAUAAAAAAUUAUAAUGUCUAAUUUAUAAAUGAAAACAAAGUAAAUGGAAAGAAAGAGAUUAAACAUCAUCUUCCUCAUGACCAACCCCCUUGUUCAAAGUACAGUAGCCAAUAGAGUAAUCAAAAACUGCCCGCUAGCUUUUGGCGAUCAUAUCUUUAUGGCGGACUUGCUGCUACUAAAUUUCAUGAAUUCAACACUAUUCUUGUGCUGGAUUGGUGAUGUCCACGAAACUAACUAAAAAUAUUACUAAGGUAAAUGCACCUAUCAAUUAAUAGUAUAGCUACGGUGAGUAAGUAUAUCGUUACCAUGAAGACUAAAAUUAACUAAAUUAAUUAACUACGAACACGACAAAGAACAAAUCAGGUAAUAAACAAUUAACAACCAAUAAGCAAACAAUACCUAGGAAAGAAUUCACCUAGAUUUCAUCUUUCUUUAUCAAUCUAAAUUAUUCAAGUUAUUUACUUAUUAUCUUCAUCUAUGGAAAUCCCUAAAUUAUGUUAAUAUCUCUUUCGAGAGUAAAAGCAACUAGCUCUAGGUUGAUUAAUUGAAAUUUCUUUCUAAUUAAAACUCUUAUUAUUGCAUUAACUCGAUCUAUAGAUUCCCCUCUUAGAUUUGACACUAAUUCGGUAGAUUAAUGUCAUCCUAUUUCUAGGAUUUCAUGCAACUCCACUCACUUACACAAGAUCUACUCUUAAACAAGAUCUAUUCCUCCUCUAAUUUAAGCAUAUAAAAUAUGGAUCAAUAAUCUAGAAAUAUCAAACUAGCAAAUUAAGCACACAUAACCGAGAACAAGAACUAAGUAUUUAUUGUGUAAAAUAAAAAUCAAAAGACAGAAUUCAUCAUAGGGUUCAUCUCCUCUAGGUAUUUAGAAAAUUAGUUCAUUCUUGCAAAUAAAAACAACCAAGAAACAGUAUAACCGAAAAAAAUAAAAAAAAAUAAGAAACUCAUGAUAAUCUUUUAAGAAAUUAAUUGGGAAUCUUCAAUUUGACGGAGAUAUGCUUUGAAAUCGGAUUCAAUGGUGUUUUUCGAGUUACUUUCUUGAAUUUUCUAUAACGGCUCACUCCUAUCUUCUUAUUUUUGUAAUAUAUACGUCUUAGAAUGCCCGAAAAACCUAAAAAUGCAAUUUCUCGUAGUUCAAAGUGCCAAUUUGCGAAACUGACAUGGUUAGCCACAUGUUUUUUUUUUGUAGAAGGGAUCAGCCCGUGUGGCUCCUAUAACUCGUUCUAAUUUUUUAGUUUUCUGGUUUUCACUUGUUGGUCGCUCAUUUUGCUCCCAAAUGCCCUCUUAAGUAUAAAAACAUGAAUUUAAAUGAUUAGGAGCAUAAAAUUCACAAUUAACAUCAAAUAAUCACCCGAAAAACAUAUUAAGAAUGGGACUAAAACAUGUUACUUUUAGCUCUUAUCAAUUGGUUAACCAGACAUAACACCAUUGUGUACUAUCGAGCUAGAGUCGUAUGACUUCUAGCUGCAUAAGGUAAAAAAUUAUUACUACCUGGCGUAUGUAACUCCCUGAUCUUUUUAUUUAUGUUUUUGUAAGUAGUUGACAUAAAUGUGUAUCUGCUUCAGUGGUUAAGUGUUCUGGGAGUGUCUGAGAGGUUCUAAGUUCAAGCCUUAUCUUUAGCAAAUUUUGGCUAUUUUUGGAUCUAAGCUUUACCUUUUUUCUUUAGGCAUAUAUUAAAUUUCUUGUAAUUUCAUAUCAGAAUGAGCCUGCUGGUUCGAGUGGUAAAAAAGUUAUUGUGUUGGAGGUCCUGUGUGAGCGUGGAUAUUACUUUCGCUCGAGUUUAUGAAAGAGUUUUAGUGGAAUUAAAAUUCUGAAGUGGUUGAGAUUGGGGUGUUAGUGGGAAGUUAGGGAAUAUCAACUUAAUCUUUUUUUAUUUUUUUUCCCGAAAUUCUUUUUCUCUUUGACAUUCCUGUUCCCUCCUCUCCCCUGUUCAUUUGUUUUCUUCUCUUUUCUACCUUUGUCAACAUUUCAAUUCGAAUUUUUUGUGUAAGAUCCAACUGUGUUCAUUCGACAAGUCUUGUUUUGUUAACUCUUAACGCUAUUCGGCUUAGUUACUCUCGAUUUAGGUAAAGGACAAUAUAUGAAUGGGAUUCCUGCAACAAUUUAAGUCUUUAGGGUUUCAGCUCGAUAACGGUAAGUUUUCACGGACAUUUAGUGAUGUUGUAAGGUUUUAAUUGUGAAAUAAUUUCGAUUGAGUCUCGUUAGUGUUACUAAAUUUGGGCUCUGAAAUGUCAAUUUUUAGGUCUUGGAAGGCUCAAGAUAGUUUUCGCAUCGAAUAGAUACCAGGUUCAUACCCAAAUCGUAGAAAACGAGGUUUUUGCAAAAGUCAAAAAACUAUUUUGUAGGCACCACACAGGCGUGUAGUCACCCGUGUGGUAGGCCGUGUGUGAGAACACAGUUGUGUGGUGGCUCAAGUGUGGUUAUGUAGGCCACAAAGGCUAGGCCGAGUUGGGUGUGUGGGCCCACACAGGCGUGUGAAUUCUUGAGUCAAGCUGUGUGGGCCACACGGGCAAGGCCAAUUUGGGUAUGUGGGCCAUAUAGGUGUGUGGGCCCAUACUAGCAUGCCACACGGACAUGUGGGCCCUAAUUUCUGAAAUAAUUCCUAGGGUCGCGCGGGUCGUUCCAUUUGACUGUGGACCUAACAUAGGGUCGGUAAGGGCUAAUUAAACCCCUAUUUGUAUGCUUUGAAAUUUUGUUAGACUAAUCUGAUUAGGAUACUAAUGUAUGUCUGAUUAUACUUAUAUAUGUGUAUUUAUUAUUUGUAUAAAGCAUGUUUAGUCUGAUAAAUCUGUAUCUGAUUUCUGCAUCUAUUCUGGGGUGGGUUUGAUAUCUAUGUGGAGGAAGUGUUCUGUACGACAAUCAUCGUCUAUAUUCUAGCAGCUUGGCUGCACUAUAUCUAAUACGUGUCGUAACGACACAGUGUGGUGUGUAGGGAUGGGUGGGUGUUUUUAACCCCACAUGGUGUGAUGGGAUGGUCGGAGUUGGUGUGUAAAGGAUGGCGGCAAGACUUUGCAUAUCUAAUUUGUACAUCUAUUUCUGUAAUUGUAUCUGAGAUGGGCAUAAGCCCGAUUCUGUAUCUGAUUGUCUGAAAUGUUUCUGUAUGUUUGCUUGUCUAAUUAUGUUGGGUUACAUACUGAGUUUACGUAAACUCACAUUGUAAUAGCCCGAUUUUAGCUUAAAUCGGAAUAGUGGUUUCAAAACCACAAAUAUGAUGUCAUAAAAUUAUUUUAAUAUUAUUUUAUGUAUUUACAGCAUGUGAAUAAGUAGGUGUGAAAGUUUCGUGUGUUCAUUUUAUCGUUUAAUAGCUCAAUUUGAGAAAAAGGACUUAAUCGCGUAAAAUGCAAAAGUUGUAUUCUAAUUGAUAAAGGUGUCUAAUUACUAUGGCUUAUUAAAUAAAUGGCCCUUAUGUUGUAAUUAUACCAUUUAUAGUGGAUAUUGACAUGAAUAUCCAUUCAUCAUGUGAUUUUAAAUGAUAUUAAAUAAGGACAUUUUGGUAAUUAGUUAAAUAAAGCAUAAUUUAAUAAAAACAAAGUUAAAAUUUUGUUCAUUUUUUUCAUUCCAACUGAAAAACAAAAUAAAAUAAGGGUUUUAGGAGUUUUAAUGGUUUGGUCAUAGUUCAUCUUGAUUAAGGUAUGUUUUUUGCUCCGUUUUUAAUGAUUUUUACGUUUUUGUGAUCGUUGCUUUGAGUACUAGCUAGCUCGUACCCUAGUUUUUGAAUUUUUUGGUGAUUUUAUAAAUUUCCAUUGAUGAAUGUUUGAGUUCUUGAAUGUUUGAUGAUGGAAAAUGAGUAAUUGUUGAUAGAUUAUCAUGUUUUGUAAAGUGAUUUUUAGUGAAAUUGCAUAAAAAGGACUAAUUUGUGAAAAGUGUAUAAUGUGUGGUUAAAAGUGUGAAAUAAAUGAAAAUAUGAGAUUAUAUGAAGCUAUAUGAAAUUUGGCUAGCAUGAAAUUAGAAAUAAAUUGUGUAAUUUGUGAUUCAGUGAAAUAAGGACUAAAUUGUAAGAAAUGUGAAAUUAUAGGGUUAAUGUGUAAAAUGCCCCAAAUUGUGUGCUUUGGAUGAAAUUGAAUGAAUUGAGGAAUAAAAGAGUUAAUUUUGAAUUUAUAUAGAUCCUGAAAGAAAGAAAUCGGAUUUAGAUCGAGGGAAAUCAAAAGUUAUCGAGUAAUCAAUCAAAUUUGUCUAUUCCGACUACAAGGUAAGUACAUAUGCAAAUAAAUGUAUUUACAUUUUAUUAUAUAUGUUUAUUUAUGAUUAAUUUCUAUGAAUGUUGAACAUGAAAUUAUGAGCAAGAAUCGACAGAUUUGCGAUAUCCAAAAGUCCCGUACGAACCUUAGGAAUAAAAUAGGAUACAGAUGUCAUGAAAUUAGGUUAUCGAGAUGUGAUUACAUGUAAGACCAUGUCUGGGACAUUGGCAUUGUAUUGAGAUUAUGUCUAAGACCAUGUCUGGGACAUUGGUAUCGUUAAUCGAUUUCGUGUAAGACCCUGUCUAGGACAGUGGCAUUGAUAUGUGAUAACAUGUAAGACCAUAUCUGGAAUAUAGCAUUGUACAAGUUUAUGUGAUUCCUGAGUAUCCUUAACAAUUUUGAAUGGUUCAGCGGGAAAAGACAAGUCGAGAAAGAAUAUGUUAAUGAGUUAAACGACUCAGGUACAUACGAGAUUUAUACGAGUUUUGGAAAGUGAAGUAAUUGUUGAGUUUACAUGAGAAAAUGAAUAUGUAUUUACUGAGAAAGUGUUGUAUAUCUAUACGUGUAUACUUGUACUUGGCUUAAUGAUGGAAAUGUUGUGAUUCAUAUGAUGAUUUUAUUUGUAGAUGACUUACUAAGCUUUUAAAGCUUACUUUGUAUGUUAUUUCCUUGUUGUUAUAGAUCAUCGAAGCUAGCUCGGACUCGGGGAUCGUCAAAAAUACGUCAUCACACUAUCGAUCAUCUCGUUGGUAUUUUUGGAAGCUUUGUAUAUAUGGUAUAUGGCAUGUAUAGGUUAUUGUCAUCUUGAUAUGUUUUAAGUUGUAAUUUUAGCCAUGAGAUUUUGCUUGUAAAUGUUGGUAUAUGACCAUUUAAGUUGGUUUGAAUUAUGUGCUUGUCAAGUGAUAUAUAUAUAAAUGAUGUUUAUAAUGCCUAAUGUGUUGGCUUGUUUGGUAUAGUUUAUAGAUGAAGAAAGAUGGCUUGAAAGUUGACAUAAUAUGGUUUAAUUUUGAGAUGAUAUUAUAAUGUGUUAAGUGUUAUGUGAUAUGGAAUAGAUGAUAAGAUAAUGAGUUAAUGUAAUUGGAACUUAUGUAGGUUGUGAUGAAUUUUGCAUAAUGGUUUGGUUUGUUUGAAUACGGAAUUGAGUAGUUGAAAUGAUUGUGGAUAAAUAGCAUGGUAUGUGUGUGAAUUGACCUUUUUUGGCUGCCUAUAUAUGUUUAGAAAUGAUUCAAUUUGAUGUGGUUUAGAUAUGCUUGAGGAGGGUGAGAAAUGUGACUUAAACCAAGUCUAUUUUCACUCCACACGGCUGAACACACGGGCAUGUGGCUCAACCGUGUGUGACACAUUUCCUUGGUACACGGCCGUGUGUCCCCUUGGGUACCCUUCAAAUUAAAGUCAGUAUACCCUACAGUUUUGACACGGCCUAGACACAUGGGCGUGUCUACUAGCCAUGUGUGGCACACGGGCUGGUACAUAGGCGUGUGGUCGGCCGUGUGACCCAAGUCAGUAACUUCCCUUAGAUUUCACACGGCCUGACACACGAGCGUGUCCUCGGCCAUGUGGUACAAGUCAGUAUGUAUGCCCUAUUUUCACACGGCCUGUGACACGGGCGUGUCUGGUAGCCAUGUAAGGCACACGGCCUGUUCAUACAAGCGUGUGACUUGUGAUUUUUCUAAGUGUUUGGAAAUUUUUAUAUGUGAUCGGUUUAGUUCCGAACCACUUUUAAGCAUGAUUUAAGGUCUCGUAGAACCUUUUAAGGGACAAUGUGAAUGUUUGUGAAUGGUUUAUAAUAUUGAAUGCAUCAAUGUAUGAGAAUGUGAUGUAUUGUCCGGUAAUGCCUCGUAACUCUAUUCCAGCGACGGAUAUGGGUUAAGAGUGUUACACAAAUCUGUUUGUCUGUUUUAUCAGGUAAUCCACAGACUUAGGCGGAUCGGUGUGGCAAAGACACAGCAGUGACCACUAUAUCGUAAAACAGUUAAACUUAGUACUUUUGGUUUAUUUUAAAUUUUGGACUAUUGGGAGUUGUAAUUUUUGGGGACUCUCUGGACUGUUUGGUUUUUAACUGUUUACGUUUGGAUUGUUUGUCAAUUUGAUUGCUUUGGUAAAAUUGUUUUAUUAAAACGAUGGUUUUAUGCAAACAACGGUUUUCUUAAAAACACAACUGCAUUUUCAAAAUAUAACAAAUAAGGCUUCCCCUGUAAUAAGUUUCGGUAAAGAAAUUGACAAAUAUGUGGUUUUAGUAAAUUUCAAAGAUUGAUGUUUUAUCAAGUCAACACAGUUUCCAAAACCCAUUCCUUGUGACAUCACCAGAUUUGGUCAUAACGUCUAGGCCGGGUUUGGGGUGUUACAGCGUAUCCAUAUGAUUUGUAACUAACUUUUGAAAUUACCUACGUCGUUUGUACCGUUCUGUCUUAAAAGAGAAUUGUUCCUUCUUUAAAAGUGUACGUCGAACCCUCUUGAUUUACUGAUCAUAAAUUUUAUGAUUUCGAUAUAAACGCCAUAAUUAGGUAGUAAGUGAAAAUAGAUUUUUCUUUUAUAACUUCUAUUAUUUUUUUUUCUAAAGAUGCGUUAUCUAAUGAAAGAAGAAAAGUGUCUUUUAAGCUAAGGAAAAAUAUUCAUAAUUGUUUUUCUAAAAUUUUUAAAGUUAAGUUGAAUGAUUUGAAUCCUUUAGUAAUGCCUCAGUUCUUUGGGUAGUUUGUAUAGCUAAAUGAUACAUGCCAUGUCUUCCUGACGGGCUAAGAGGUGUUACACUAAGUUUAAUUUCUAUCAAUUUCACACCUAAUUCUUUAAUAAAUCAACAAUGGAAAGUUUAUAAAAUUUUAAAAAUUUUACAAAUUGGUACAUAGACUAGCUAAAUCAAGUUCCUAUGACCUCAAAUCUAUAAAAAAAACAUACAAGAAAAUGACUUGAUUAUCAUACCUAAUUUAUGGCUGAAUGUAAAAGUUGAAAGCUUGGUUUUUCUUCUUCAAUGGCUACGGUUGGCUUUGGAAAGAUUAUUAAAUAUGUCAUGUAACACCCCAAACCCGGCCUAGACGUUAUGGCCGAAUCUGCGAUGUCACAUUGAAGUGUGUUUUGGAAAGUAUCGUUCUGUUCAAAUAAAAGAUCAUACAAUAUUAAAACCAUUGUGGUGAUCUUUCACAAAACUCUAAGUAUCAUGUUUGUUUAUCAAAACUUAAUUUGUUUAAACAAAUGUUAAGUAUGUUGAAUUGUUAUUAGUUUUCGAAAGUAUGUUGAAUUGUUAUUAGUUUUUGAAAAUGUUCUUUCUUGCAGAAGCUAGAGAAACAUGUUUGCGUAUUUGUGGUGUUUUGAAAACAUAUAUCCUUUUGAAAAAUUGCGUCCUAAAGCUAGCAGAUAUAAUAAAAGAUUUGGAAAUCCCAAAAUAUUUGGAAAUCCAAAUUAAUUAACUUAAGGAUAAAAUCGAGACAGUAAUUAAAAUCAGUCGUGUGGCCCCCAUCGAGUCCCUCGCAGCACCGGCCCAUCUAAGGAUUACUUGCACAGGAAAGCAGAGGGGUGAGUUUAUGAAAACUCAGUAUGUAAUCCUUUUUUUUAAUAAACAAACAAUCGGUAGGCAAAAUAGGUUAGGCUUAAGCCCAUUUCAGUUACAGUCUAGUAUCAGUGCGGGCCUUAGCCUAUUACAAUAACAGUAUCAGUAUGGGAGUUAGCCCAUUACAAUAACAGUAACAGUGUGGGCUUUAGCCCAUUACAAUAACAGUAUGAAAAAAUGCAACAGAGAUCCUACCCAUCCAUCCUCUACACUCUACUCCGUCUAGCUCUACACUCCAUGUGAGGAUAAAAUCGACCCACUCAUCCCUACACUCUAAAUAUAGCACCGGUUGCGGCACUAAUCAGUGUUUGCAGCAGAGCUGCCAGUACAGUACAUUUCCUCCAAUAUAUAUAUCAAACCCACCGCCAUGCAACAUGUCACGUGUAUGCAAAAUGUCAUGCUCGAAUACAGUCAAAUAUAGCAUAGGGGUAUAACAGUCAUUUCAUUAGUAUGGGGUCUAAGUGUACUUACCGACCCAUCAGUAGGCCCACAGUCGUCUUAGGCGACCCAUGCGACCUUAGCAGUCAAACAGUGAAAAUGGGCACAAAGCCCAUAAUACGGCCCGUGUGGCCCAUUAAGCCCAAUAAUGACCUUGGCCGUGUGAUUUACACAGCCUAGCCCAUAAAACUCCACGUAUCCGUGUGAUUUACCUGUGUGGGGCCCACGAGCCCGUAAGGCCUACACGGCCCAACGUGACCCAAAGCGACCUAGGCCUACAAAAUAGCUCGUGCUGGUCUCUACAAUCACAUGCUCGCACUUAUGCGUUUAGUUGACCACACAAGCGAGCGCACACCCGUGUGGCAUCGAUAGUACCAGUUUUUCGGCUUUUGCCAUUUCACGAUUGAAGCAGUGUGAUUACACACCUGUUAUGGAUUGUGGUUGAAAAGCUUUCCAAGAUCAAACACCUAUGAUAACAACAACCCUAUCAUUAGUUCAAAUUCGUGGUUAAUUCGAUACCAUAGCAUUGGAGAUACUUAACCUUAUUCAUCACUACUUACCAUCGAACAGUCGUAGAACCCCCCUCUAGAACUAGAACCAACGCAAUCUCUCCAAUGCUCUAACCUUCACAAAAACAGUUAACCGAUUCAUAAGAAUCUAAACCCAACAUAGACAUAUCUUGAAAUUUUAAGUGCUUACCACCACGUAGAACUAAAAACAGUUGAGAGGAUUAAUCGGUCUAUCCACACAUAAGCCGAACACACAGGAUAACUGAGGCAAAACUAAAAGGUUACACCUUUAUCAGGAACAAAAAUACAGGAAGAUGUCAGAUGACACUAUUAACAUAACUGAAAGAGAAGAAGGAUUACCACUUACUCAUACUGAUCGAAACAAUAGUCCAGAACUGCCAAAGAAAAAGAAAAAAUCGUGAGGGAGAAAGAAGGCAAGAUAUACAGUCUAGGGAACAAUACCCGAUUGAAGAAUACAAGAAAAAGACAAUUGGCUUAAAGCAAGGGCUAGCAACUGAAAGAAUAGAAGGGACAGAGUCUUUCGGCUACCACAAUUAAAGUGAAGAGAGGGGAAAAAACACAAGAAGUAAUCGGUUCCAAAAGACACUGUUGACAAAGAGGGAAAAGAGAGUGAGUUUGGCCUAAGGGAAAAGAAUCAGUAGUAAAACAAUUACCUAAAAAGAAAGUAAGCAAGUUGCACACUACCCUCAGGAACAAUCACACUUUCGGCCACUAAGCAAAAAAAUCCCGAAAACACACAAAAACUGCAACUUUUGAGAGAAAUACCAGUUCAGCGAAAAUUCCUAUGCUUACAAUCCACUUUCGGCACGAUAACUGGUACACCAAAGGUGCGUCCUUCCCGGUCCUCUCGUACUAGGGAAAGGUCCUCUCAAUGCUCUAACGAACGGCCACAUCGGAUAUGGACCGAACUGUCUCUAUUAUACAUAAGGUGACUAUUCCACCAAAAGUUUUCUUUUAGUUCAAAACAAUCAAUAUGUAGAAUCAGAACAAGUGAUUGCUGAGAUUGGCGCGAGAACAUACACUUUAAAUUUGAAAGAGAGGGUUCGAAAACAUAUUUAUUCUGACUCAGAGGGGGAAAUGCACUGGAGUACCGAUGUGUUCCAUUCGCCCGAAUUUACAUAUAGUAAUGUCCAUCUCUUACCAAAAACAAGCCAUUUGUGGAUAUUAUCAGGGGGUUCGUACAAAUUCAGUGUAGAAAAGAUUUAUCAGACUAUGGAGUGAAUGAUUUGAUUAAUGACUAUUCUAUUGAUUUUUUCUUCAAUUUGGAAUCGAUUCACAACAAUUCUUUUUAUUUUUCAUAUUUUCAUAUAAAUAUAAAUAGAUAUUGCAUAUAAUAGAAAUAAAAAAAAUAUGAGUUCGGUUUGUCUUUUUUGAGAUAGUUUUUCAUUAGUAUACCUAUAAAAAAAUAGGUAUAUCUUGCAUCCUUUCUAGAGUUUCGAUAUUCGAUAUAAGGAUUCCUUUACCAACAGUCAACCCCAUUUGUUAGAAUAGCUUCCAUUGAGUCUCUGCACCUAUCAUUUCCUUUUUUUCUUAUUCUCGCUUGUUGAACCUUUGUUCAUGUUUAUUUUCGUAAAAUAAUAAAAUAAUAGGAUUUGGCUCAGGGUUGCCCAUUUUUCCUUCCAAGGUUUCUCUGAAUUUGAAAGUUAUCACUUAGUAGGUUUCCAUACCAAGGCUCAAUCCAAUUAAGUCCGUAGCGUCUACCAAUUUCGCCAUAUCCCCUUUUGUGUCUUGAGAUUAGGAUCUCAUUAGGAUGCCCCUCCUUCCCAGGGUUCCAAACUCAACGGUGGCAACUAAACACGAGGGUUGCGCUCGUUGCGGGACUUAACCCAACACCUUACGGCACGAGCUGACAACAGUCAUGCACCACCUGUGUCCCCGUUCAGGUUUCAAUUUUUUCAAAUGAACGAUUUGAAGACCUAUUGAUUCUAACAACUGAUUGCAAAGUUGAUCAUUCGGACCUUUCAAUUCAUAGAUGUGGAUCUCAGACCUAUGAAUGGGGAUAUUCCCGAAACUCACAAAGAAAAAAGGAAGUGAGUUAGACAAAAAGAGAAGCAACUUAGACAAAAAGAGAAGUAACUUGGACCCUCCCUUUCCUGCUAGGAUUGGAAAUCCUGACAACAAUUCAGUUUGAUCGAAUUGUCUAGUUUCGUUUUCCAAGUUAAUGCUUCAAAAGGAGGGUGAUAUGAGGGUUUUGUCUAUUCAUAAAUACCAAAGAUUCCACACUUUGUAAUUUAGUACAAUUGAUGUCGAAAAUCGACCAAUUCACAUUUAUAUAAACUAAUAAGCAAAACAAAUACAAUUUAAUCAUAACAUGAAUAAAAUAGUAAGUUCCAUAUGAACUAACCCGACAAAACAACAAACGAACAAUUCUUUAAGGACUAAUCAAUAAUUUUGUCUUUUCCCCGAUUAUCCUCGGUUUAAUUCAAUUCUCGAUCUAUACAAUAAUUCAGUUUAAUUUAUCAAUACUAAUCAUUUUGUAACAUUCCCUAAUAUGCAUGUACCAGUUCAGUUUUAUCUUUUGAAUGCCCCUAAAAAUUUUUAUUUUAUUCAAUUUAGUCCUAAAACUGAAAUUGCUAUAACUUUCAAAAUUGAGCUUUGAUUUUAAAACCGAUCUCAAUAACAUCCUUUUAGGACCCUUUACUAUAAAUAAUUACAAAAAUUUCAUAUCAAAUUCAAAAUCUAUACACUUUAGUCCCUAUGUUCAAAAACUAGCAAUUAAAUUUUACAAUCUAGUCCUUUUUCACUUCUAAGCUUAAAAUCUAACAAUUUAAUACCAAUUUCUUCAAGAAAUCAACAAUGGAAAGUUUUGAAAACUUAAACAAUUUUACAAAUUGGCACAUGGGCUAGCUAAAUCAAGCUCUCACGACCUCAAAAAUAUAAAAAUUAUAAGAAAAUAACUAAAUUAAACUCACCAAACUAAGAUUGAAGGUUUGAAAGCUUCAAACCCUUUUUUUCUUUCUUUUGCUUCAUGAAAAAGAUGAAUAUGAACGGAGAAAUGUUUUAUUUUCUUUUUAUUUUAUCUUUUAUACUUAUAUUAAUAAUGAAUUGAUCUUAAUUAAUCUAAUUAAACAUGAUUAAUUUAAUCUUAAACACAAUUAACCAAUAUGGUAGAUUUCAAUUGUCAUCCACCAUCGUUUGGCUACAUAAUAGUAGUCUAAUUGCUAAAUUGAUUCUUCGACUAUUUAAAAAUUUAUAUAGAUAAAUUUUUAUAAUUUAAUCUUUAUACCUUAAUUAAUUAUCAAUUUAGUAAAAUUAAGGUGAAACUUUAAUAAACUUUAAUACUAAACCAACAUCCAAAAUAAAAUUCCGAAACCAACCUUUCCAAUGCCACUAAAAAAACAAAUUAUUACAAUAAUUAUAUUAUCUAAAUAUUUUCUUAUCAUUCAUCACAUUUUAAAUCGAAGAAAUUUAAAAUUUAUAUAUAUUUUAAAUCUCCCGAACAGACGCCAACGAACCGGGUUGACUGUUAUCUCUCUCUAACCAAACAUCCCACCAUCCUCUUCCUCUUCACCGAGUCCAACUAAAACGAUUUCCUAAUCACCGAUUCGUCGUGAACCUCUCAUGGCUUCGGAGCAGUGCGGCGCCGUUUUCGAGGUAUCUCAGGACGACGACGAGGAACCUUCUUCCUCCGAUAACGAGAUCGAUGAAACGACGACGUCCUUAACGAUAACGAAGACGUUUUGAACGAUGAAGACGUCGAGUUAUUGUUAGAGGAAGAAGAUGACAUAAAUUCCCCUUCUUUACUCCCUUAACCGAUCCCUUCCAAGUAUCCUUCGCCUCAGUCCCUUUCGUACAACUUGAAUGUUGCAUGUGUUUUUUCAACAACUUUAAUUUUCCUUUUCCUGUUCCUUUGUAACUCUUUAUUUUUAAUUUUCUCCACCACGAGUCUUAUUUAAUAUUUAAUAAUGUAUAUUACAUAUAAUUAUUCAUUCCUAUAUGAUUACGUGAAGAACCUCUCCAAUCUUUCUCUCUGUCACAUUUUAUCUUCUUCUCUUUUUCCCAUUUUCUGUUGACUACCCCCAUUUGCCUUUCAUCAAUCCAGUUUUUCAAUUUUCUUCUCUUUUUUUUCUUUUAUCAUGGAAGAGGCAAAGGGUAUGCUUUUCUUUCUGGGUUUUGUUUUGUCUUUUUUUUUUUAAGAUUUUGUUUUCUUGAUCUUUAAUCCUUUCUUUCUCCUUUUGUUGUUGUUUUUUUUUUUUAAUCUUUCAUGAAAAUUUCAUUGUUACUUUUUGAGAAUCUGAGAUAACUGAAUUUUUCCACUUUGCUUUGUAUUUCUAGUUUUAGUAUUAGACAGAUCAAUUGAAUUUGUGAAUGCCUGGAAGUGAAAAAGGAACUCACUUUUUCCACAAUUUUUUUUAAAAUAUAGUUUUUAGGUUUUUUUAUGCAUUUUUAGAAUAAUAUGUGUCUCAAUUUUCAAUCUUGUUUUGUAAAUAAUUAAUUGCAAUAUUAAUGUUUCUUUGCUUCUUCUUCUUUUUUUUUUUCUUUUUUUUUUUAGUGUUGGAAGCUAAAGAAGGAACCAUUUCCGUUGCCUCUGCUUCUCCUGGUCAUCAAGAAGGUAAUUGUCAACUUUUCAUAGGAUUUAAUGUUUAAAAGCUAAUAUUAAAUGGCCUCUUCAUAGUUGCCACCAUUAGAAUUAUUUCGGUAGAUUCAAAAUAUUCUUUUUAUUCAUUGAAUUUUGCCUAUUGUUUUAGUUUAGUAUUGGAGACUUACUUCCUUCAAUACACAUAUCUUAUAGUUUAUUUUUUUAGCUGUCACAGUUUCUAGAUCAAACUGAUGUUUAUGAUCUGGUAUAUUGCUUGGAUAUGAUCUGCUAAUUUAUGUUACCCGGGGCAAGUCUGAACAUAUGUCCGACAUAGGUGUUAGACUCCGGUUUAGGGAAAAUGAAGAGUAGAAAUAGGUGUUAUGUGAUGACUUUUAGCUGUGUCACAGUUUAUGGAUCAUAGUGAUGGUUAUAAUUAUUGAUGAUGUGGUAUACUGCUUAGAUAUUCCGCGUUAAUUUAUGUUACCCGGACUUGAGGAUGACUGCAUAUCAUUGUCCGGGUAUGUGCCGUACAUAGGUGUUGGACACAGGUUUAGGAAAAACAAAGAAUCUAUGUCACAUUUUAUGGAUCAUGGUCAUGGUUUUCAUUAUUGAUGAUCUGAUAUUGCUUAGAUAUGCUGUUUUAAUCAAUGUUACUCGGACUUGAGGAUGAGUUCAUAUCCAUAUCUAGAUAUGUGUUGCACAUAGGUGUUAGCCAUGGGUUCGAGAAAAACAAAGAGUCUGGAUGGCAUAGGUCUGUUAUCCAAUAGUAGGUAUUUUAGCUGUCACAGGUUAUGGAUCAUAGUGAGGGUUGUCAUUAUUGCUUGGAUAUGCCGUGUUAAUCAAUAUGCCAUAAGUAUUAGAGAUGGGUUUCGGACAACAUAGGAGUGAAUGAUUCAAAGAUACUUGAUUAACGAUGUAGAUAUCUUCGGAAAACUGUCAUGCUUAAUGUUGUUAGGUGAUUAUGAAAUUGCUCGUUUCUGUUUAUCGUUCAACCAGCUGUACAGGAUAGAGAUAACAAAUUCUUAACACAAGCAAUUGGAGAAGCAUAUAAAGGGGUUGAAUGUAAAGAUGGAAGGCCGUUUGGUGCAGUUGUCGUUCGCGAUGACGAAGUCAUUGUAAGUUGCCACAACAUGGUUUUGAGAAACACUGACCCUACUGCACAUGCAGAGGUUACUGCUAUUAGAGAGGUCAGAUAAAAAGAACUAAACAAACCAACAAAACAAUUUAAUCAAAUUUAUCGAUCCUGUCCAUAUGUUUACUUGAAACGAUUGAAACAGUUCCAAUCCCUGAAAACCAUGAACUGCUACGAAAAGCUUAGAUUUUUUUUGUUGAUUGUAAGAAAAUAUGAUAGCUUCAAUGGAAGAAAUACAUAUAAAUAUACAUUAGCUUUCAUUUGUGGGGUUUUUCAGCAUUUAUUUGCAAUUGUUAUGGCUUUUUUAUGUUUGAUGGCAAGAGUUUGCUGUAUUUGUAGCAGUCAUGUGAUGGUCGAUAAUUUUGCAUGUAUGUUAAAUAUAGUGAGGAAAUACGACUAAUUCAGCUCGAUUGUCAUCGGUGCAUGUUAGACAUUAGGAUAUAAGGAUUCUUAGGUUGUCAUAUAAAUGUAUGAGAAAUCCAUGUUUUCUAUUAACAUACUAUGUCCGACAUGCAAGAAACUGAAUCGGAUUGAGUUCUCAGACUGAAAUGUAUGCUUCAUGCGAGCCUUGCCCAAUGUGCUUCGGUGCUAUCCAUCUGUCAAGAAUCAAGGUCCGAUGCCAAACCUUACUAUUUUUUAACGUAUAUAAUCCUUUUCAUUAACUCACGGUUGCAUAUGUUGAGAUUUCAACCCCGGACCAGUUGGAUGUCACUUCUUAAGAGUGGCUAUAUGAAACCGAAAUCGUGACGUGUUUAUUAUGUAAUGGGAAAGCAGAAGCUGGUUUAUGGAGCGAAAGCAGAGGCAGCGGUAGCAAUAGGAUUUGAUAGUUUCAUUGCGGAUGCAUUGAGAGGUACUGGGUUUUACCAGAACGCUAACCUGGAGAUCAAGCAAGCCGAUGGAACAGUUGCUGUCAUUGCAGAACAAGUAUUUGAGAAGACCAAGGAAAAGUUCACCUUGUAUUAAUUUCUCUUUCAUUACUAGAAACACAGUUUGAAGUUUAUGUUAAGACUGCCCCCUCUUU
rnacentral:lncRNA from 1 species